GGUGGCUUCUCUCCCUUAGGUGGUUUGCCAACUGGGGUUGGUGGCUUGUAUGAGUCUUCAGCAUUCUCUGCAGGAGGGUGACCAGGGUUGUGACCAUAAUGUGGUGGCUUCUCUCCCUUAGGUGGUUUGCCAACUGGGGUUGGUGGCUUGUGUUCUGGGAGUGGCUUCUCCCCCUUGGGAGGUUUUUCCAAUGGGGUUGGUUUGUGUUCAGGAGGUGGCUUCUCCACUGGAGGCUUGUGUUCAGGAGGUGGCUUCUCCACCGGAGGCUUGUGUUCAGGAGGUGGCUUCUCCACCGGAGGCUUAUGCUCUGGUGGUGGCUUCUCCACCGGAGGCUUAUGCUCUGGUGGUGGCUUCUCGAAUGGGGGAUGCUUAGGGUAAUCAGCAAGUGAGGGGGCGGUGAGAACCACCAGGCCAAGCAAGACCACUAGCAAGUAUGUAGGAGACAUCUUUGGGUUUAGACUCAGAUGGUGCAAAACUAGGAGAAUUGUCUUUUAUAGCGGAUCGCACCCAAUAAUGAAAUGACACGUGUCUUUAUGACCCAUGUGUAAUGGGGUCGAUUUGGGUCCUACAGUGUUGAAAACUUCGACAUCCACUUUUGGCCUUUUGCUUUCUCUACAGCCGCCUUGCUUUUUCCCUCUUUCCUUUUGUUUUCCUCCUGCCCCAUUCUAUCAACUAAACACAAUUAUGUAGUUGUUUAAUUCUUAAAUGAGAUAUUAUCCGUCAAUCGUAUCAUAUUUUAUCAACAGAGAACGGAGUGCAAUGUGGCAAUCCAAAGAAAGAAGAUCCAUAAUGCAGCUGUAAUUUUAUCGUUUACUUUUAUCUCUUGGACCACUGCAUUUUUGUUAAGAGGUGCAAUAAUACACGUCUUUAUCUGCCAUUCAAUGUUUACAGUAAAGAGAGGGCACAAAACUCUUCACUGCUCUGCAUGUGUCCCAAAAAUGCAAUUGGACAAAUUAUGAUUUGCAUGCUAAAAAGAGGCAAAUGAGGUUAAUUCGCACCAUAAUUAUUUUGUUUUCUGGACCCCGGGGCCCUUUGGUUGGUUUGGGGGUCAGAAAAUGAACAUCAUAGGGGGUUUUUCCCUUAUGUGCAUUUGUAUCUGAUGGCUUUAACUCGCCUUGUUACUACAAAGAAAUUGUCACAUAUAGGAACUUAUUCCAGGCUGAGUAUCUCCGCAUAGACCCUAUAAAAGAAGACAAGUCAUAAUGAACAUCUAACCUUUGUUCAAUUUGAUUCAAUGCCCCAUUGUGUCCACCUCACAAAUCUGAAUUAUUAUAUCCAUUGAAUACAUAAAUUAAUGAAGAAAAUAUGAAACCCAAGAUACAUCUCUGCACAACCUCAACCCUGGUUGCUAUGUUUCCCUUCUAUUCACAUGAGGAUAUUGAUUACGGAAUAGGGAAACCUAGCAAGGGUUUACUCGGCUCUGGUUUGAUGCUAAUUGCCAAACUUGCAACAAGCCCUGAGUUUGAAGCUCACAGAAGAUGUUAUACAGGCAGGGAAAAACCUUCAGAGUUCGCUGCCAAAGAUAAUUAUUAAGGAGAUAUCACCAAGAGAAUUCCAAGGAGUCUGAAUCAAAGACAAAUUGGUCGUUCGUGGAGGUUCUUACUUUCUUUUGGGUAUAACUCACUGAGGGCACUGUCUUUUUUAUUUUCAUUUCACAUUUAGAGUUCUGUUCUGGAAACAUAUAAAAGGAGCAUCAGUUUGUUCUUGGGUAACCCAUAGUCGUGAGUGGGUCCAUUUGCAUGCUACUUAGUUGAAAAGUUGGACCAUUUGCUCCGACGCCUACCUCCUGGAUUCCAUGCUCGGAUAAAACAAGAAUAAAAAAAUAUUUAUAAUUUACAAAUGGGGGAAAGAAAAAAAUGUCAACAACAAACUAGGAAAAAAGAGUAGUAAAAUUCAUGUCACAUGCUAGUGAGAGAAGGGGUUGUUACACUCACUCGAAGUUCUUUUCAAAAUAUCGCAUGGUAUUUUAUUUUAUGUGUGAGCGCAGUUGUGAAUGGAACGUGCAAAAGUCCAAAUUGGUGACCUUUAAUAAAUAUUUAAAACAAAAAACGAAAAAAAGGAGGGAAAAGGGAUCAGAAAAGAUAAAACAAUGUGUACAAAAGCUCAAUUAGUUUGCAAAUUACUGUUUGGAUUUUGAUAGUAUUUUAUUUGAUGUAAAAGAGAAUUUAAGAUAUUUCCGAAACAAAAGCAUUAGUUUGCUCCAUGUCAAUUUCGGCAUUUCUCAUAUGUUUCACACAUACACAGAAGAGCAUCGUUUUUUAAAGCAUGCAUUUAUGUUGGAUUAAUUUGGAUUUUGUGGGAACUGGGGCAAGGAUCACAUGGAAGAGAGGUUGACUUUUUUCAGUACUUCAAUGGUUGAGACAGGUGAAGGCCUGAUUGAUACUGAAGCCUGAAAUUGCGACUCCGUCAUUUGUCAAAACAUAUGACAGCUUCCAUGCUCUCGUUUGGUUGCAUUGUUCUGUGGUCAUGCAUACAUGCCACUUAGUGAUCAGUCUGUAACUGUCAAUCAUUGGGCUUUGACUGAACAACAUCAGCCAUGUAUAAAUACUUGCAAAUCAAACGGUCUUCUUCCUCCCAUAAGGAAUUUCGGUUUAAUUAUGAAGCAUGCAUUUGGCUGACCAUCAUAAACCACUUCUUUAAAUUGAUGAAUGAUAGUUUUUCAUUCAUUCUUUCAUUCGUUCAUAUACAGAGUAUAUAUAGAGGGUAAUCAUCAUUCUAAGAAUGGGAAAGAAUGAUACAAGGAAAUAAUGAUAUAAAGAAAUAACAACUAAUAUUCUAAUAUCUCAACUUUCCUAAUAUCUAAACAUUCCUAAUAUCUCAACACUAAAUGAUAUAAAGAAAGAAUGAUAUAAGGAAAGCAUUCCUAAUAUCUCAACACUCCUCCUCAAGUUGGUGCAUAGAUGUCAAACAUGUCCAACUUGUCUAAAAAUUUUGAGAACAGUUGACUUGAGACAUCUUUGGUGAGGAUAUCGGUCAAUUGAUCUUCUGAUCGAAUCUUAGGCAAUUCCACAAUCUUAUCAUCCAACUUUUCCUUAAUGAAAAAUCUAUCCAUCUCGACAUGCUUUGUACGAUCAUGUUGUACUAGAUUAUGAGCAAUGUCACAUGCUGCUUUAUUGUCACAAAACAAUCGGAUUGGUUGCCUAGAUAGGUAACCUAAAUCCUAUAAGAGGAGUCUUAGCCAUAAUGCCUCACAAAGUCCUAAAGUCAUACCUCUAAAUUCCGCUUCUGCACUUGAACGAGCGACGACAUUUUGCUUCUUACUUUUCCAUGUCACAAGAUUACCACCUACAAAGGUAAAGUAACCAGAUGUAGAUCGCCUAUCAUCCACUGCACCGACCCAAACAGCAUUAUACUUCUAUACUCUGAUGAUCAACAUUUUUAGCGAACAAAAUUCCCUUCCUAGGAGCAUUCUUCAAAUACCUCAAAAUACGCAUGACUACAUUCAUAUGUUGCUCUCCAGGAUUAUGCAUGUAUUGACUCACUACACUCAAUGUAUAAGCAAGAUCUAGUCUUGUAUGAGCUAAGUACAUUAAUCUCCCCACAAGUCUCUGGUAUCUUCCCUUAUCGAUUGAUACUUGAUUAGGCUCAACACACAAUUUCAGACCUUCUUCUAUUGGUGUAUUAAUAGGUUGACAUCCCGACAUUCCAGUUUCCUGUAGAAGAUCUAAGGCAUACUUUCUUUGAGACAGAAAAAUUCCUUCACUUGAUCGAGAAACUUCAAUCCCAAGAAAGUAUUUCAGACGACCAAGAUCUUUCAUUUCAAAUUCUCUAGAUAGAUACUUUUGCAAAGCUUUUCUUUCUUCAGGAUCAUUUCCUGUAACUACAUGUCAUCCACAUAUAUCAUAAGUGUCGUAAUCUUACCAUGUUGCUUUUUCAAGAACAAAGUGUGAUUUGAAUUACUUUGAUGAUAGCCAAAAGCUCUCAUUGAUUUUGUGAACCUUCCAAACCAUGCUCUCGGGGAUUGCUUCAACCCAUACAAUGACUUCUUCAAUUCGCACACCUUCUGACAUUGCUUUUCUGACACCAUGCAUCCUGGUGGAAGAUCCAUAUAUACUUCUUCAGAUAAAUCGCCAUGCAGAAAGACAUUUUUUACAUCGAACUAUUGUAAUGGCCAAUCUAGGUUUGCAGCUAAAGACAAUAAUACUCGAACUGUGUUGAUCUUAGCUACAGGUGCAAAUGUCUCUGUGUAGUCAAUUCCAUAAGUUUGAAUGUACCCACUAGUCUUGCUUUAAAUCGUUCAAUACUACCAUCUGCCUUGUACUUCACAGUAUAGAUCCAACGACACCCAACUAGCUUCUUUCCUGGUGGACAUUCUACGAGUUCCCAUGUUUCAUUUUUCUGCAAUGAUUUCAUCUCUUCAUUCAUGGUUGCUUUCCACUUUGGAUCAGCUAAAGCUUCCUGCACACUAUUAGGAAUAGCUACAGUAGAUAAUUGAUUUACAAAUGACUUAUUUGAUUCAGACAAACCAUGGUGUGGACCCGCAUUUUUCACGUGCGCCUCUACUCGAUCGGCGAGACUCGCUUUCUAUUUGUGAAAAAUUAAUUUUAGAAAAGUUGGAGUCGCCACCUAUUUUAUUUUUAUUUUGAAGGGAAAAUAAAACAAGAAAGAAAAACCCUAAAAAGUGACUCCAUAGUUUUGGAAAAAGCAUGUCUUUGGGAAACCUGAGUCUAGGUCCGGGGAUCAUGUUACUUAUUGGGAAGGUACCUCUAGGAGGUAGCACCCCUCUAAGCCUUAUGAAGGUCUCUACUAACUAAAUUAAGGGAAGUGUGGCAAUAAAUCGAUUGAUCAUAGAUACCUAAGUAGACUAGGUGAUUUUAAAGUGUGGCAUGUCAAACACAAUCAAAUUGCAAUAAAGGAGAGUUAGGGCGCGUACCUGAACCGCUUCUCAAGCGCUAUCAUAAAACAUCAAUGGUUAAUUUAAAUAAUAUAUCAUCCAGCAUGUAUUUUAUUAGAAAUAAUCAAACAAUGAAACAUGUAUAUCAGAACACUCAAGCAUUAUUAGACAUAAGCAUUAUUUCACUAUUCACAGAAUUCAGAAAGUAGGUGAUAGAGGACAUACCUGGAUAGCAUAGAUAAUUUGUAAUGUGCUUCCUCAAGUUGUAAGGGGUUAGAUAACAAAUAAUAAAAUAUAGAAAUCCUAGCAUGCUCGUUAUCUAAUUAGCAUAGCAAAAGUGAUCACAGUAUACAGAAUCAUCAAUUAUCACAUACAUCUUGUAUAUAAUUCCUAAAAAAAAUAGAUAGACAUGAUUUCAACAAGUGUCAAAUGUGGCAACAAAAAUAAAUUUUGAAAAGAUUUUCUUAUGUAGGGGUUUCACCAAUUCCCCAAAUUAAUAUACACGAAUUUAGCUUAGAAUUAUCCCAUUUAUUUGGGACUACAAGCUUUGAUUCGUGUUUUUGUUCAAAACCAAAAAUUUUUGUUGAAAAUCAAGAAGGAUGCGAACCGAACAAGAUAUGGUUGCAUAUUAUUUUUAAAUAAAUAAAUAAAUAAAUAAAGGAGAUUUUGAUCCUGAGGACUUUAAUGAGUUUUUUUUUUUAAAAUAGAUUUUUAAAAUGAUUUUUUUGAGAAAAGUAUUUUAUUUUAAAAUAAAAGGGAUUAAUUUGGGAAAAAAAUAAAAUAUAAGAAAUAAAAUACCAAACAAAACAAAAAUGAAACCUCAAAGUAAAAUUUUUUUAGUAAUUAACAAAAAUGAUAAUGGUGAUGGUAGAGGGCAAUCUUCAUGAUUUUCCAAUGGCCUCAGAAAGAAAAUCAAAUUAAAUGAAGGAUCACUAACAGGCAAGACAUUCUAAAUUAGACAAACUAACAAAGUAUCAAUUCAUGAACUAACCGCUAGGAUUUUGAAAGCAUAUAAGCUAAGAUAAGGGUGAUCAGGAACUAAUAUUAAUGAUUUUGAAAUAAAAACUAAAAAAAAGGAUCAAUUCGGGUAAGGAACUAAAAUUAUAAAAGUACCUAAACUAAUUAUGACGAGUUUGACUAAAUUAAACUAAAAACAUGAACUUUCAAACAUAGAAUUAAUUUUACUAAUGAACCAAAGCAAACUAAAAAUAUGUACUUUCAAGCAUAGAAUUAAUUUUAUUGAUGAACUAAACUAUAACAAAUAUCUAAACUAAAUAUAAUGAAUCAAAUUAAAUUAAAGCAACUUAAAAACGCAAACUUUCAAACAUAGAAUCAAUUUUAUCAAUGAAUUAAAACUAUAAAUGUAUUUGAACUAAAUAGAUGAAUCAAACUAAAUCAGAGCAAAAUUAAAAAAAAAAAAGAACUUUCUAACAUGAAAUCAAUUUUAUCAACAAAUAAAUGAAUGAAUAACAAGUAAUUAAAAGAAUAGCUACUACAUGAAUAACUGAAUGAAUAAAAUUCAAAUGUUUUCAAUCUGAAGCAAUCAAUCAAAAUUAAAUAGGGAUCAAAUCAAAAUAAUCGAAAUCGGAAAAACAAUAUGCAAUCUUUCUAAAGGUUUAACCAGACAAUUGAAUUAAAAUUAUGAAUAGAAUAAAUUAAUAAACCAAAUCGAAACCUAAAUUGUACCUAAAAAGAUUAAUUAAUUAAACUAAGAAAUCAAAAUCAAUAACAAAACUAAACUAAGGAGUAAAUUAAGACAAGACUAAUUAAAUUAAACUCACAAACACGUUUUAACUAUCAUAUGGAUUAAAACAAAAUUAGCAUGGACUUAUGAAUUACGAACAAAAAUAAUCAAAACUAUUUUAAAAAACUCACCUCUAUUAUAAGAAAAAAUCUGCCUUUGAUGCGUUGAGGUGGCUCCCCUCUCUGUGUGGAUCUCUCUGCUCCCCAGAAAAAAAAUGUCUCUUCCUCCGUUCUCUUUUGUUUCAGCAAAAUAAUAUAUCCCCUGCUGUGGAUCUCUCUACUCCCAGAAAAUAAUAUAUUCUCUCCGUGUCCUAAAGUGGACCUAGGGUGCCUAAGUGGACCUAGGGUGCCUAAAUGGGCCUAGGGUGCCUAAAUGGGCCAAGUGUAUCUAAAUAGGCUUAGGGUGCCUAAGUGGGCCUAAGUCUAAGUGAGCCUAAGUCUAAAUCAAGACUACCAAGGAUCAUAAUAAGGGGUUAGGCAAUCCCUUAACCAAAGUCUCCAAGGUGGCUAAAAAAAAGUAAGUAGUAUGAGUAGCUAUGGGUCACCAAGGAACUACUGUGGAGCAUUGAAAACGAAUUUAAAGACAUGUGCCAAAGGGACAAAAUUGAGGGUCUACAGAUGGUUAGACACAUAGUUGCUCAUGGGAUAUUUGACUUUGGUAAACAAUUCAGAUUCAUAUGUGGGUUUAGGAAUACCUUUAUUAUGACGGUGUGGUAAUCGUUUCAUGAAUGGAUCAGGUUGCAAAUUAAGAACACCCUCAGCAAACAACGAUUGGUUUGGUAUUUCAGUGAAGACAUCUUCGAACCCAAAUUGUUGACCACUCAUAUCCAACUCACCCGCUUCCUGGUUCACUAGUUCAGAUUGUCCAAAUUCAUCAUUCUCAUAGAUAUGAUAAUCAUAAUCGAGAGUCUGAAUUUCCUUAUGGUACUCCCCCUGAAGUUCAGACUUAGAUGAAAAAUACAUCGAAUAUUCAUGAAACAGCNNNNNNNNNNNNNNNNNNNNNNNNNNNNNNNNNNNNNNNNNNNNNNNNNNNNNNNNNNNNNNNNNNNNNNNNNNNNNNNNNNNNNNNNNNNNNNNNNNNNNNNNNNNNNNNNNNNNNNNNNNNNNNNNNNNNNNNNNNNNNNNNNNNNNNNNNNNNNNNNNNNNNNNNNNNNNNNNNNNNNNNNNNNNNNNNNNNNNNNNNNNNNNNNNNNNNNNNNNNNNNNNNNNNNNNNNNNNNNNNNNNNNNNNNNNNNNNNNNNNNNNNNNNNNNNNNNNNNNNNNNNNNNNNNNNNNNNNNNNNNNNNNNNNNNNNNNNNNNNNNNNNNNNNNNNNNNNNNNNNNNNNNNNNNNNNNNNNNNNNNNNNNNNNNNNNNNNNNNNNNNNNNNNNNNNNNNNNNNNNNNNNNNNNNNNNNNNNNNNNNNNNNNNNNNNNNNNNNNNNNNNNNNNNNNNNNNNNNNNNNNNNNNNNNNNNNNNNNNNNNNNNNNNNNNNNNNNNNNNNNNNNNNNNNNNNNNNNNNNNNNNNNNNNNNNNNNNNNNNNNNNNNNNNNNNNNNNNNNNNNNNNNNNNNNNNNNNNNNNNNNNNNNNNNNNNNNNNNNNNNNNNNNNNNNNNNNNNNNNNNNNNNNNNNNNNNNNNNNNNNNNNNNNNNNNNNNNNNNNNNNNNNNNNNNNNNNNNNNNNNNNNNNNNNNNNNNNNNNNNNNNNNNNNNNNNNNNNNNNNNNNNNNNNNNNNNNNNNNNNNNNNNNNNNNNNNNNNNNNNNNNNNNNNNNNNNNNNNNNNNNNNNNNNNNNNNNNNNNNNNNNNNNNNNNNNNNNNNNNNNNNNNNNNNNNNNNNNNNNNNNNNNNNNNNNNNNNNNNNNNNNNNNNNNNNNNNNNNNNNNNNNNNNNNNNNNNNNNNNNNNNNNNNNNNNNNNNNNNNNNNNNNNNNNNNNNNNNNNNNNNNNNNNNNNNNNNNNNNNNNNNNNNNNNNNNNNNNNNNNNNNNNNNNNNNNNNNNNNNNNNNNNNNNNNNNNNNNNNNNNNNNNNNNNNNNNNNNNNNNNNNNNNNNNNNNNNNNNNNNNNNNNNNNNNNNNNNNNNNNNNNNNNNNNNNNNNNNNNNNNNNNNNNNNNNNNNNNNNNNNNNNNNNNNNNNNNNNNNNNNNNNNNNNNNNNNNNNNNNNNNNNNNNNNNNNNNNNNNNNNNNNNNNNNNNNNNNNNNNNNNNNNNNNNNNNNNNNNNNNNNNNNNNNNNNNNNNNNNNNNNNNNNNNNNNNNNNNNNNNNNNNNNNNNNNNNNNNNNNNNNNNNNNNNNNNNNNNNNNNNNNNNNNNNNNNNNNNNNNNNNNNNNNNNNNNNNNNNNNNNNNNNNNNNNNNNNNNNNNNNNNNNNNNNNNNNNNNNNNNNNNNNNNNNNNNNNNNNNNNNNNNNNNNNNNNNNNNNNNNNNNNNNNNNNNNNNNNNNNNNNNNNNNNNNNNNNNNNNNNNNNNNNNNNNNNNNNNNNNNNNNNNNNNNNNNNNNNNNNNNNNNNNNNNNNNNNNNNAACCAAAGGAAGCAUGUUCCAGACGUCGAUGCCACAACCAAAUUUCAGACUUUUUCUUCUCCUCCUUAGAUCCAUCUGCCAUCAAGGCUUGUUGCAACUUAUUUGAAUCCUUUGAUUGCAAGUCCAAGUAUAGAGUUUCCCCCGCUUAAUACGACAACCAAUCGUCUGUCUUGUUUGAAUGUCCUUAAUCACACAAAAUUCAGGCCAAAAAAUGACAAUACAAGAUAAGGCUGCAGUGAUUUGAGAAACUAACAAAAGAUUGUAAUCUAAAGAUGGAACAACUAAAACAGAAUCCAAAUUCAAAGUAUCAGUAAGAGUUAAGGAUCCUUCCCCAAUGACUGGGGUUGUGUUACCAUUGGCUGUGGAAACAAUUUUUUGUGAGGAAGGUCUAAGGGGUGAAACCUGUCUAGAAUCAAAAGUCAUAUGAUCUGUAGCACCAGAAUCAAUUAUCCAUGCACUAUUAAUAACAGGUGUAAAAGUAUUUAAAAACUUACCACAAUGAUCUGUAGCGGCUACUAAUGCAGAGACUUUCUCAACAACAUUAGUCUUUGUUUUUAUUUCGGUAACAGUUGCAAUCAAGGUUUUCUUGGAAUUCUUCUUCCGUUGAUCACGAUUAUUAUCAUUAAUAACAAAGUGUUGAUAGCCUAAACAUGAUCUAAAGGUCCAUGGUGCAAACCCUCGGUUCCUCAUUGUUUUCCUGGUCAUACCAAGAGUUGUUGCUUUGAAAUUGUGGGAUAUCCAGACUGGUGGGAUCAGUUUUAUUGCAGUGAGUGCAUUUGAAUGUUGACUUAUCAAUAUUAGGGCUUGUCUUCGGAUGGUUGAUUGCUGUUGGACUACCAUAGCGACAAAAUAUCCAGGAUUUCAAUUCCAGGGCUCUGAUACCAUCUUCAAAUUGAUGAAUGAUAGUUUUUCAUUCAUUCUUUCAUGUACAGAGUAUAUAUAGAGGGUAAUCACCAUUCUAAGAAUGGGAAAGAAUGAUACGAGGAAAUAAUGAUAUAAGGAAAUAAUAACUAAUAUCCUAAUAUCUCAACUUUCCUAAUAUCUCAAUAUUCCUAAUAUCUCAACUUUCCUAAUAUCUAAACAUUCAUAAUAUCUCAACACUAAAUGAUACAAGGAAAGAAUGAUAUAAGGAAAACAUUCCUAAUAUCUCAACACCACUUCAUGAUAUAUAUAGUUUCUUACCCUUAAUCAAUGGUUUCUAAGUGAAUUUAUAUAGAAAGAAAUCCAAACUGUAGACAGCAGUAUUGGUAACACUCAAUAUUCUGUAUAUAAUAGAAUAAAUAGCGUCACAGUGAUCGUCGCCUACAAGCAAGGUACAAAUACCACAAAGAGUGACCCACAUAGACAUUCCCCAACAAGAUGUAGUAGUGACUGACACAUAGCCACAAUUAACACGUAGAAAAGGAUAAGACCGGUGCACAGUAGCUCUUAUUUUACAUACUACUUAUGCCAACCAAAGUCACUCAGUUGGGAUGGGAGGGAGAUGGAGGUUUGUGCGGUGGCUUGUGGGGCGGAGUUGAUGGCUUCUUUCCAGGAGCUUCUGGCUUUUUCAUCGGAGCUGAAGGAGGCUCAAUCUUAUGAGGCGGCUUGUACGAGUCUUCUUUGCUCUCGAAAGGAGGGUGGCCAGGGUUGUGACCAUAAUGUGGUGGUUUCUCUCCCUUGGGAGGUUUACCAAUUGGGGUUGGUGGCUUGUGUUCUGGGAGUGGUUUCUCUCCCUUGGGAGGUUUAGUGGGUGACUUGUGUUCUGGAGGUGGCUUCUCCACCGAAGGCUUGUGCUCCGGUGGUGGCUUUUUGGUUGGAGGGGGCUUGGGGUAAUCAGCAAGAGAUGGGGUGGUGAGAACCACCAGUCCAAGGAACAACACUAGCAAGUAUGUGGGAGACAUUUUUGAGUUUGGGCUGAUCAGAUGAUGCAAAACUAAAGCAUUACGUGACCUUUUAUAGCAAGUAGCUCCCAAUACCUACUUGACACGUGUUACUGUGACCCAUAAAUAUUAUGGGGUCUAUUUGUGCCCUACCGGGUUGAAAACUUGGACAAUUGGGCAAGGACCCGCCUGACUAUGGAGGACUACUGAGGUGUGAUCACAGCUUUAGGAUUUUUCUUCCUCUGCAGCCGUCUUGCCGUUGGCAUGAUUUUCUUAAUCUCAAAUAAAGGCAUAGUUAUAGAGUUGUUUAAUCUCUAAAUGGGAUUUUAUAUAUCUUCAGAUAGCCAUUAAUACAUUUGAUGAAGAAAGAAAGACAAGUGCAUACAACAUGUAUACGACUAGCUUUCAUGGAGUUCAUUUAUGAUCAGUUUUCCUGUACAUGUAAACCAAGAUCAUAUAUGUUUUUGUUCCACAACAAUUUUGGAAUCUUGUUUAUCCGUUUUUAUCAUUAUAAUGUCACAUAGGCUGCCAACUUGGGCGCUAAAUUAAAGAUCCAGUUGGGCAAGUUCGUUUCAGAAUUUCAAUGGUGGAUUCAGGAAUUGUUUUAUAAGAUAUGCAAAAUAGUAGAGGGAUGAAUAGUGUUUCAUUAAGAAAAGAGCCCUGUAAAAAUAUUGUUUAAAGGUGCCAUAGAAACUAUAAUCAAUAAAUAACUUUUUUUCCCCAUGGGUGGUGUUUCUUGUGGGGAUCAGUGACUGGUUUGAGUCAACGCCGUGUCUCUUUAGUCCAGAAAUCAACUAUUUUAUGCAUUGAAUACAUCAACAAAGAAAAUAUGAAAGCCAAAUGACACCUCCCCCGCAAAAACUAAACCCUGGUUGCUAACUUUCUAUGUUUCAGUUCCAUUCACACAAGAAUAUUAGUUCAAGUUUGAGAAAAAUGGCGACUUACCUAGUGAUAACUCGGUCUUGGUUUGCGAUUUGACUUUAACGUCAUGGGUUGAAGCCUCCUACAAUCAUCGUGUAUGCUAGUUCAAAGCUCGUGGAAGAAGUUAUACAGGGAGGGAGAAACCUCCACAGCAAGCUCCAAAAGAGAAUUAUCACAUUGAAAGCUCCAGUUGAACACUGGGUGAAAGCCAUAACAAGAUUGGUUUUCUAUCGCUCUUUUAAGUAAUGGAAGAUUAUUAUCUCUGCUUGUCACUACAACCGUGCAUGCUGCUAGAUCUUUCUAGACACUUCAAACAGUGAAACCAAGUAUGAUUCUUUUUCUCUUGAGUGGGUCCACUUGCAUGCCAAUGAACGAGUUGAAAAGUUGGACAAUUGGCCACAGCGCGCACUUACCUUCUGGAACCGAAGGUCAGUGAAGUGGGGUUCCUUUUGGCCCCUUGUGUUUCUGUUCCAACCUACUCCAGGAACCGAAGUUCAGUGAAGUGGGGCUACUUUUGGCCUCUUGUGUUUCUGUUCCAACCAAACAAAAAUGGGAGGGAAAAAUAGCAUUAUGCUUGUGCUAAAGAUCAACGCAUGAUAGCUGAAUAAGGGAGAAAAAGGCAUUGCUAUCUCAAUUUCAUAAACUUGAUAAGUAGUGACAUUAAUAGUCUUCCUCAUAGAUGGAUACAUGGUUUUAUUUUAUUUAUUUAUUUUUAUUUUUUUGUUUUAUGUCAAUGCUAAUGAAUGAAGUGCAUUAGCUUGUUUUGUGACUAGAACUACAAAUGUCCAAAUUGGAGCUUCUCCAAUAUAUUUCUCAGUGAGUUAUUGAUUAGAACUCUUGGAUUGAGUUCCAAGAUUUGAAUCAGACCCCUCUAGCAGCUUCAGGGGUACGUAGCAACCUAUAGCAUAUUAAUGAAGACUUAGGAUUUAGACUUAGGAAUACAAAUUAAUAUGUACCUCAUGCUCUGACUAGCUUCCCUGCGUAUGCACAAAAUGGAGAUGACUCCCAAAAAAAUAGCAGAAUCGCCUUAGUAUGUUUUUGUGGUUAAGAUGAUUCUCCACUUUAUAUAUCCACAUUGGUUCAUUAUGCAAAUUAAUCAACUAAGCUAUUUUUAUUUUUUCUUAAAUGUGAAAUAGGAGCUCCAAAUUAACCUAACCAUUGGCCUGAUUGAAUUGAUUUCACUUGCAUAAUGUUAUAGUAGAAGUCCGUAAUUUGAAUUUUAUUUUUGCAAAAGGUAACGUAAAUGAAGCAUUGUAAUUAAAUUUAUUUGUAAUUACAAACUAAUUUUAUUUUAUUAAGAAUUAAUUUAAUUACUCAUUUAAAAUAAAAAUCAGUUAUACUUUUACCAAGAUGAUAAUAUUCAUAUUUUUCUAGUUAACAUAUAUAAAAUAGUACACUUUUUCAUAUAAAAAAAUAAUUUAUGAUUUAUUAUAAUGUUACUAUUCACAUUUUACUAAAUUGAUGGUACAUGAUAGUGAGAGAAGGGGGUGUCACACUCAGCUAAAGUUCUUUUCAAAAUAUUGCAUGGUGUUUAAUUUUAUGUGUCGGCGCGCGUGUGAAUGGAACCUGCAAAAGUCCAAAUUGGCGUUUCUCCAUUUUCCACAUAGGAUGGUGACGUUAAUAGACAAAGAUACAAUAUCUGUAGACAUUGCUUAAAAAUCGAUGUGAAGUAUUAGAAAUUACAGGGCACUGUACUGGGGGAGCGGCUGCCCCGCCAAAGGAGGAAGAAUGUAGCAAUUUCUUCUGUUAGCCAGGCCUUAGGAUUUAUGCAUGGGAUGCCUAAUAACAAACAGAGAAAAUAUACUUUUGGGGAAGGUAUCCAACAACAGACACCAUCAUUCAGAUGGUGGGAAGGUAUCCAACAGAUGCCAUCAUUCAGAUGGUAACAUAUAUAUACAUUUAUUAGUGAGUUUUUUUAAUACCUAUAAAAAAAAAUAUACACUUUGAUAUUGUGGCUGAAUCCAUUACAUACUCAACUAACCUUGCUCAUUAGGGAUUUGACUUAACAAGGGCAACGUUGCAGUACAAGCUCAAAACUUUAUGCAGGUGACAUUACAUUUGGUAAAGAAGAGGAAAAUAACGAAAGCCAUCCAUAAAAGCAAAAUUCCACAUGGGAUGAAAUUCACAAGCUUCAUUUACGAUAGAGUCGCAUCCAGGCAAUUAAUUCCACAUUAGACCGCCUGUUGACAUGUGUACCAAUCUUUUUUCAAAAAAUAUUUAUAAAUAAUUGAUACUCACAAAAAUAAUUUAAUAUUUAUAAAGGAUAAAAAAAUAUUUUCAAAUCUAUAACAAUUUAUAAAAUAUUAAUAAAAAAUUAUCUCUUAAACUUAGUAUAGUUUUAUCAGAUUAAACUUUUAUUUUGAACAAAUAAUUUUAAUCUAAGUUUUAAAUUCUAAAAUUAUUUCCUUAAAAUAAAAUUUUAAAAUUCAACACUUCAAUUGAAAUUGUCUUUUUAAAAAAUAUCUUCUUAUUUUAAUCCUUAUAAACUAUAGUUGAUUGAAAAUACUAUUGAAGUUCUCUCUUAAAAAAAAGUCUUAUUUUAAUCUUCAUAAAUUGCCCUUGAUUUGAAAAUAAAUUUUCAGUUAUCAUAUUUUAAAUAAUAUCUAUAUUUAAAAUACUCUAUUUAAAAAAAAAUGAACUAAUUUUAAUUAUAUUAUAUUUUAUUUUUUUAUAUAUUUUUAAUGAUAAACCAAACAUAGAAAAUCAUUUUUCUAAAUAUUUUAAAAUUUCUAAGCAACCAAACAUAAUCUUCAAAAUAAAAGGAAAAUAAGGAGGGACAUUUGAGAAAUGGCGAUUAAAAAAAAGUGUACAAAAGCUCAAUUAAUUUUCUUCUAGUCUUUUAUAUAAAAAAGUAAAGGAAUUGAAAAGUAUUGAUAUGUAAAUUAAUAUUUGGAUUUUAAUAGUAUUUUAUUUGUCUUUCUCUAUCUCAUGUAAAAGAGAAUUUAAGAUAUUUCCUAAAGCAAAGCAUUAGUUAUCUGCAAUCAGUGGUGAUCAUGCCCCAUGUCAAUUUCGGACCCAUAUCUUAAAACUGUAUAAUUUGCAUUCAAACAUUACUGAUUUCUCAGAUGUUUCAUACUCCACAGAAGAGCAUUGUUUGUGAAAGCAUGCAUUUAUGUUGGAUUUUGGAUGAUGUGGGAACUGGGGCAAGGAUCAUAUGGAAGAGUGGUCGAUUUUGUUCUGUACUUUAACAUUUGAAAUAGGAGAAGCUCGGGCAUUUGUGGGGCUUAAUUGAUUUUGAAGCCUGAAAUUGCGUUUCUGUCAUUUUGUAAAAAAUAUGGCAGAUUCCAUGCUCUCAUAUGUUUGGUCUGUGGCCAUGUAUAGAUGCCCCUUAGUGACCAGUUUGUAACUGUCAAUCAUAGUGUUUUGACUCUGGCUCAACAACAUCAGCCAUUGACGGAUUUUCAUACUUGCAAAUCAAAUAGUCUUCUUCCUCCCUUAGGAAUUUCGGUUUAAAUGUUAUUAAGCAUACAUUUGGCUGACAAUUAUUAACCACUUCAUGAUAUGGUUUCUUACCCUUAAUCAAUGGUUUCUAAGUGAAUAUAUGCAGAAGGAAAUCUGAACUGUAGACAGCAGUAUUGAUAACUCUCAAUAUUCUUUAUAUAAGAGAAUAAACAACGUCAUAGUGAUCGUCGCCUACAAGAAAGGUACAUUUCCCAACAAGAUGUAGUUGUGACUGGUACAUGGACGCAAUUAACUCGUACAAAAGAAUAAGACCAGUGCACGGCAGCUCUUAUUUUACAUGCUAAUUAUGCUAACCAAAGUCACUCAGUUGGGAUGGGAGGGAGAUGGAGGUUUGUGCGGUGGCUUGUGGGGCGGAGUUGGUGGCUUCUUUUCAGGAGCUUGUGGCUUUUUCGGAGCUGAAGGAGGCUCAAUCUUAUGAGGCGGCUUGUACGAGUCUUCUUUACUCUCGACAGGAGGGUGGCCAGGGUUGUGACCAUAAUGUGGUGGCUUCUCUCCCUUAGGUGGCUUGCCAACUGGGGUUGGUGGCUUGUGUUCAGGAAGUGGUUUCUCUCCCUUGGGAGGUUUACCAAUUGGGGUUGGUGGCUUGUGUUCUGGGAGUGGUUUCUCUCCCUUGGGAGGUUUAGUGGGUGACUUGUGUUCUGGAGGUGGCUUCUCCACCGGAGGCUUGUGCUCCGGUGGUGGCUUCUCCACCGGAGGCUUGUGCUCCGGUGGUGGCUUCUUGAUUGGAGGGGGCUUGGGGUAAUCAGCAAGAGAUGGGAUGGUGAGAACCACCACUCCAAGGAACAACACUAGCAAGUAUGUGGGAGACAUUUCUGAGUUUGAGCUGAUCAGAUGAUGCAAAACUAGAAGAAUUACGGGACCUUUUAUAGCAAGUAUCUCCCAAUACCCACAUGACACGUGUUACUAUGACCAUAAAUAUUAUAGGGUCCAUUUGUGCCCUACCGGGUUGAAAACUUGGACGCUUGGCCGAGGACACACCUGACUAUGGAGGACUAUUGACGUGUGAUCACAGCUUUUGGAUUUUUCUUCCUGUGCAGCUGUCUAGCGGUUGGCAUUAUUUUCUUAAUCUUAAAUAAAGGCAUAGUUAUAGAGUUGUUUAAUCUCUAAAUGGGAUUUUAUAUAUCUUCAGAUAGCCAUUAAUAUAUUUGAUGAAGAAAGACAAGUGCAUACAACAUGUAUACGGCUUGCUUCAAUCGAGUACAUUUAUGAUCAGUUUUCCUGUGCAAGUAAACCAGUUUUUUGUUCCACAACUAUUUUGGAAUCUUGUUUAUCAGUUUCUAUCAUUAUAAUGUCACAUAGGCUGCAAACUUGGGCACCCAAAGAUCUAGGUGGGCAAAUUUGUUUCAGACUUUCAAUGGUGGAUUCAGUAAUUGUUAAAAGGUGUUUCUUCAUUAAGGAAAGAGUCCGGUAAAAAUAUUGUUAAAAGGUGUCAUAGAAACUAUAAUAAAUAAAUAACUUCUUUUCCCCAUGGGUGGUGUUUCUUCUGGGGAUCAGUGACUGGUUAGGGUCACCCAAAAUGAGUCCAGAUUAAAAUUGGUUCGAGUCAAAGCAGUCUCUUUUGUCCAGAAAUCAACUAUUUUGCGCAUUGAAUGAAUCGAUAAAGAAAAAAUGAAAGCCAAAUCACACCUCCCCUGCAAAACCUAAACCCCGGUUGCUAACUUUCUAUGUUUCAGUCCUAUUCAUAUAGGAAUAUUGGUUCAAGUUUGAGAAAAAUGGCAACUUACCUAGGGUUUACUUGGUUUUGGUUUGCGACUAUUUACGCAACCAACCAUGAGUUUGACUUUAACGUCAUGGGUUGAAGCCUCCUACAAUCAUGUAUGAUAGUUCAAAGCUCGUGGAAGAAAUUAUACAGGAAGGAAGAAACCUCCAAAGCUAGCUCCAAAAGAGAAUUAUCACAUCGAUAGCUCCAGAGAUUCCCAAGGGAACUGAAUCAAAGACAAGUUCCUCACUUUUUCUUCUUUUGAGGCCAAAUAUGAACCAAGGAUCACACGACCUCAUUCAACUUCAUAAGUUUGAUUUCAUGCAGUUGAACACUGGGUGAAGGCCAUGACAAGAAUUGAUUAAAAAAUUCUACCACUCUUUUAAGUAAUGGAAGAUUAUUAUCUCUGAUUGGCACCACAACAGCACAUGCUGCUAGAUCUUUCUAGACACUCCAUGCAAUGAAAGCACAAUGGAUCUUGUAAUGAUAGAAACUAAGCCAUGCUACAGUACUAGAUGAGGGGGUAAAACUAGUAGACAUCUUUCUAGACACUCCAUGCAAUGAAAGCACAAUGGAUCUUGUAAUGAUAGAAACUAAGCCAUGCUACAGUACUAGAUGAGGUGGUAAAACUAGUAGACAUGGCUGGCAGUUGAUUACUACUCAAAAAGUACUCUUUUAUAGCUUGAAACUAACUGUUUUAAACACUUUUGAGUAGUAGUUAAUACCUUUUAACUUAAUUGGCACAUUAAGGAACCUAGCAAGGGUUACUAAUCAACAUUUGGCAAGUUUUGAUGUUUUUGGUAGCUAUUUGAUCAUUGAAACAAGCCAAGAAUGAGGGGGAAUUUUGUGAAGUCCAUGGCAAUGCAAGUUAAAGCUCAAAUACAUGAAGAAUCCAAGCUUUGGAGCACUUCAUAGCCCUUUGCCAAGCCAAUCAAAGAUGCAAGGAAGAAAACCAAAGGAAGAAAUCCAACAAUCAGCAUUUUGGCAUGGCUAUGUGAAAUUUCGCACACCAUGCGAAACCACAAGAGGCAGCCAAAGAAUUUCGCAUGGUAUGCGAAAUCUUCUUGUGCACUGACUCUGUUAGAUUUUUAUCUUCAGAUAUUUUGUGUAAUUUCCUAGUUUCUCCUUGUAACCAACUUAGAUAUUUUCUUUUAUAUCUUUUUUUAUAUUUUUUAGGUAACAUCAUAUAUAAGAGGAGAGACAUAAGGAGGAUAUGGAUGUUUUUCAUAGAACACUUGUAAAUUUUUGGUAGUAAGAAAUAUACAAAGCUUUUUGCUCUGCCUUACCUUCUCAAGGGAUGAGUGGCUAGGUUUUCUUGGAGUGAGGGAAGCUAGGUGAAGGACCUGAAUGCAAAGGUGGGAGUUUUCCUUACUUUAAAUGAAAGUAGUUGUUAAACAUUAAUGGUUUUUAUUUUAAGGUUUAGCUUUAAAUCCCUGAAAAACACCUUGAAUGGCCAAUACUUGGUAAGCUUUUUAGAUUCUAUGGAUGCUUAUUGCUAGAUCCAUGGAUGUCUAUUAGUUAUCAUUUACGAGCCAUUGGAAGGUGAUUCAAGGUGAGGGUCUUUAGUGUUUGAAGCCAUUAAUGGGAAGCAAUUACCAUUUUUUCAUGAAUCCUUUGGAUCAAAUCUUAAUUGCUAAAUAUAAAACCGGUUUCGAGAGAUAACCACCAUCCUUUAUGUUAUUAUCCCCAACGCGAGGAGAAGAUCCGAAAUCUUCCUUUUUAUCUAAGGAACCCGAUCCUAGUGACCUAAAGCUCCAAGAUACCUUUUCUUUGUAGUUAACUUCAUUUAUUGUUUUUGCUUAACUUAAAAUCAAUCUUUGCAACCACAAUUCCAUUUUCUUUAAAAGCUAAUUUUUAUAAGGAAAAACACCAUUUUAUUUCCUUCACUAAGUCAACUGUACGAUGAAAACCCAUCCCUGUGGACGAUCCUAGAGCCACUAUACUAUGUUAGCUAUGCUACCCUAGUGUGAGGUGAUUUAGGUUUUAUAAAUUUUUUUGAUAACACCCAUCUGAGCCAGAAUCAAAUGGCACGACUGAACCAGGGACGAAUCAAAUGACGCCGCUACCAAGGAUGGUGCCAAAGUACAUUGACAUGACUUUUGGUGAACACUUGUGAUCUUCACCACAAGUUUGGUGAUUUUUCUUUUACUAAUUUUUUUUAUUUUAGCUUAUCUUUUAUUUAGUUUUUAGUUAACCUUAAAUUUUUCCUAGAAUUGUAUUUCUUUUGUUUUCUUUGUUUUUGUUUCAGUGAUCUUUAGUUGUGCAUGCCCUAUUGGAUAAGAGAUAUUGAGGGAAUACUUGUGAAGAUUGAAACUCCUCGAGAAACUGAGUUAGAAGUGUGCUUGAACAUCAUGGAUGUUCCACCUGAAGACCAGAAUAGCCAACAUGGUUAAGAGGAUAAUUUCAACACAUACCGAUCCAUGAGGAACCGCAUACAUCCACCUUGUAUGAGUGCACCGUCAGGCAUAAUGCCUCCCACUGAGCAGCUAGUAAUCUGACCUCACAUUGUGCCACUCCUACCUACUUUCCAUGGGAUGGAGAGUGAGAAUCCCUACUCGCAUAUUAAGGAAUUCGAGGAGGUUUGUAAUACAUUCCAAGAAGGAGGAGCUUCAAUUGACUUGAUGAGGCUCAAGCUAUUUCCUUUCACUUUGAAGGAUAAGGCCAAGAUUUGGCUUAAUUCUUUAAGGCCAAGAAGUAUCCAAACUUGGAUUGAUUUGUAAGCCGAGUUUCUUAAGAAGUUCUUCCCUACCCAUAGGACCAAUGGUUUGAAAAGGCAAAAUUUGAACUUCUCAGUUAAAGAGAAUGAGAAAUUCUAUGAGUGUUGGGAGAGCUACAUGGAAGCUAUUAACGUUUGUCCUCACCAUGGCUUUGACACAUGGCUCUUAGUGAGCUAUUUUUACAAUGGUAUGUCUUCUUCAAUGAAGCAACUCCUAGAAACUAUGUGUGGAGGAGACUUCAUGAGUAAGAAUCCGGAGGAAGCCAUGGACUUUUUGAGUUAUGUGGCUGAAGUUUCAAGAGGAUGGGAUGAACCAAAUGCUAGAGAGGUGGGAAGAAUGAAGUCUCAACCUAAUGCUAAGGGUGAGAUGUAUGUUUUGAAUGAAGACAUUGACAUGAAAGCAAAGGUUGCAGCUAUGGCAAGGAGAUUGGAAGAGCUAGAAAUGAAGAACAUACAAAAAGUGCAAGCCAUUUCUGAGACAUCAAUGAAAGCUAUGCCUUGUUCCAUUUGUCAAUCUUAUAAGCACCUAGUGGAGGAGUGUCCUACAAUUCCAGCAGUGAGAGAGAUGUUUGGUGAUCAAGCAAAUGUUAUUGAUCAAUUCAAGCCUAAUAACAAUGCUUCAUAUGGCAACACCUACAAUUCAAAUUGGAGGAACCAUUCAAAUUUCUCUUGGAAACGAAAGCCACCUCAAUACACACAACCUACUCAAGCACCUUAGCAAUCCUCGAAUCUUGAACAAGCUAUUGUGAACCUUAGCAAGGUUGUGGGAGACUUUGUGGGAGAUCAGAAGUCCAUCAAUGCUCAACUGAAUCGGAGAAUUGACAGUGUGGAGAGUACAUUGAACAAAAGGAUGGAUGAGAUGUAAAAUGAUCUGUCUCAAAAGAUAGACAAUGUCCAAUACGUAAUCUCAAGGCUUACCAACCUCAACACAGUGUAAGAGAAAGGAAAGUUUCCUUCUCAACCUCAUCAAAAUCCUAAGGGUAUCCAUGAAGUAGAGGCUCAAGAGGGAGAAUCUUCAAAGGUGAGGGAAGUCAAAGUAGUUAUCACCUUGAAGAGUGGUAAAGAGGUUGAUCAACCCACAUCCAAGCCAAAGCAUAAUGAAGAGAGUGUAGCAGAAAAAGAAAAGAGAGGAAAAUAAAGGAAUUAGAAUAGAGAAAAAUACAAAGAAAGAUGACCAUGAGUCUAGUGUGGAUGAAGAGCCCGAGAGGAUGGUGAUCAAGGAAGAUAUGAUGAAGAAACACAUGCCUCCACCUUUCCCCUAAGCUUUGCAUGACAAAAAAAGAACCAAUAAUACAUCAGAAAAUUUUGAAGUAUUGAGGCAAGUGAAGGUCAAUAUCCCUUUGCUAGACAUGAUCAAACAAGUGUCGACAUAUGAAAAAUUCUUGAAGGACUUGUGCACUGUAAAGAGAGGGUUGAAUGUGAACAAGAAAGCUUUAUUGACCGAGCAAGUGAGUUCCAUCAUACAGUGCAAGUCCUAGUGAAGUACAAAGAUCCGGGUUGCCGUACCAUCUCAGUGAGUAUUGGAAGGACUUGUGUGGAGAAAGCUUUGUUGGACUUGGGAGCAAGUGUGAAUUUGCUAUCCUACUCUGUCUAUAAGCAGUUGGGAUUUGGAGAGUUGAAGCCAAUAUCCAUCACUCUAUCUCUAGCGGAUAGAUCAAUGAAGAUUCCAAGAGGGAUGAUCGAAGAUGUCCUGGUUCAAGUUAACAAAUUCUACUAUCCAGUAGAUUUUGUUGUUCUUGAUAUGGAUCCGGUUGUCAAAUGAACUAAUUAUGUUCCUAUCAUACUUGGAAGACCCUUCCUAGCUACAUCAAAUGCAAUCAUCAAUUGUAGGAAUGGAGUCAUGCAACUCACAUUUGUCAACAUGACAUUAGAGCUCAACAUCUUCCAUUUGUACAAGAAGCAUAUCCAUCAGGAGGAAAAAGAAGGUCUAGAGGAAGUGUGAAUGAUUGACACUUUAGUGGAAGAGCAUUGUGAUCGAGAAUGCAAAAAGAUUUAGUUGAGAAUUUUGGGGAUCUUGAUGAAAGGUUACUUGAACCCUCAGAUUUGCUUGCUACCCUACUCCAUUGGAAGAGAAGAGAAGAAAUUCUACCCUUAUUCAAUGAGGAGGAGACGCAAAGAGCUGCAAAGGAGAAACCCCCAAAACUUAUUCUUAAGCCACUACCCACAGAGUUGAAGUAUGUAUACUUGGAAGAAGACAAGAAGUGCCCUAUUGUUAUAUCUUCAACUCUUACCAUUCAUCAGGAGGAUUGUCUACUUGAAGUCCUUAGAAGAUGUAAGAAGACAAUAAGGUGGCUAAUUUCUUAUUUGAAAGGGAUCAGCCCUUUAGUCUGCACCCAUCAUAUUUACAUGGAGGAUGAAGCUAAGCUAAUUCAUCAACCUCAGAGAAGGUUGAACCCUCACAUGCAAGAGGUGGUUCGAGCUGAAGUUCUGAAGCUACUUCAGACCAGUAUUAUUUACCCCAUAUCAAAUAGCCCAUGGGUGAGUCCUACUCAAGUUGCGCCAAAGAAGUCUGGGAUCAUGGUGGUGCAAAAUGAUAAGGGAGAAGAUGUCUCUACACGCCUCACUACAGGUUGGAGGGUGUGUAUCAAUUACAGGAGGUUGAAUGCAGUGAUAAGAAAGGACCAUUUCUCAUUGCCCUUUAUUGAUCAGGUGCUUGAGAGGGUCUCUGGGCUUUUUUUUUUAUUGUUUCUUGGAUGGCUACUCCGGGUACUUUCAGAUAGAAAUUGAUGUUGAAAACCAAGAUAAGACCAUUUUCACAUGCCCAUUUGGAACCUAUGCAUAAAGGAGAAUGCCUUUCGGCUUAUGCAAUGCACCCGCAACUUUCCAAAGAUGCAUGUUAAGCAUUUUCAGUGAUAUGGUGGAGCGUAUUAUGGAAGUCUUUAUGGAUGAUAUCACCAUUUAUGGAAGUGCAUUUGAUGAAUGCUUGGUCAACUUAGAAGCUGUUCUGAACCGAUACAUUGAGAAAGACUUAGUGCUUAACUGGGAGAAGUGCCAUUUCAUGGUACACCAAGGGAUUGUCCUUGGGCACAUUAUCUCCAAGCAAGGCAUUGAAGUUGACAAAGCAAAGGUUGAACUCAUUGUUAAGUUGCCAUCCUCAACAAAUGUCAAAGGAGUAAGGCAAUUCUUUGGCCAUGUCGGGUUCUAUAGGAGGUUUAUCAAGGAUUUCUCUAAGCUUGCAAGGCCUCUUUGUGAAAUAUUGGUGAAUGAUGUUAAAUUCAUAUGGGAUGAUGGAUUUGAAAGGAGUUUUGAAGAAUUGAAGCUAUUUUUGACAACCGUACCAAUAGUGAGGGCUCCCAACUGGCAACUGCCCUUUGAAGUAAUGUGUGAUGUCAAUGAUUUUGCUAUAGGAUUUUUUCUUGGGCAAAGAGAAAAUGGAAAACCUUAUGUGAUCUACUAUGCGAGGAAGGCAUUGAAUGAGGCACAAAGAAACUACACAACCACCGAGAAAGAAUUGUUAGCUGUAGUUUUUGCCUUGGAUAAGUUUCGCGCUUACUUGGUGGGGUCCUUCAUCAUGGUUUUUACUGAUCACUUUGCUUUGAAGUAUCUGUUGACUAAGCAAGAUGCUAAAGCAAGGCUGAUUAGAUGGAUUCUCUUACUUCAAGAGUUCAAUCUCCAUAUCAAAGAUAAGAAAGGAGUGGAGAAUGUGGUAGCAGACCACAUUUCAAGGCUAGCUAUCGCACAUAAUUCCCAUGCUUUGCCCAUUAAUGACGAUUUUCUAGAGGGGUCUCUCAUGUUGGUGGAAGUUGUCCCUUGGUACGCUCACAUUGCUAACUACCUGGUCACGGGAAAAGUUCCAAGUGAGUGGAAAGCACAAGAUAAGAAGCACUUCUUUGCAAAAAUUCAUGCCUACUAUUGGGAAGAGCCAUUUCUAUUCAAGUAUUGUAUGGAUCAGAUAAUAAGGAAGUGCGUUCCUGAAGAAGAGCAACAGGGGAUCCUUAGUCAUUACCAUGAAAAUGCAUGUGGAGGCCACUUUGCUUAUCAAAAGACAGCCAUGAGGGUGUUGCAAUCGGGUUUCUGUUGGCCAUCACUUUUCAAAGAUGCCCACACCAUGUGCAAGAGUUGUGAUCGAUGCCAGAGGCUUGGGAAGUUGACACGCAGGAACAUGAUGCCUUUGAACCCCACUUUAAUAGUUGAUAUUUUUUAUGUUUGGGGCACUAACUUCAUGGGACCUUUCCCUAUGUCUUUUGGCUACUCUUACAUCUUGGUAGGAGUAGAUUAUGUUUCUAAGUGGGUUGAGGCAGUCCCAUGCAAACACAAUGACCAUAGAGUGGUUCUCAAGUUUCUUAAAGAGAAUAUCUUCUCAAGAUUUGGGGUGCCCAAAGCCAUAAUUAGUGAUGGGGGUACUCAUUUUUGCAACAAGCCUUUUGAAACUCUCCUAGCCAAGUAUGGGGUGAAGCAUAAGGUAGCUACACCUUACCACCCUCAAACUCAUGGACAAGUUGAGUUAGCAAACAGGGAGAUUAAAAACAUAUUGAUGAAGGUGGUGAACACAAACAGAAAAGAUUGGUCAGUCAAGCUUCUUAAUUCACUAUGGGCAUAUAGAACAACUUACAAGACCAUUCUCGGGAUGUCUCCUUAUCGCCUAGUUUAUGGCAAAGCAUGCCAUCUCCCUGUGGAAUUGGAAUACAAAGCUUGGUGGGCAAUCAAGAAGCUCAACAUGGAUUUGAGCAGAGCUGGGUUGAAGAGGUUCUUAGACCUUAAUGAGAUGGAGAAAUUGAGAAAUGAUGCCUACAUCAAUUCAAAAAUUGCAAAAGAAAAAUUGAAGAGGUGGCAUGAUCAGUUGAUUUCCCGCAAGGAUUUUCAAAAUGGACAAAGAGUCUUACUUUAUGACUCUAAACUCCACAUCUUUCCGGGCAAGCUGAAAUCAAGGUGGAUAGGUCAUUUUACCAUUCACCAAGUGCAUUCAAAUGGAGUAGUGGAACUACUCAACUCCAACAAUAUCGAGAACUUCAAAGUGAAUGGCCACCGUCUCAAGCCCUUUGUGGAGUCUUUUUCUCACAACAAGGAGAAAUUCAUCCUCCUUGAUCCACAUCAAGCUUAACAAGACCAAUUUUCUUGAUGGACUUAGUCUUUCUAAAGACUAUCGAGUCCAUAACUUUUUGUUUUAUUUUUUAUUUGAGAUUUUUUCGGUAUUGUUACUUGUUUUGUUUUUUAUUUUUCGUUUUAAUUUUAUUUGGUUUGAUUUAACUUAGGUUUUUGAUGAUCAAUUACAGGGGGGAUUUCAAAUAGAGGAAAAACCAAGAUAAUUCGCACACCCUACGAAAAUUUCGCAAGGCAUGCGAAAUUUAUGGCUUAUUUUGCAUGGGGUGAAAAUUUUCGUACAUCUUACGAACCAAUUUCGAACACUUUGCGAAAAUAAACCAACCCUGCGAAAUCAUUUCGAUUACUCUACGAAAUUUUCGUAGAGCAUGCGAAAAAUUUAGCACACCAAACACCAUUUCGCAUACUAUGCAAAAACCUAAGGGGUCUGCGAAACCAUUUCGCACCUCCAAAUCCAUUUCGCACAUUGUGCGAAAACCAAGAGGCGCUGUGCGAAAAUGAAAAGUCGCCCUGUCAUCCCUUUUUAAACCCCUCGAGCCCUAAAAUCUCCAUUUCGCAAGCACCCCUGUCCUUGCGAAUCCCUCAUUUUCCUCUACUACCUUGCAACCUCGUCCCUUUCCAUUUGAUAUUGUGCCCCGCGCACAUCUCAUUUCAGAGACUCGCACUCCGCGCCCCCUCAAAGCAUGGACUCGAGACCCACCUUCCAUUUCCGACGUGGCACGGACCCAAGGAGCCCUUUCUGCCCCUUCACUAAGACACACACCAAGGCAGAAAGCCUCCUUUGCUCAAGUGCCUAGUGAUUCUCCAUCUUAGGCCUCAGAGGCCUCGGAGGCCCCGUGGAUUCCACCUUCCGAGGGUAGAGCAGCCAUUGGUCCUUCCUCUUCUACUCCUUAGCGUAGAUACGAGACGAGGAGACCACCUACUACACAAGGGGCGACUACUUCGAGCCUUGAGAAUUCAGUACGAUGCCUUCCUGCCAAGAGGGUCAAGACUUCAGGUCCAAGUGAGUCAUCCAGAGCUUCAUAGCCUAAGCCUCCUGUAGAUUCCAAGGUUCCUACUGACAUAUCACCGGAGUCUAUUAUCAGAAGCCCGAUGCUCAUAGCACCGCCCAUUGAGGGCAACUCAGAUUAUAGAGCGAGAUCUUUCCACUUGGAGCUAUAUUUUGAUCAGGAGGCCAUACGACAGCAGCCUGAGCUCCGAGACUCUUAUGGCUUACUGCAGAGGUACCAUCUUGAGGAACUUAUGACUCCUCGUGAGUUUUUUUAUCCCAGAGUAGCACUAAACUUUUACCAGUCCAUGACUACUCGUGGCGUCCCGAGUCCUACCACGAUUCACUUCACCAUUGAUAGACGUCAUGGUAUCCUCAAGGCCAGACAUAUUACAGAGGCUCUACAAAUUCCUUUCGAGCUAGAGGAUCCAUCUGUUUUUCGCUAAUGGUCCCCAGUAUCUCAGAGGGACAUGGUCCGUAUUUUAUCUAGGGGAACAUCUACAGAUUCGAUCUUUCUACGGAAGGAGCUUCGACCUGGGAUGCUCCUCUUAGAUGUGGUGCUAUGCUCCAACCUCUUUCCCUUACAACAUUCGGUACAUAGGUGAUGAGCUAUUUUGGACGCUUUAUUCCGUAUAUCAGAGGGCUUCUACUUUGGCCCGCACCACUUGAUCAUGGUCUCCCUCAUCCACUUUGAGGAGAAGGUUCAUAGGAAGAAGCUUCAGAGGGUGGACACCAUUCCAUUACUAUUCCUGAGGUUACUUUGCCAGGUCUUGGAGUACAUGGGCUUUCCUACUGAGCCUCGGCUCGAGCUUUGCCGCCUUUGUCGAGAGUGAUCCACUCUCGACAAAUGGAAUUAGUUGGCGGGCUAUUCUGCACCUCCAGGAGCCCCUCCCAUGGUAGCACCUCCAAUGUCCCCACAGGCAAAGUAGGGCGAGCUCCCGGCAAAGACUGUACCACCAAUGCCCACACUUGAGGCUAUUUCUGCUGCUCUGCCUAUGACUCCUACUGUUCCACCAGUUGGUCCUUUUACAUCCGAGCCUUCCAUCACCAUCUCGGCUUCGGAGUUUCGCGCCCUUGUGCAUACCUUUCAGACACUCACCACCACACAUACUCCUCUCUUCUAGCAAAUGGUUGAGAUGUGUGCCCAUCAGGACCGGAAGACUACUAUACUCUGCCAAAUUCAGCAGCACCUAAGACUUUUGCCUCAACCUCAACCUAACCAUCCCAUAUCAUCAGAGCCUCUAGCUCCAACUGAGGAUACUAUUCCACCUGAGAACACUACCACAGUAGAGGUCCGGUUUCCACCACCUUAAGAGGCCACCACAGCUACAUCAGAGGAUGUGUCAUCUCCACUUGAGGCUCCCACUACUUGAUCAUAGGACAUAUCUUUAUCUUAUUGUAUUUACAUAUUAUAUUACUAGAGAUUUGUCCUUGUUUUGAUACUUUAUAUUCUGGGAUUGGAUGUAUUGCCUGAUGAUAUCUCAAUUGUACUUUCUCAUAUUAAUAUAUAGACAUCAAUUUUUUUUAGUAUACUUAGCAUUUUUCUAUUUCCUCUACUCAUUACUCUUUUGUUUUUUUUUACUCAUGUGGUUUCUCUUAUACAACUCAGACUCCAUUUCACUCAGGAGGUACCACUUCCUCCCUUUAUUUUCAAUUGCUCUUGAAAUAUUGAGUGCAAUGUUGAUCUUGGUUGGGGGGAGAGUUGAGGAAGGAAGUUUUGUUAAUAAUGCUAGGUUAAUUUGUUAAUUUAGUUACUUUCUGCUUAAUUUUAAAAGUUUUCACUCUACUUUCCAUGGUUAUUAAGGAAAAAUUCUCAAAAUGAAAUGGGAGAAAUCGAAUUCUUGCAUUUUUACUUGAAUCUUAGAAUUUGUAUCAUGCUUAUUAAAGUUGAUGAAUUAUUGAAACUCCUAUUGAAUUCAACCUUAUUUUUUCCACUUUAAUCUUACCACACACGGUGCACAUUAGGUUCCAGUUAUAAGAUAAAAAACUAUCUCACCCCCUAAACUUAGAAAAAUUUACACUUGGUACCUUUGACAUCGUUUUAAUAGUGUUGGGACACCUUAUAAAAGGCCAAUGAGCCUUUAAAAAAAAAAAAAAAAAAAAAAAGAGAAAGAACAAAGUAUUGCACUUGCCUUGAAACCUGAGCAAGAUCCGAGGGGUAUACAGUGAAAGUCUUUAAAACCUGGUGCCCUAAGCCUUGAUUGGUUGGGAGUCACCGACCUCAAUGCUCGUUAUAAGGGUGAAUAGGUGGAGUUUAACAUAUUGUAGGUGCUUGGGUAUUGAAUUUCAAUCUCAAAAGUCCGGGAAAAAAUCUAAGGAGUUAGUGGUCAAAAGAUCCUUAAAGCUUGAUGCCCUAAACCUUGAUUGGUUGAGAGUCAUUGAUGGAUCCCCGCUACAUGGACAUUUUAGAAAACAAUACCUUUAGCAUUGCACGCCUACAAUGAAAAAAAAAUGUGAAAUAAAAGAGGUGCGUUCUUAGCCUAUUGGAGGUUGGUCAGUUUGCUAAAGUUUGAGAAAUCUAGGUUGGGGGGAGAGAAUAGUCCGACAUACUAUAAUAAAAAACUAAUAACCUUAACACUUAGAUUUUUGUGGAAGAGUAAGGAUUGGACCUUUAGGGGUGGAAAUUCUUUUGAUGCUUAAAUUUGCAUAAUGCCUACUCUUUAUAAAUUAUGAUUAGGCAAGAGAUUUGAUGACUCUUGUUCAAAGUUGGGUUUUUCCUCUUUGAUGUUCCAUGAGAGAGUAUAAUCCUCAUCAUGCCACUUGAAAUCUUUUUGGAGUGAUUAACAUGAUUUUGUAAAUUAUUUUACUGUCUAUUUUUCUUUAUCUCUCUUUUAUUGCUAAUGGACUAGCAAUAUGUCAGUUGGGGGGAGUGAUUACUACUCAAAAAGUACUCUUUUAUAGCUUGAAACUAACUGUUUUAAACACUUUUGAGUAGGUGUUAAUACAUUUUAACUCAAUUGGCACAUUAAGGAACCUAACAAGGGUUACUAAUAAGUUUUUGGCAAGUUUUGGUGUUUUUGGUAGCUAUUUGAUCAUUGAAACAAGCCAAGAAUGAGGGAGAAUUUUGUGAAGUCCAUAGCAAUGCAAGUUAAAGCUCAAAUACAUGAAGAAUCCAAGCUUUGAAGCACUUCAUAGCCCUUUGCGAAGCCAAUCAGAGAUGCAAGGAAGAAAACCAGAGGAAAAAAUCCAACAACCAGCAUUUUCGCAUGGCUGUGCGAAAUUUUGCACACCAUGCGAAACCACAAGAAGUAGCCAAAGAAUUUUGCACACCAUGCGAAAUUUCGCAUGGUAUACGAAAUCUUCCUAUGCACCAACUCCGUUAUAUUUUUAUCUUCAGAUAUUUUGUGUAAUUUCCUAGUUUCUCCUUGUAACCAACCUAGAUAUUUUCUUUUAUAUCUUUUUUUUAUAUUUUUUAGGUAACAUCAUAUAUAGGGGGAGAGACAUAAGGAGGAUAUGGAUGUUUUUCAUAAAACACUUUUAAUUUUCUGGUAGUAAGAAAUAUACAAAGUUUUUUGCUCUGCCUUACCUUCUCAUUUUGUUUUCACCUAUCUUUCUAGCCAAACAACCUCUGAGAAUGAUUUCUCAGGGGAUGAGUAGUUAGGUUUUACGUUUCUUGGAGUGAGAGAAGCUAGGUGAAAGACCCAAAUGCUAAGGUGGGAGUUGUCCUUGCUUUAAAUGAAAGUAGUUGUUAAAUAUUAAUGGUUUUUAUUUUAAGGUUUAGCUUUAAAUCCCUUAAAAACACCUUGAAUGGCCAAUACUUGGUAAGCUUUUCGGAUUCUAUGGAUGCUUAUUGCUAGAUCCAUGGAUGUCAUUAGUUAUCAUUUAUGAGCCAUUGGAAGGUGGUUCAAGAUGAGAGUCUUUAGUGUUUGAAGCCAUUAAUGGGAAACAAUUACCAUUUUUUCAUGAAUCCUUUGGAUAAAAUCUUAAUUGCUAAAUAUAAAACUGGUUCGGGAGAUAACCAUCCUUUAUGUUAUUAUGCCCAAUGCAAGGAGAAGAUUUCGAAUCUUCUCAUUUGUCUAAGGAACCCGAUCCUAGUGACCUAAAGCUCCUAGAGACCUUUUCUUUGUAGUUAACUUCAUUUAUUGUUUUUGCUUAACUUAAAAUCAAUCUUUGCAACCACAAUUCCAUUUUCUUUAAAAGCUAAUUUUUAUAAGGAAAAGCACCAUUUUAUUUCCUUCACUAAGUCAACUGUAUGAUGAAAACCCAUCCCUGUGGACGAUCUUAGAGCCACUAUACUAUGUUAUCUAUGCUAUCCUAGUGUGAGGUGAUUUAGGUUUUAUAAAUUUUGUUGAUAACACCCGUCUGAGCCAGAAUCAAAUGGAACCACUGAACCAGGGACAAAUCAACAGCCUAUAUGGGAGGGACACAAGUUUAAUUGAUUUGCAUUUCAGCGUUAUAGAUAAGUAUGUUUUGGAAGAUUUGUUCUGGAAAUACUGCACCAAGUACGAUUCUUUUUCUCUUGAGUGAGUCCAUUUGCAUGCCAAUUAACGAGUUGAAAAGUAGGAGCACCUACCUCGUGCUCAUGGAACCGAAUGUCAGUGAAGUGGGGCUCCUUUUAGCCUCUUGUGUUUCUGUUCCAACCAAGGCGGCGUAGGGAAAAACAACAAUAUGUCUGUGCUAAAUAUCAACGCAUGAUAGAUGUUUUUUUUUUUUUUUUUGGUAUGUCAAGGCUAACGAAUGAAAUGCAUUAGCUUGUUUUGUGACUAUAACUGCAAAUGUCCAAAUUGGAGUAUCUCCAUUUCUCACUUCGGAUGGUUAACUUUAUAAACAAGAUAUAGGAAACAUGUGAACAUCUUGAGGAACAAUUCAAAUUAUUCAUUAGAAGUCCUGGGUUAAGUUCCAAGAUUUAAAUCAGACCCUUCUAGCAGCUUCAAGGGUACUUAGCAACCUAUAACAUAUUAAUGAAGAUUUAGGAUUUAGACUCCGGAAUACAAAUAAAUAUGUAUCUCAUGCUUUGACUAGCUUCCCUACAUAUGCAUAAAAUGGAGAUGACCCAAAAAAAAUAGCAGAAUCUAGCUUCCCUACAUAUGCACAAAAUGGAGAUGACCCAAAAAAUAGCAUAAUCGCCUUAGUUUCUGUGGUUAAGGUGAUUCUCCGCUUAAUAUCCACAUUGACUCAUUAUGCAAAAUCAACUGAGCUAAUUUUAUUUAUUUAUUUAAUGUCAAAUAGGAACUCCUAAUUAACUGAUUACUGUCGAAAAGUGCUAUUUUGUAGACCUAAUUAUAAGGGUUUUAAGCACCUUUGAGUAGUAAUCAUAUUCAUUUAACCUAAUUAAUUCAUUAAGCUCCUUAGUAAUUAGUUCUAACCAUUUUUAGUGGCAAGUUUACAUGUUUUUCAUCAGCUUAUGAACCAAUUCAAGCAUGCCAAUUGAUGGAGGAGCUACUUGGGCGAGUUAAGCAAGGAUUUUGGACGUUUACAGGCUUGAAUUUCAAGUGGAAACACGAGCACAAGCAAUGGGAACACCAUUUCGCAAGGGGAGGCAAUUCACCUUGCCAAAUGACCAAUUUCGCAAGGGGAUUUUCCUCAUGGUGCAAAAUUUGGUCAUUUCGCACCAUGAAGAAACCACCUUGCAAAAUUUCGCAAGGUGGAUUUAGGCACCUUGCGAAAUGCCAAAUUUCACAAGGUGGCUUUUCACCUUGCGAAAUUUGGACCUUUCAUCUUCCCCCCUUGCGAAAUGCCUUUGAAAUCCCCUGUUUUGAGACGCUGUUGAUGAUAUUCCACUGCCGGUUCUCCAAGAUAUUUUGCUUGACUUUUAGCUUUAUAAAUACCUAUUUUACCCUUGUAAUCAACCAAUGAAAAGGUUGCUUUUGUAAUAGCUCUUGUAAUUUAGCUUUUUAUUGUCUUUAAAUAGAGGUGAAGAGCCUCAGACACGAUCAUCUUGUAACCUGUAACUUUAUAAGUUAUAAGAGCACUUUUGUUCAUACGCUUCUUUUCUCUUUUCUUUCUCAUUUUCUUAGUAGCCAAACAUCCUUGGAGGAUGAAAUCCCCAAGGAUGAGAGGCUAAAACCUUUUAGUUUCUUGAAGUAAUGGAUGCCAUGUGAAGCUCCCGUGUCAGGAUGGAGAUUUCCAAGCCAUAAAUGUAAGUAGCUGAGCGUCAUAAAUGUUUUCAUUCAAAGUAAAGCUUUUAAUCCCUCUGACUUGCUUUGAAUGGCCAAUACUUGAUAACCUUUUGGUCUCAAUGGAUUCUUAUUGUUAGAUCCACUGACGUUCAUUAGUUAUCUCCUACGAGCCAUUGUAUUGCAAGUCGAGGAGAUGACCUAUACCAAUAAAAGAGCAUUUAUGAGGUUCAACUACCCUUUUUGUAAGUUUUCAAGGACUAAAACUCAGUUGUUAAACUCAUACCGGUUCGAGAAGUAAGCAUCACCUUAGUUGCUUCCCCAACUCGAGGUGAAAAGUCCCAAAAUCUCCAUUUUUACACAGUGAGUUAAGCAUGGCUAUCCAAAGCUUUAAGAAACUUCUUUUUCCAUCUUUUAACCUAUUUUCAUGUUAGUUUAGUUUACAACACCUUCAUCUUUUUAUGUUUUCAUCUUAACCUAAUUUUUAUUAAGAAAAGUUCACUCCAUCCUCCGAACUUCACCAGUUAAAGUAAAAACCCUUCCCAGUGUUCGAUCCUAGAGCCACUAUGCUAUAGUAGCUUUGCUACUUUAGUGUAAGGACCUUAGGUAUAAAUUUUGUUGAUACCCUUACAUGCCAAGCUACCAAGAGUCGGGUUAUCAUUAACCUAACCAUUGGCCUGUGUAAAUUGAUUUCACAUGCACAAUGUUGUAGUAGAAGUCCAUAUUUUGAAUUUUAUUUUUGUAAAGGUAAGGAAAAUGAAGCAUUGUGUAAUUAUAAAAAUAACUUCAUUGGAAUUCACAAGGUUCACCCAAAAUGGAGCUACAUCUGUAUUCUAUCCUACAGUAGACUAUAUAGAUUGUACAAUAGUAAAUUGCAAAUACAAUUAAUAAGUCUUGUGCUUCCUUACUAAUAAUCCUUUGACAUGAACAUUGCAGCACUAAGGUCCUCUUGGGAAGACACCUUGCACCCAUGAGAGCACUAAGAGGAAGCAAGGCAGAGUCAUGGGUGCAAUGUCAUGACUUGUUGUUGCACCAAGAGAGGCUUGGUGAUGCCAUGGUGUUGCAGUAGCAAGAAUGUUGCCUUGGCAGGGACACGAUCUAGGGAUAGAUGCCAAGAAAGGCUUAGCACUCACAUGAGUUGCACAAAGAUGAAUGUAAUAGAGCAUCAGAGAGACGUCUUGGCAAGUAAAUGAAUGGAUCCAAGAGACAACAACAUGAGGAGUUUCAAAUGGAUAAGGAAUGACUCAAAGACAUUUGAAAGCUACAAGUUGGAUUCUAAUUACGAUUGCAAUUUGAGUUUGAGUAGGAGUUUAGAUUUUGAUUGUAAUUGUAGUAUGAGUUGGACUAGGAUUGCUUAUCCUUAGUCAAUAUAGGAGCGGUUCGUGUCACCCUAUGAAAAGAGUUUGAGUAGGGACUAGGAUUGCUUACUCCUAGUCAAAUAUGGAGUAGGUGGUGCCACACCUAUAAAAAAAAGGGACAACAUGAGAGAGAGAGAGAGAGAGAAAGAGAGAGUGAAUUCACUAAAGAUAUUGUGGGAGUUUUGCUUUGUUACGUCUUGUAUUAUUACUUAGAAUAGGAAUAAAAUACAAGUUGGGGCUAGAGCCCCAUAAUUAAUCUCGUGUGCCUUUGUGGUUAUUCUUUAUUUGUCAUCUCGUGUGGAUUGGAUUAGGUUGACUUAGAGGGCUUCUAAGCACCACCUUUGUGGGUUAUUAUUUAUUUUCCAUCUCUUGUGGAUUAGAUUAGGUUGACUUAGAGGGCUUCUGAGCACCACCUUUGUGGGUUAUUAUUUAUUUUCCAUCUAUUGUGGAUUAGAUUAGGUUGACUUAGAGGGCUUUUAAGCACCACAUUUGUGGGUUAUUCUUUAUUUUCCAUAUCGUGUGGGUUGGAUUAGGUUGACAAGGAGAAAAAUUAUGUGGGAAAUUUGUGUUGGGACACUUACCAUAACCAAGUAAAAUCUACCAAGUCCUUUGUAAUAUCUUCAACAAAUAUUUUAGACUAGUUCUUUCAGUUAGUGUAAAGGAGGAAGAAGUGGUAUUGAUUCUAGAAAUAGGGUGUGUGUAUUUGAACUACAAUCCUUAUGAUCCUUAGGUCUCUAAACCUUCGUGAUGGGCUCCCUGACAUUUCAUAGGUUGUGCUACACAUGCGUUUGAAAUUUAGAGUGCGUUUGACAGUGAUUCCGGGAAGUGUUUUUGGCCUUUCUUACACUUGAAAAUUUUUAUUUUUCAAGUAUUAGAAAUGCUACAAACACUUUUGAAAAUUACUGUCAAACACACUCUUAGGAGCGCACAUAUAUAGUAGAAAACUAGAAAUUGUGGUUUUUUUAGGAUUUACUGUAAUGUCAUUAGGAGGGUAGUAAGUUGAAAUUGAGUAUGAACAAAUAUUUCUUUCUUUGGGAUGUUCUUCUAGUAGGUGCUGAUGAAACUGUUCUUUCUACUGCCAAUGUCACAUAUCAGCCAGAAAUUGAAAAUUUCAGUCAAGGUGUCCUCUGUUUUAGUGGUGAGGAAAGCUAGAAAUUUUAAGGUGAAGUUUUGUUAAAAACCUUAAGUAGCUGGGAUAUCAGGCCUGUUUUGCUUGAAAAAAAAAGUUGCAAGAUAACUCAUAUGCCAAACAGGUUCUGAUAUUGUGAAUCUAUCGGCAGACAUCAGUAAUCUCAUCUUCUGAGAUGGAUGUUGGGGGUGCAUGUGGUGGUGGAGGGGCAAGGUUUCAUUUGGUUUAUUUUGUUGAUGGAUAUUGUCUAGCCACCUGCGCCAAGUUUGAGGGGUGGUGGGUUGUGAUGACCCUACAAUUACUAUUAAUUUCUUCAUCUUUUACCGAUUAAAGUGUCCGAACAGUCGAAGUUACCCUUAUGCAUGUCAACUUGAUCACUUACCUCUUCAAUGGAGUUUAUGCUGGUUCAUUUAGGAACUGAUUUUUAUUGUUAUGUAUUAUAUGCUGAUGUUUAGGUCUCUCCAUCAUCACUAUAUACAAAAAUUCUAGGUUGAUACUAUAGGUUGAGAUUUAUUUUUUAAAUAAAAAAUAAUAAAAAUAAAAAUUAUGGUGAUGUUUAGUUGUUUUAUGGAAAAUUUUAACAAGUAAAAGUUAUUUUUGGGCAAGUUUUCAAACAAAAAGAAAAGUAAAAGUUGUUUUGACAAAAACAUAUAGAAAAAAAAAUCAUAGAAAAUAAAUAAUUUCCCCAUAUUCUAACUUUUUUGAAUUUUUCUCAAUGGGCAAAGGAAUAUCAAAUCAAGUUUGAGUAGGAUUUCUUAAUUUUUAAAAUAACUUACAAUUAAAAAAUUUUGGUGUUUUCAUUUUUGGACAAUUUUUUAUUAAGCAAAUGGACUCUGAGUCAUGCAAGAGAUAUGGUUCAUUAACCGGUCGAACAAUUUUUUUAAAUUAAUUUAAAAGUCAAAUACAUAAUCAAUUUCACAAAAUUUAUAAACAAAAAUAGGUUUAGAGAAGAUCUACACAUAAUUUUACUUUUCUAAUUUUAUUUUAUUUUAUUUUUUGUUGGAAAAUAGUCUUCAAAUCAUGUAAGAUUUAAUAGGUUAAAUUUGUUAACAAUAAAUUUUAAAUUAUAAAAUAUAAUCUGGAACUCAAAAAUCAAUUCAAGUAAUGCUAAAAAAAAAUCAAAUUUGGUAUAGAAUGACUUUGUAAAUUUUUUUACAAAACAAAUGAAUUUUAAAUCAAGUGAGAUUUAAUGCAUUAGAUUUUUAUCAAAUAUAGUAAUUUUAAAAAUAAAUUUGGAACUCAACAAUAGACACAAUAAAUACCAAAAAAUAAUGAACCAAAAUUGGUUUGGAAUAACUCCACAACCUUUUUUUUUUUUUUUUGGUGCACACGAAUUUUCUUACUAGGUAUAUUGCUUUCAAAUUGAGAAAGAUUUACCAUUUAGAUUUUUUUUUAAUGAGUUUAAUGGUAUUUUAAAAUAAUUCAAAAUUUAAAAAAUUGACUAAUUAAUAUUAUAAAUUGAUAAACCAAGACUAUUUCAAAAUGCAUUGGGGGCUAAGGGGGUUGAAAAUAGGGACAAUGGGAUGGGUUUGGGACAUGACACUCAUAUCUCAUUUCCAUUCCAAUUACACAGUUAUCUCCCAUCCUUAUCCCAAACUUGUGUUGGAGCAAGUUGAUUUGUUCCCAUCUUUGUUGACGAAAUGACUAAUAACCUCAUCCCCUCCUUAUCUUAGAUGUACAUUUUGUCAAAUUUGAUCAGGUAUGAUUGAUCCAAGCCCUAACCCUAAUUGGUAAUGAGUGAAUACUACACCUAAUUGCAUUCUUCUUUCAUUGCAAAAUAAUGAGAUUAUAAUAAUCUAGCAAAUAAGAAAAAAUAGUAUGGAAGUUCAAAUUAACACCAUAACUAUCAAUAAUUUUAAGCUUAUAGAUGACUUAAAUGAUUAAAAACUAAUGCAAAAUCCUAAAAAAAAUAAAAAUCAUAUAAAGAAUUCACAAGAGAACAGAAUGAACAAAAACCAAAUAUGAACAUGGGUCAACAUUAGUUAUGGAUUUGGAUUCCUUUCAAGGCCAAUCUUUGAACCAAGACUUCAUCAAAUCAACUACUUCAAAGGCUUUUGUGUUCUUCUUGGGUUGUGCUCUCAAACAAAGACUUCGAGGUGAUGUUCUAGAUGAUUGAAUUACACAUAUUUAGGGUGGAGAGAUUGGAGAAGCUUGAAGAUGCCAACGAUGGGUACAAUUGAGUGGUCAAUAAGAACAAUGUAGCCUAUGACUAGUUUGAUGUCAUGGUACAAGAGUUUUAGGCAUUGAGGUUAAAGCAAGAGCAACAUGGAAUUGAUUUCGGAGUCUUUCAGUUAGUGUAAAGGAGGAAGAAGUGGUGUUGAUUCUAGAAAUAGGGUUUUAAGUGGUGCGUGAUUACUACUCAAAAAGUGCUAUUUGAUAGCCUUUAAUUAAUCCUUUUUAACACUUUUGAGUAGUAGUUUAGGCCUUUUAACUCAAUUGGCAUGUUAAGGAUCCUUUAAAGCAAUUUUGAUCACUUUGUGCAAGUUUUGGUGUUUUUGUUAGUAUUUUGAUCACCAAAGCAAGUCAAGAAUGAGGAGAACUAUGAGGAAUCAUGGGCAAAGCUUAGAAUUCAAUUGCCAAGAGUGAAUCCGGAUUGCAAGGAGAAAAAGCAAAGAGAAUCUGUCAUGAAGCCUAUUCUUGAUGACAGUCGUAGCAGCCACUUUUGGAGCACUUUCUGAAGUCCAAAUGAUGCAAGCUAUAUACCAUUUCAAAGAUCAGGAAGUCAACAAUCCAAUGCUUCAAACGGUGCGCGAUUCGGAGUUGAAACGAAGAAGUUGCAGCCAUUACAAGCCAGUCACUCUAAAGUGUUGCGGAAUCAGCCUUUUGUUGCGAGAAUUUCGCAGCACUUUUGUACAGUAAGGUGUUUCUCCUUCUGACGAUGCACGAACCAUGCCGCGAGAGGGAAGCUAGGAACUUCAAGAUGGAAGCCAACUUUGCAGCCUGGUGAAGAUAGCUUGGUCUUGCGAAAUAAUUUCGCAGCCCUCUUGGGUGUCUGCGAAAUUUCGCAGGCACCACUUUUUUCCUGCGAAAUGGCUCCGGAAGCCUCCCGAAGCUUGCUACCGACAUUGGGAGAUAUUUUCCAUUAGAUUUUUGUUGUCUAAAUUCCAAAAUACUCCUUGUAAACCACCAAUUACAUGAUUCCUUAGUUUUUAAGUUAGUAAAAAGACCAAAUAUCUAUGUAAUAAUUAGUUUUAUAUUAGUUUGCUAUAAAUACCUCUCGGGAGCAUGUUCUCAGAGAGGAGUUCCUUCUGUAACCAUUUUGGUAAGCAAGUAAAGUCUUUUCUUUCUACUGCCUUACCUUCUCACUUUGUAUUUUCAUUUUAUUUCUAAGUUAUGAAUUCUCUGAGGAGCUUUCCCCAGAGAAUGAGUAACUAAACCUCCAAUUCCUUGGAGCUAAGGUUGCCGGGGAAGGUUCCAAGUGCAAGAAUGCAAAGCUCUGUGGUUUUAGCUAGUAAUGAAGAGGAAGUGAAAUCCUUUAGUGAUUUCAAUGUUUUUAGUUAACUUAAAACACCUUGGAGUCACCUGGGCCAACACUUGGUAAGGCAAGUGAUUUCCAACCGUGGAAAUGCACUAGUUUACCCCUUGCGAGCCUCUGGUAGGUGACUUCAAGGUAGGAUUUUCUGGAAUUACCAACACUUGGUAAGCUUUUGGACUCCUAGGAGACAUCCAUUAGUUAUCUCUUGCGAGUUUGUGAAGGGGAAUCCAAGGUUAAAGAUCACCUUGAAUGGUAAGUGCUCGUGAGAGGCAUGAACCAUUGCAAGUUGUAUCAGUGAGAGAAUUAAAGUGAAAUCUAAUUGAAGGAGUCUCUGUACAUCACCGGUUAGAGAAUUGACUAUAAGUUGAAUCUCUAAUGCGAGGAAAUGAACCAUCUGACCGGAGCUAUGUCUUUUGCAUGAGGAACCACCCCAGUGAACCUAAAUCUCCAAGGAAUGCUUUUCUUCCUAAAUUAUUCCAAACUUCUGUUAAGUUAGUUAGUUUAAGUCUAAACCUUUACCAAUCAAACUUUGUGUUUUAUUUCUUAAGCUAACCGUGAAAUGAAACAAAACCAAUUCACUUGGAAUUGGUAUCCUUGAUUGCUUGCAAAUCAUUCCCAGUGAACGAUCCUUAGAGCCACUAUACUAUAGUAGCUUUGUAUUUGCUACCCUAGUGUAUGGUGUUAUAGGUAUAAAUUUUGUUGAUCACUUCCUCAAUCAAGGAACACCAGCUGAACACAAAUCAGCUGAGACACCAAUUGGGCAUGAGUCAAAUGGCGCCGUUGCCGGGGAAUGAGUGUCAAGAUCAUUGUGAUACCAUUUUUGAGCACUUGUGAUUUUCAUCACAAGUUGGUAAAGUUUCUUUCACUUUACUAAUUUUCAUUCUCUCUUUGUUUAUUUACAAUCUAAGUUUAUCUUUUUAAAAUUUAGUCUAGUUUAAUUUUGCUAUUGUAGCCUUGUUUCUCUUGUUGUCCUCUGUUCUUGUUGUCCUCUGUUUUCAUUUUAGUUGCAGCUGAAUACUAGUUGUGUAUGCCAAAGUGGAUACGAGACAUUGGAGGUAGGCUUAUUAAGUGUGAUACACCUCAGAGAGGAGAAUUGGAAGUAAUCUUGAAUAUCAUGGAGGCUGCACCUGAAGAUCAGCAUAGUCACCAAGGUCGUCAAGACAAUCUCAAUGAAUUCAGAUCAAUGAGGGACCGUAUGCAUCCACCUCGUAUGAGUGCACCAUCAUGUAUAGUGCCCCCUACAGAGCAACUAGUGAUCAGACCAUAUCUUGUUCCACUUCUACCAACUUUCCAUGGGAUGGAAAGUGAGAAUCCGUAUGCACACAUCAAGGAAUUUGAAGAUGUUUGUAAUACAUUCCAAGAGGGAGGAGCUUCAAUUGAUUUGAUGAGGCUUAAGUUAUUUCCUUUUAAUUUAAAGGAUAAGGCCAAAAUUUGGCUUAAUUCUUUAAGGCCAAGGAGUAUCCGCUCUUGGACUGAUUUACAAGCUGAAUUCCUCAAGAAAUUUUUUCCUACUCAUAGAACAAAUGGCUUGAAAAGGCAAAUUUCAAACUUCUCAGCUAAAGAGAAUGAGAAAUUCUAUGAGUGUUGGGAAAGAUACAUGGAAGCUAUAAAUGCUUGUCCUCACCAUGGCUUUGAUACUUGGCUACUGGUGAGUUAUUUUUAUGAUGGUAUGUCCUCCUCAAUGAAGCAACUCCUCGAGAAAAUGUGUGGAGAAGAUUUCAUGAGCAAAAAUCCAGAGGAAGCUAUGGAUUUCUUGAGCUAUGUAGCUGAUGUUUCAAGGGGAUGGGAUGAACCAACUAAAGGAGAAGUGGGAAAGAUGAAGUCUCAGUUGAAUGCUUACAAUGCAAAGGCUGGGAUGUAUACUUUAAAAGAGGAUGAUGACAUGAAAGCAAAGUUGGCAGCUAUGACAAGAAGAUUGGAGGAGCUGGAGCUGAAAAGAAUGCAUGAAGUGCAAGCUGUUGCUGAAGCACCAGUGCAAGUGAAGUUGUGUCCCAAUUGUCAAUCGUUUGAACAUUUGGUAGAGGAAUGCCCUGCAAUUUCAGCUGAAAGGGAAAUGUAUAGAGAUCAAGCAAAUGUUGUUGGACAAUUCAGGCCCAAUAACAAUGCUCCUUAUGGAAAUACCUACAAUUCAAGUUGGAGGAAUCAUCCAAAUUUUUCAUGGAAGGCCAGAGCAACUCAAUACCAACAGCCGGAUCCACCAUCUCAACAAUCUUCAAGUAUUGAACAAAUAAUAGCUAAUCUCAGCAAGGUAGUGGGAGAUUUUGUGGGAAAGCAAGAAGCCACCAAUGCUCGAGUGGAUCAAAGAAUGGACAGAGUGGAUCAAAGAAUGGACAGAAUGGAGAGUAUGUUGAACAAAAGAAUGGAUGGAAUGCAAAAUGAUAUGAAUCAAAAAUUUGAUAACAUCCAAUAUUCAAUUUCAAGGCUUACAAAUUUGAAUACACUGCAAGAAAAGGGAAGAUUUCCUUCUCAACCUAACCAAAAUCCCAAAGGUGUCCAUGAAGUGGAAAGCCAUGAGGGAGAAUCAUCACAGGUGAAAGAUGUGAAAGCUUUGAUCACUCUAAGGAGUGGUAAGAAAAUUGAGCAGCCAACACCCAAGCCACAUGUUGAGAAAGAAGAAGAGAUGAAGAAAGGGAAGGAAAUGGAAGAUAAAGGCAGUGAGAUCAGUGAAGAAAAGAAGGACUCUGAUGCAACAAUGAAAGUAAUUCCAGAGAAGGAGCUUCUGAAGGAAGAAAUGCUGAAGAAAUCAACUUUUCCACCUUUUCCUCAAGCAUUACAGGGGAAAAAGGGGGUUAGAAAUGCAGCUGAAAUCCUAGAAGUAUUGAGGCAAGUGAAAGUUAAUAUUCCACUGCUGGAUAUGAUCAAACAAGUUCCAACGUAUGCAAAAUUCCUAAAGGACUUGUGUACUAUCAAAAGAGGGUUGACUGUAAACAAGAAAGCCUUCUUGACUGAGCAAGUAAGUGCAAUCUUACAGUGUAAGUCUCCUUUGAAGUACAAAGACCCUGGAAGUCCUACCAUUUCAGUCAUGAUUGGAGGAAAGGUAGUGGAGAAAGCCUUGCUAGACUUGGGAGCAAGUGUGAAUUUGCUUCCAUAUUCUGUCUACAAGCAACUGGGACUUGGAGAGUUGAAGCCAACAGCAAUCACUUUGUCUCUGGCAGAUAGAUCAGUGAAAAUUCCAAGAGGGGUAAUUGAGGAUGUAUUGGUUCAAGUAGAUAAUUUCUACUAUCCUGUAGAUUUUGUUGUUCUUGAUACAGAUCCUACUGUAAAGGAAGCUAAUUUAGUUCCUAUCAUCCUUGGAAGGCCAUUUCUUGCAACUUCAAAUGCAAUCAUCAACUGUAGAAAUGGGCUUAUGCAACUCACUUUUGGUAACAUGACACUGGAUCUAAAUAUUUUCUAUAUGUCUAAAAAGCAAAUCACUCCAGAAGAAGAAGAGGGUCCAGAAGAGCUAUGUAUUAUUGAUACUUUGGUGGAGGAGCACUGCAAUCAACAUAUGCAAGAUAAGUUGAAUGAAAGUUUUGUGGAUAUUGAGGAAGGUUUUUCUGAAUCUCCUAAUGGGCUUGCUACUCUACAAAGUUGGAGAAAGAUAGAAGGAAUUCUACCUUUGUUCAAUGAAGAAGAGGAGGCAGCUGUUGAAAAAGAAAUUCCAAAACUCAAUCUGAAGCCUUUACCUAUGGAGCUGAAAUAUACAUAUCUUGAAGAAAAUAAUCAAUGUCCUGUCGUAAUAUCUUCAUCUCAAACCAAGUCUCAAGUGAAGGAUGCAAGCUUCAAAUGGGAUCCGGGCAAACUGAAUCAGGAAGGGCAAAAAGUUUUGAUGUAUGACACAAGACUCCAUAUCUUUCCUGGGAAGCUCAAGUCAAGGUGGAUUGGUCCAUUUGUUAUUCACCGAGUAUAUUCCAAUGGAGUGGUGGACUUAUUGAAUUCCAAUGGCAAGGACAGCUUUAGAGUCAAUGGAUAUCGUCUUAAGCCGUUCAUGGAGUCAUUCAAAUCAGAAAAGGAGGCAAUCAACCUCCUUGAACCUCAAAAAGCCUAAGUGAAAUGGGUUUGCUGGACGUGGUUUUACCACAGUCCAAAAAUUUUUGUAAAUUUUGUAAAUUUUCAAGUUGUUUCCAUGCUUUUAAUCUUAGUUUUUGAUUUUAAAUCAUGUUUUUAGGUGUGUUUUAAUCGUUUUAUAUGAUCCCAGGCGGAAGAAAUUUCAAGGGGAUUGAAAAGAAAAAAAUCGGGUCGAAAUUGGAGCCGAAACAGAGCAAAAACAGGGGAAAAACAGAGCUCUGCGAAAUUUCGCAGGGUGAAGGAAACUUCUGCGAAAUUGGCAUUUUGCUGCCAAACCAUUCCGCAGCACUGUAGAAGCCUCUGCGAGUGUAUUUCGCAAUUGCGAAAGUGGAUUUGGCACACGAGUGCCACUUCGCAGCACAGUGACAUCAAUUUCGCAGCUGCGAAACUCACUGCGAAGUUGCUGCGAAAAUGGCAAGUUGCUGCGAAAUUGGCGUUUUGUUGCGAAACGUAAUCUGACCCCUGGGCUUCCGUUUUUCCUAUUUAUACCUGUCAAAAGUGCUGCGAAAAAGGUUUCAAAAAUUAGAGCACCAUUCUCGCAGCCCUUUCAUCUUCUUCGCCAAGCCACGCCGUCCGUUUCUCCGGUCGUCUUCUCCGUUUAGCAGCGCCGGCCAAAGAUCGAUAGCCCAAAAAUGGCACGAACGCGAGGGGCAAAGUCUUCAUCCCCUUCGAACCGCAAAAGGAGUCUGCGAAAGGAGCCAAGUUCAGGCUCUGUUCCAGAACCUGCUCCAAAGCCUUCGCCGUCGAGACCACAACCUUCUCCAGUGAAGCCGGCGCCACCAAAGCCGCCGGCAAGGCGAUAUUUAACCAGGUCAGGUGGUCAGCCAUUGAAGAAGAAAGCCAGAGUUGAGAGCUCUGAACCAAUCGAUUUGACUGAGCAAUCCCCUGAGAAAUCACCAAAUCCUUCACCGGUACAAAUUCCAGUGCCAUCACCGGUUCCCUCGCCAAUUCCCUCACCAGAAGCAACUCCAAUUCCAUCGCCGGUACCAUCUCCGGCACCCCAAGAAAAAGCUCAGGAGCCUCAAGCGCCAAUUCCAGAGCCCCAAAUUGCAGCUGAAGCACCUCUGGAAGAAGUGAUCCGAAGGCCAAUGCUGCCUCAGCCCCCAAUCGAAGGAAACCUGGAUUGCCGAACUCGGGCAUUCCAUUCUGAGCUUUGCUUCGAUUUAACAGCAUUCAGAGUGAGGCCAGAGCUUGCCCAAUCCUUCCAACUGCUGAGGAGAUAUCAUAUGGAGCAUCUGCUAGCUCCAAGGGAUUUUUUCUAUCCCCGGGUAGUCACGGAUUUCUACCAAACCAUGACAACCAAAGAAGUAAGAAAUCCAACUCUGAUUCAUUUCAUAAUUGAUGGAAGGCAUGGUAUUUUGGGAGCAAGACAUAUUGCUGAAGCCCUGCAAAUUCCUUUUGAGCCAACUCAAUUCGACAAUUUUAAAGCUUGGACAAAUCCUACUGAGUUAGAGAUGGUUAGCACACUAACCAGAGGAGCUGCAAAUCGAUCGCAUUUGUUGAGGGGGGAGCUACCUCCAGUUAUGUUUUUGAUUGAUGCCUUUUUGAGGCAUAAUAUCUAUCCCCUGCAGCAUUGGACCCAAAGAAGGGGAAUUCUCCUAGAAGCCUUGUACAAAAUGUCUGAAGGAUUCUUCUUUGGGCCUCAUCAUCUGAUCAUGGCAGCCCUUCUAUACUUUGAGGAGAAGGUUCACAAGAAGAAGCUUCAAAGAGCAGAUUGCAUUCCACUCCUCUUCCCAAGGCUGCUAUGCCAAGUUUUGGAGCAUCUCGGAUACCCCUCUGAGCCUCAGCAGGAAAGAAAGAGAAUAUGCCGUGAGCCUUUUACCCUUGAUAAAUGGAAUAAUAUGACGGCCUACAAAAUUGAUCAGCCUGGGCAGCCUCAGCCAGCAGCAAGGAGAGUCUCCCCAAGACAUAUACCUGAAGGUAUAACACUUGCUACUCCUGCCAUCCCUCGAGCUCCACCAGCUGCACCUGCUCCAUCACAGCCAUCCACAUCAGCUGAGCCGAGGAUGGCCAUCCCUAUAUCCGAAUAUCGAGAGCUGUGCCGUGCAUUGGAGACUCUUACAGCUUCUCAGAGCAAUCUUGCUCAGGAGUUGGCAGCCAUUAAAGCAUGCCAGGAGCAGAUGUUAGCCUCUCAGACUCAACAAGCUGCCAUCCUAAGGCAGCUUCAAGUCCAUUUCGAUCUGCCACAAGCUGUAGAGCCCUCUAUUCCUACUCCACCAGAGCCACACUCUCAGCCUUCAGAGUCUCAUCCUCCAGAACCCGAAGCACCAGCUGAUCCACCUACUGAGGAGGCAGAUCCUUCUGCCUAGCACCAUCACCCCCCUCAUCAGACAUUAUAUAUAUAUUUGCUGUUUAUGUUUUUAUGCAUGUUUGUUUUGUUUUAGUUGAAAAGAAAUCCCAGUAUUUUGGUACUAUAUAUGGGAUUCCUUGUGUUACUUGUCUUUAGUAUUGUAAUCACAUGAACUCAAAGUAAUACAAGUUGACUAUUUCUUGUUAAAAGUUAGCAUUAAAGUUUCCUUAUUUCCUUUUCUCACAUAUUCUAUUCUUUUUGAAACAUGUGGUUUUCCCCAAUCAAUAUUCGAAUUUGAUAUCAGCAUGGAGGUACCACUUCCUCCCUUUUAUUACAGUCACUCAAAUCACAUUGAGGACAAUGCUCAGUUCGGUUGGGGGGUAUGAGGAAGGAAGUAUUCUAAACCUUUUUGGUAUUGCAAUUAUAUUGGUUAAUUAGUUGUAGAUUUUACUUUUUACUAGUGUUACUCUAUUCUCCAUGAAUUUUGAGGAAAAAUUUUCAAAUUAAACCAAGAGAAAUUGAACUGUUGUUUUUCACUUGACUUAGAGUAUGGAUUAUGCUUACUAAAGUGGUUCAAUUGUUGAAACUUCUACUGAAAUUGAAUUGAGUUCUUCCACUUUAAGCUAUCCACACACUGUGCACAUUAGUUUCCGAUUAUAAGAUGAAAAGCUAUUUCCCUCUUGACUUAGUAUAUUUUUGGGACUUGGUAUAUUUGACCUCAUUUGAUAAAAAUUGAAACACCCUGCAAAAGGCCAAUGAGCCUUUGAAAUAAAGAAAGUUGUUUGCUUGCCUUGAAACCCGAGCAAGGUCUGAGGGGUAUAUGGUGAAAAUCUUUAAAGCCUGGUGCCCUAAGCCUUAAUUGGUUGGGAGUCACCGACCUCAAUGCUCGUUACAAGGGUGAAUAGGUAGAGUUAGCAUAUGGUAGAUGCUUGGGUAUUAGAAAUUCAUUCUUAAAAGUCCGGGGAAAAAUCCGAGGAGUUAGUGGUUGAAAGAUCCUUAAAACUUGGUGCCCUAAACCUUAAUUGGUUGGGAGUCAUCGAUGGACCCCCAUUACAUGGACAAGUCAGAAAGAGUACCCCAUAAAGCUACCUUAAAAAAAAAAAAAAAAAAAAAAAAAAAAAAAAAGAUGAAAGUGUGUUCUUUUCUUAUUGAUUUUGGUCAGUUUGCUAAAGUGUUGAAAAGAGAUAGGUUGGGGGGUGAGAUUAGUAGCAUAUUAUUCUCGGAACCUAAGGAACCAAUACACAUAGAUUUUUGUGGAAGAUUGAAGUUUAGUUCUUAGAAAAUGAAAUGAUUUUAAAACUUCAGUUUGCAUAAUGCACUCCCUUGAUUGACAGUGUUUAGCAUAGGUGUUAUGACUCUUGUUGAGAUUUGGGUUUGUAUUUCUUUAAUGAUUCAUGUGAGAAAUAGAUCAUCAUGCCACUUGAGAAUUAUUUUCCUUUUAGCAUGAUGUUGUAAAUUUUAGAUUAGUUUGCUAUUUAUUUUUUAUUUUCUCUCCUAUAUUGCUAAGGGACUAGCAAUAUGUCGGUUGGGGGGAGUGAUUACUACUCAAAAAGUGCUAUUUGAUAGCCUUUAAUUAAUCCUUUUUAACACUUUUGAGUAGUAGUUUAGGCCUUUUAACUCAAUUGGCAUGUUAAGGAUCCUUUAAAGCAAUUUUGAUCACUUUGUGCAAGUUUUGGUGUUUUUGUUAGUAUUUUGAUCACCAAAGCAAGUCAAGAAUGAGGAGAACUAUGAGGAAUCAUGGGCAAAGCUUAGAAUUCAAUUGCCAAGAGUGAAUCCGGAUUGCAAGGAGAAAAAGCAAAGAGAAUCUGUCAUGAAGCCUAUUCUUGAUGACAGUCGUAGCAGCCACUUUUGGAGCACUUUCUGAAGUCCAAAUGAUGCAAGCUAUAUACCAUUUCAAAGCUCAGGAAGUCAACAAUCCAAUGCUUCAAACGGUGCGCGAUUCGGAGUUGAAACGAAGAAGUUGCAGCCAUUACAAGCCAGUCACUCUAAAGUGUUGCGGAAUCAGCCUUUUGUUGCGAGAAUUUCGCAGCACUUUUGUACAGUAAGGUGUUUCUCCUUCUGACGAUGCACGAACCAUGCCGCGAGAGGGAAGCUAGGAACUUCAAGAUGGAAGCCAACUUUGCAGCCUGGUGAAGAUAGCUUGGUCUUGCGAAAUAAUUUCGCAGCCCUCUUGGGUGUCUGCGAAAUUUCGCAGGCACCACUUUUUUCCUGCGAAAUGGCUCCGGAAGCCUCCCGAAGCUUGCUACCGACAUUGGGAGAUAUUUUCCAUUAGAUUUUUGUUGUCUAAAUUCCAAAAUACUCCUUGUAAACCACCAAUUACAUGAUUCCUUAGUUUUUAAGUUAGUAAAAAGACCAAAUAUCUAUGUAAUAAUUAGUUUUAUAUUAGUUUGCUAUAAAUACCUCUCGGGAGCAUGUUCUCAGAGAGGAGUUCCUUCUGUAACCAUUUUGGUAAGCAAGUAAAGUCUUUUCUUUCUACUGCCUUACCUUCUCACUUUGUAUUUUCAUUUUAUUUCUAAGUUAUGAAUUCUCUGAGGAGCUUUCCCCAGAGAAUGAGUAACUAAACCUCCAAUUCCUUGGAGCUAAGGUUGCCGGGGAAGGUUCCAAGUGCAAGAAUGCAAAGCUCUGUGGUUUUAGCUAGUAAUGAAGAGGAAGUGAAAUCCUUUAGUGAUUUCAAUGUUUUUAGUUAACUUAAAACACCUUGGAGUCACCUGGGCCAACACUUGGUAAGGCAAGUGAUUUCCAACCGUGGAAAUGCACUAGUUUACCCCUUGCGAGCCUCUGGUAGGUGACUUCAAGGUAGGAUUUUCUGGAAUUACCAACACUUGGUAAGCUUUUGGACUCCUAGGAGACAUCCAUUAGUUAUCUCUUGCGAGUUUGUGAAGGGGAAUCCAAGGUUAAAGAUCACCUUGAAUGGUAAGUGCUCGUGAGAGGCAUGAACCAUUGCAAGUUGUAUCAGUGAGAGAAUUAAAGUGAAAUCUAAUUGAAGGAGUCUCUGUACAUCACCGGUUAGAGAAUUGACUAUAAGUUGAAUCUCUAAUGCGAGGAAAUGAACCAUCUGACCGGAGCUAUGUCUUUUGCAUGAGGAACCACCCCAGUGAACCUAAAUCUCCAAGGAAUGCUUUUCUUCCUAAAUUAUUCCAAACUUCUGUUAAGUUAGUUAGUUUAAGUCUAAACCUUUACCAAUCAAACUUUGUGUUUUAUUCCUUAAGCUAACCGUGAAAUGAAACAAAACCAAUUCACUUGGAAUUGGUAUCCUUGAUUGCUUGCAAAUCAUUCCCAGUGAACGAUCCUUAGAGCCACUAUACUAUAGUAGCUUUGUAUUUGCUACCCUAGUGUAUGGUGUUAUAGGUAUAAAUUUUGUUGAUCACUUCCUCAAUCAAGGAACACCAGCUGAACACAAAUCAGCUGAGACACCAAUUGGGCAUGAGUCAGUGCGUUAGAGGAUCAAGAAGAAGAAAAAGAAGGAACUGUUGGAAUUAGUAUGAGUGUGAAGAGAAAAGUAUAUAAAUAAGGGGAAGUAAAAGCAAAGUUCAAAAAGCUAUAUUUUUUUAUUGUUGGUGUAUGGUUGCAUGAUUAUCCCUAUAAAUAAUAGGAGUUUUUUGGUAUUCUACUAGUAGUUGAAGCAUAAUUUCAUAAAUUAAUAUUUAGAGCGGGGUGGGGUGAGUUGUGACAAAAUUCAUACCCGUCCCAAACCUUGGUUCAGAUUUUUAAAAUAUUCUCAAACUUAUCAUAUACCCAACUUUUAUAUUUCAUACUUGUCCUAAUAGAGGCACGUUAGGCCGGGUUACUUGAGUAACCUACAUAAUUGUCAUCCCUAGUUGAAAUACACUUUUUGGCAGUGGCCACCAACUGAGCUAGAAGCUUGAUUGAUUGACCUACAAGAUUAGUUCUCAUCAUUUUAAAAAAAGUUCUGGCUUUGGUUGUGAGUGCAAUUGAAUCUAAACUGGCAUUUGCUUAAUGCAUCUACUUCAAUCCUAAACUUCUUACUUCUUAAGCCUCAAUUGUUGUUAGGAUUUUGGAAAACCCAUUUCCUUAAAUUGUAAAUUUAAGAUAAAAUAAAAUAAAAGUGAGACAUUUCUUGAUUGAAUAUUGUUAAAGGUCCCUUGGCAUUAAGACUUGGUUGAAGCCUUGGAAGAUUAGUGGAACUCUCAACAUGUGUUUGAAUCUUGAGGAGAGUGGAUGUAAGCCAAAAUUUUGUCAAACCAUUAUACAAAUUGAGUUUGAAUCCUCAUUUCUUGAUUUCUUAUUUAUUUGCUUUUUCUUAUUAUUACUUGAAUUGUCAUUUGCAUUCAUUAAUGUUAAAAUUGGUUAUAAUUAACCAACACUAAUUCUCUUUCCCCUUCCCUUUCUUGGGUGUAAACCUAGGUUGGAUUAACUAGAUAAAUCUAUUAAGAUGGUAAAAGAAUAAUUAUUCUUAACAUACAUAAGAUCAUCUUCAAUCAAAUGACUCAUUGGCUAAUAUGUUGAAUUUGCUUAUUACUUGCAACUCAAAAUUGUGUUCUAGUUGUGUCAAGUCCCCAGUGUAUGGACAUUAAAUUUGUAGUACGUGAUGAGUAAUUAGAUGGUCCAACUCCAAGAAAGUGAUUGAAAAGUAGUUCAAGAAAGGUGCAAAAGGGAAUUGUUUUGGUAUUUUCGUUUUUAUUCUUGAAGGUGGCAGAGCUAAAAUUUGAGAAAUCAAGCAAAACAUACUGAAAUUACAUUGAAAGAAAGAAGAUGGGAGUUAAUGUCUUGCAGUACAUGAUAAGGACUUCAUGCAUGUAGUGUGACCCAUGUCUUGGACUGAUGCCAACUCACGGUUACACUUAUACCCUUGGUUCUCUCUUUACUACCUUGGCUAACCUAGAUCAGGCUAUGAGAUAGGCUCCUCACCACACCAUUACUUGCCCAUUAAUUAGAGACAUUUUCAAGCAAUGAGGUAACAUGGUGACACCAAGAGGGUCUAUUCCUCGCCCGGAACAAGUCUAGACUUGGUCUCAAAAAAAUGGAGAAAAAUGAGGUGUCGUUAUGUAGAAAUACAACAACCAUGCCUUCCUCAUUACUUAGAUUCAGAAUGUGAAGGUGAAAUUGAGAAACAGAAACUCUUGAAACCAAAAUGAAAAUUGAUACUUUUACGAAGAAUUACAACAACAUUAGAGGAAGACUACAUUCUUCCUCUUUAUUCCUACAUUUCUACACUACUUCUACUCCACUCCAUAUUUCUACAUACAUCUUUAAUCAGUCUUCCCUCCUUUAUAUAGAGCCAUCUUCACACAAAUUUCGCAAGGUAGAAAAGAGGAAUGAAACUUGGAGCAAGGUUCGACUACUGGUUGUAGCUUGUCAAGGCUGGAAGUGAACUUUUCUUGGCUUUCUGGGCAUGGGUAGUAACUUGUGGGUUCCUGUUUGGCAUAAAAAUGGCUAGAACAUGUGGCACUAUCUUGUUGGAUGAUGUGUCAAGCAUGUGGCAGCCAUCUAGUGGCGAUUAUGUCAAUUUUGGGAUGGAGAGUUGGCAUCCAAUUGCAAAGAAAUAUGACGUCUACCAACAUGCAAUGUAAACCUAUGUAGAUCAUAUGAAGAUAGAGAGGAAAAAUAUAGAAAUGGAUAUAUACCUAGAACUAGCUUUUUAUUAAAUGAAACGGAGAGACAACAAUGAAGGAAAAUAAAAUUUUUUGGCUUAUAUCAAAGAGUUCACAUUGUGUUACCCUAGGUUUUCUUAAAACUUACUUUUAUGAUAACAAAAAAGAAAAAACCAUUAUUGUUUAAUCCUUUGUUUUAAACGCAUGUAAGGUGUAAUUAAGUUAGUUCAAUGCAUUAAUUUAAGAAACUUGACCUAUCAAAAGUACAAAAUUAGAUGAAAUCCAUUUCAAUGGUUAAAAUGAUCAAAAUCAAACUUUUUCUAAGUAUUUUUUAAAAGCAUCAAUAGUGAAAGACAAUUUUAUAUUUAGUCGGAGUUUGGACAAAACUGAAAAACACACAAAAUCCAAGCGACCAUCUCUAGCUUGGAUGGUCGCUUGAUCCCACCUAGAGAUGUGCAUGAGUAAAAGGAUUUGAAAAUGGAAAUUGACUAUGUAGUCGAUCAAUUAACUUUGCAACAUCAUAUGCAAUCCUAAUUGCUAGUCAUCUAAUCAAUUAGGUAGUCAAUCAACAGGCCAAAAAUAUGUUUAUAAUGACUAUUUUGUACAAAAACCACCUGUAUAGUUAAAUAUAAUGCAUUUCAUUUAUAAAUCUUCUAAUUCUUGAAUAACGAUCCUAUCAUCCUUUGAAAGUUUUUAUUACACUUUUUUUACUUUUGUUCUAAAACUUACACAUCACCCUUAAUUGUACCAUGAGAACCUAGCUAUUUUUUAUUUUUUUUUUUGUAAUUCAUCAAAGUUAGCUUUUGUAUUCAUUGUUGUAUUAUUUUUAGUAUAACUUAGAAAGCUAGUGUUUUCAAGUGAGUAAAAUUAACUUGUAAAUAUUGUAAAGAUUCAUCGACAUGUAUCUUAAACUAAGUGUACAAGUUAAAACAUUUGCUAGUAGAUUUUCUCAAAAUUUAGAAUAGAGCUUGAGACUAUUGAAAUAGGUGGGGUUGCACCAAACCACAUCACAUCGUUGUUUGCACCUUUUUUCACUCUCUUUUACUUAGUUGCUCUAUAUUUGUUGUCUAGUAAUAUCCUAUAGGCUUGAUGGGUUAGGGAGCAUCCCUUUGUGAAAAAAUUUUAUUCAAUCCUUAGUUGUAUCACGCAUAUAUAAAAUGCCUCAUUGUUUUAAUGGUAUUCAGUCGUGGCAUCACAGAUAUGGGCAUCUAAAUUUUAAAAGUUUGAAACUUUUAUCUAAAGAAAAUAUGGUGCUUUGCCUUUUUGUAAAGCAUGUUGAUGAAAUCCAUGAGAAUUGUGUACUUGGGAAGCAACACCGAGAUGACUUUUUUUUUUUUUUUAUAAUAUUGUUUGUCCAAAUUCCCUACAAAUUAGGCCACCAGAUGUUCAUAAUUCUCCCUUCUUGAAUUUGAAAACUCGGACAAUUGGACAAUGCGACACCUAAGUCCGGUUUCUAAAUGCUAAAGUGAAAGGGUAGGUAUGGACCAUUGAAAUGUGAUCACAACUUUUCUCUGUAGCCAUGUUGUCUCUUUUUUCUUUUGCAUGAUUUUCUUACCUUAACAGAAUCAUAGACUUGUUUAGUCUCUAAAUGGGAUUAAUUUCAUCCAGCUUUAAGCUACUAUAUUAUAUCUAGGUGGAGGACUUUUAAGAGUGCAACCGACAUAGAGCACAUGGAAGUGGGUAUAUGGGACAUGAAAUUUCUUCUUAUAAAGAUUGCAUGAUUUUUAUAUUAGAGUUGUUGAGGCGCUAUGUAUUUAGCUUGUUUUGCAGUUAAAUUAAUUGGAUAAGUAGACAUUGGCGUUUCUAAAUCUACUGUGAAGUGCUUCAUGUACGUGUGAAGUAUUAGAAAUUUCUUUCUUGGCAACUUGUUUUUCUUUGCGGUCUACUGAUAGGUUUGACUAAAAUUAUAUUCCCUGUCAUGCUAAUUAAUUUUCACGUGCAUGCUCAAAAGAAAAGUAUGACCUUAGUGCACCAAAAUCACUUUGAUUAAUUUGUGAUAGGUUUUUGUGCAUCAUGACAUUAGCCUUAUUCAUUUAGAUAAUGUUUAGUUUUUAGAAAGUAUUAAGAAAAGGAAAAUAAAUAUUAAGAAAAAUAUUCUUAUAUUUGAUUGUAUUAUGAAAAAUAUCAUAAAAAAAUCAAAUAUAAUUUAAAUUAAUUAAUAAUUUAUACAUUUUCAAAUUAUUUAAUCUUUAUAUUGAAGAUAUAAUAUAAAUGAAAUGAGUUUUAAGUAUUAUAUAAAAGUGAUUUAUUGAUCUUACAUAUAUAUAUUUCUUUUUUUUUUCCUUCUAUUUUUUCUCUUUAUUUUAUUUUCCUUAUGUUUUCCUCAACAUUUUCCGGAACCAAACAUAGCCUUAGGAAAUCCACAAUUACCUUCAACUGAGUAGAUUCUGUUGUUUUAGCAAUGUUAGGCUGCUAACUUGUGUUGGUACGAACCUAUUAAGCCUAAAGAUGUAAUUAGUUAGGAUAUUCUUUUCCCUCUAGUCUUGUAGCUCCACGUGUACAGUUGGUUAGGACCUCAUUGUAUAUAAUGCUUGCCCUGUUAUUGUAGAAGACAACAAAGAUAAAUAAUAUUAACAUUUUUCCUCUCAUCUCUCUCUGUUUCCCUCUGUUUUCAUCUCCUCUCUCAUCUUGGUAUCAGAGCCUCCAUGGCUUCUUUCAAAGAAACCUCCGAAUCACCUUCUGCUAGCAUUGUUAAUGUGCAAAACCCAUUAUCUCAAUCAAACAACCUUCCUUCACCAGUAGCCACACCCUCUUUUUCUUUCUCGUCUAUGAAUCAACCUCUCACAGUGAAGCUGGAUAAUGGGAACUACCUCAUAUGGAAGAAUUAGCUUCUAAAUGUCAUCAUUGCUAACGGACUCGAUGAUUUCAUUGACGGAUCUCGACCCUGCCCUCCUCGAUUUCUCGAUCUGCAACAACAAACCCUCAAUCCAGAGUACUCAGCUUGGCAGAGAUACAAUCGACUUCUGAUGAGUUGGCUGUACGCAUCCUUGUCCAAAGAUAUAAUGGCUCAGAUUGUUGGGUAUUCAACAGCUAUGGAGAUUUGGAAUGCCCUUAAUCAGAUUUACUCUGCCUCUUCUAUGGCGCGGUUUACUGAGCUUCGCACCAAGCUUCAAACGCUCAAGAAAGAUGGACUCUCAGUUGGUGAAUAUAUUCAAAGGCUCAAAUCCAUUUGCAAUAGUCUUGCAGCAAUAGGAGAACCAGUUUCUGAGAAAGACCAUCUUAUCUAUUUGUUCAAUGGAUUAGAUUGUGAGUAUUAUUCUUUUGUUACCUCCAUUCAAAAUCGAUCUGACCAACCAACUAUUGACAAAAUCCAUAGCCUAUUGCUUAGCUAUGACUUCCGGCUUGAACAACAAAACUCUGUUUCUCUCCAUUCUGCCCAAGUCCAUAUGGCUCAUCUGAACAAGAAACCUUAUAAAUCAACUCCUCAACCUACAUUCAAUCAUAUUCACAUUCAACCUAGAUACUCUUCUCCACCUUUUAAGCCAACCACUAGUCAAUAUCAACCCAACAUUUUGGGCAAACCACAACCACAACCAUGACAGCCUCAACCUCAAUGGAAACCACAUUUUUCAAUCUAAAAUCAAAAGCCUCAGCGCCAAAUUUGUGGUAAAUUUGGACACACUGCUCUUAUUUGCUUCCAUCACACAAAUUUGAACUAUUCACCCCAACCUUCUCCUAAAUCUUUCAAUACUGUUCUCACCACAAAUUCCCAGCUCCCUAAUCCUCCAAAAUUUUCUUACCCUACAAUGGCUCAUCCUGCUGCUACGCAUAACACGGUUCCCGAUACAAAUUGGUACAUGGACUCAGGUGCUACACAUCACUUUACUCUGGACAUCAACGUGCUUGACACUGUGACACCAUUUAGUGGUUCAGAACAGGUGACAGUUGGGAAUGGUAAGCAACUCUGUAUCUCACAUCUUGGUACUGCAAAACUACCAUCUUCGUAUUCUCCUCCUGUUCUACAUCAGGUAUAUCACACUCCAAAAAUUUCAAAUAAUCUUAUUAGUGUUAAAAAAUUGUGUUCUGAUAAUAAAGUUUUUGUUGAAUUUUAUGCCACUCAUUUUCUUGUCAAGGAUCAGGUUUCGAAGAGAGUUCUCCUUUAGGGUCAACUUGAUAAUGGCUUAUACAAAGUUCAGUCGUCAUGCUCUCCUUCUGCUGUUUCCUUUCCUCCUCAAGUUUUCAUAGCCAACAUCAAGUAUCCAAAUCUGUGGCACAAGAGACUAGGCCACCCAGCUUUAUCUGUUGUUAAUCAAAUCUUGGAUUCUUGUAACAUUGCUCGAACACAGAAAAUUUGUUUUAAUUUUUUAAAUUCUUGUCAAUUAGCAAAGAGCCACAGGCUUCCUUUUUCUCUGUCUCCAUCCAUUGCAGAAAAACCUUUUGAGUUAAUUCAUACAGACCUAUGGGGUCUUUCGCUCGUUCGCUCUAUUUCUGGUGCUCUUUAUUUUUUACUUUUCAUUGAUGAUCAUACUCGUUUUACUUGGUUUUAUUUGCUCAAAACAAAAGAUGAAGCAUAUCCUACUUUUCUCAAGUUUCAAGCUCUCAUUGAAAAUCAAUUUAAUACCAAGAUUAAGGCUGUCCAAUCUGAUUGGGGAGGUGAGUUUCGAUCUCUCUCCAUACCGUUUUCAAAUAUGGGCAUUGUCUAUUGUUUAUCGUGUCCAUACACCUCACAACAGAAUGGGCGAGUUGAGCGAAAAAAUCGCCAUGCGAUUGUCCUUUCUUGCUUGCUCUAUGCCCUUAUCUUAUUGGCCUUAUGCCUUUCAAACUGCCACUUACCUUAUUAAUCGUCUCUCUACCCCUGUGCUGCAUCAUCAAUCCUCUUACUUCGCACUCUAUCACAAACUCCCAACUUAUACUCAUCUUAAGGUCUUUGGUUCCUCUUGUUUUCCGUAUUUGCACCCUUAUAAUACCCAUAAACUCCAAUACAGGUCACUAGAGUGUGCUUUUCUUGGUUACAGUUCACACCACAAAGGUUAUCUAUGUCUUGACAUUCAUUCUAGCAGGGUGUAUAUUUCUCGCCAUGUGAUUUUUAAUGAAGAUUCUUUUCCAUUCAAGAAUUUGAAAUCUUCUCUCUCUCAGUCUAUUUCUUCUUCCUCUUCUUUAUAAGUUCCUCUGUUCAUUCUCUUGCCUCCCCUUUCCCCAUCUCCUCUUAUUUCUUCAUCUAUACCUCAUUCUUUUCCCUCUUCUUCUUCUACCUCUAGUACUUGUUCCCCUCUCGUUGCUCCUACCUCUCUUCCUUCCUCUUCACACUCUGUGUCUCCAUCUAUUCCACCUCCUUCUCCACCUUCUCCGAGUGUGGACCUGCUUGCACCUUGUGUGAAUACAAAUUUACAUACUUCUUCUCGCACUCACAAUAUUCAUCCUAUGGUGACUAGAUCUAAGGUUUGUAUCUAUAAACCUAAGUUGUUGUUGAGUGUCUCCAUAGGUUCUCUCACUAAGCCUACUUCCUUUCUUCAAGCUAUUAAAGAUCCUUCAUGGAAGCAAUCCAUGGAAUUCGAGUUUGCUACCCUUCAACACAACAAGACCUGGCAUUUGGUUCCUUCACCUUCCUCAGGCGAAGUAAUCGGUUGUAAAUGGGUCUAUAAGCUAAAGCUUCAGCCUGAUGGCUAAAUUGAGAGAUACAGCCUGCUUAGUAGCUAAGGGUAUCAUCAAAUUGAAGUAUGGACUACUUCGAAACAUUCAGCCUGAUNNNNNNNNNNNNNNNNNNNNNNNNNNNNNNNNNNNNNNNNNNNNNNNNNNNNNNNNNNNNNNNNNNNNNNNNNNNNNNNNNNNNNNNNNNNNNNNNNNNNAGCUUCAGCCUGAUGGCUAAAUUGAGAGAUACAAGGCCUGCUUAGUAGCUAAGGGUUAUCAUCAAAUUGAAGGUAUUGACUACUUCGAAACAUUCAGCCUGAUUGUCAAGCUUUCUACUAUCUGUAUUGUGCUCAGUCUUACUUUUUCCCAGAAUUGGUGUAUUAGACAGCUGGAUGUUCAUAAUGCCUUCUUACAUGGUGACUUAGCUAAAGACGUUUUCAUGGAACAACUGCCUGGAUUUGUUGAUCCUCUCUAUCCUACUCAUGUCUGCAAGUUGGAUAAGUCUCUCUACUGUCUUAAAUAGUCACCUCGGGCUUGGUAUACUAAGCUGAGUACUUCUCGCUACACUUGGGAUUUGUUACUUCUAAGAAUGACUCUUCCUUAUUUAUUUGUCAUUCGUCUCAUGGGUUACUUCUUGUUCUUGUCUAUGUGGAUGAUAUAAUCGUCAUUGGGAGCCACUCUCCUCAGGUUACUCACCUUAUCCAACAGUUGCAUCAUUAGCUUUCUUUAAAGGAUCUUGGUCCUUUACAUUAUUUUCUGGGCUUGGAGGUUCAUCACACCCCUACUGGUAUUCACCUCAGCCAAGCAAAGUAUAUCACUGAUCUCCUUACCCGGGCGGCUAUGUUGGAUGCCAAGCCAUGUCCCACUCCUAUGUCCUCCAACACAUAUCUCUCUUUUCAUGAUGGAGUGGCUCUUGAAAAUGGUUCAGAUUAUCGAAGUUUUGUUGGUGCCCUUUAGUAUUGUACCAUGACACGCCCAGAUAUAGCUUUUGCAAUAAAUAAAGUGUGUCAAUUCAUGCACCAUCCCUCUAAUGUUCACUGGCAGGCUAUAAAACGUAUUCUCCGGUACUUAAAGGGCACAUCUCAUUUUGGUCUCUUCCUACAGCCUUCCUAUGACUUCAACAUCACUUGCUAUACAAAUGCCGACUGGGCUUCCUGUCCUGAUGACAAGUGUAGCACCAGUGGCUACUGCCUCUUUCUUGCCUCUAAUCUGGUUUCUUGGUCAUCUUCCAAACAAAAAGUGGUCUCCCGCUCCAGCGCCGAAUCAGAGUACCGAGGGGUAGCAAAUGGGGCUGCUGAAAUUGCUUGGACUGAAUCUCUUCUUUGUGAACUUUCCAUUACUCCCCCUCCCCUCAUUCUCUGUGACAAUAUCAGUGCCACGUACUUAGCUGCCAAUCCUAUUUUGCAUGCCCGCACCAAACAUGUGGAAAUCGACUAUCACUUUGUCACGGAACGUGUUCUUCAAUGCUCUCUUUUUGUCCAGUUUACACCUUCUGAUGAUCAACUUGCUGAUUGCAUGACCAAGCCUCUCUCCACCCAACGUUUCAUCACUCUACGCUCCAAGCUCACUGUUCUCACUAGACCAAUGAGCUUGAGGGGGGAUGUUAAGCCUAAAGAUGUAAUUAGUUAGGAUAUUCUUUUCCCUCUAGUCUUGUAGCUCCACGUGUACAGUUGGUUAGGACCUCAUUGUAUAUAAUGCCUGCCCUGUUAUUGUAGAAGACAACAGAGAUAAAUAAUAUUAACAUUUUUCCUCUCAUCUCUCUCUCUGUUUCCCUCUGUUUUCAUCUCCUCUCUCAUCUGAACCAAAUGAUCCAUGUUAACCUUGGCUUGGUUUGAUUUGGCUCUAUCUUAGAGAGCUCAAGGAUCACGUCAACUCUGGUUUCUACUAUUCAGGUCCAUUCCCAUAUGAACUGGUUCAAAUUUGAGAAAAUGGUAACAGACCUUUAGUGAUGUUGGUUUGGAGCCAGUUGCCAAACCCGCCCUGAGCUUUACCACUAAUGUCAAGGGAGAAAGCCAUUUGAACAAAAACAAUAGCUUCAAGGGACUGAAUCGUGGAUGAAAUCUGAUCCACAUUUCUUCUCAUUUUGGAAACAAAUGAGAACUUAACUAAGAAGAUUCUACGGCCUCAUAGUGCUUUUCCUGAUCUAAGGUUGGUUCGUUUCCCAAACUGUGAGAUGCACGUGCCAGACUUCAGAACUCUCACGCUCAGGAGUGUAUCCACGUGGUGGACAUAAGAUGGUGGCUUAAGAUCUGGUGUCGGUGGCUUUACUUUACUAGGAGAGUAGUGUGUCUUCAUCUCAUUCACUGCCGGAGGGUGGCGUAAGCAGUGACGCUAAGGUGGGGCACAGUCAAUAUCAUUUGCAUUUGACCAUUAUAGUUUUCUCCCGGCUUUAAAGUAACCUUAUCGUGAUAAAGGAUUACUAGCACUAGUUCAGAUGAUAGUCAUGUUAAAUUCGGACCAUGUUUGUGUCACAUUAUCAGCAACCAUGUGUUUAUGGUUCAUGCUUUCUGCAACUAAAAUUGAUAUAUAACCAGGUGAACUUCAAUCUAAAUUCUGAAAGUACUCAUGUGAUAGAUGGUGCCCGUCUGCAGAGUCCAUCAAUUGAAAAAUGGAGUGAGUGUAUCUAUAAGAGGGAAGGCUUGGAAAAUGUUCAGUUUUCUGGGAAUUCAACAAGGAUCUAAAAUAGAUUGUUUUCUUUGCUGAUUUCAAUGGUUGAAAUUUGAGAAGAUUGUGUCCACAUAACACAACUAUUACUGGUCCUUCUGUUGCAAUUUAUCCUCUAAAGCUCUAGCAUGUCUUCCAAUUCCCACUUCCCUGUUACUCCAGGAAAGCUAUUUCUGUCAUUGUGAAGAAGAAAAGAGAAUGUACAUAUCGAUGCUUUUAAGUGACUGGAGCAUUUAUAUCAGGUGGUCUGCAGCCAUAUAUGCCACUUUGUGAAGAUUGGAACAGUCAAUCACUAGGCUAUAUAUUAGUGUGGCCCAGCCACUUUAAUCAAGGACAAGUCUUCAUACUUAAAGUCAAAUUCUGCCUUUAGUCUCAUUAUAAAUUUCUGUUUAAAUAUUAAGCAAACAUUUGUUUAAUGCGAUUAAGACAGUACUAACUCAAUACCUGUUCUAUUUUUGGAUGCAAAUGCUUGAUGGUUUCAUCAUUGGAUGGGAUAAAGGUGCAUUCAUGAUUAGGAAUACUAGUAGUUAUAUUUUAAUUCUCUUUUUUCUCAAUGAGACUUGUUGGCACAAUUUUGCUGUUGAGAAACCUACCUCUCCAUGGAAAAUAAGUUGUGAUUGAUAGUACUGGAUAUAUUCAAGAAAUCUAAAUAUAGAUAGCACAAAAUAUUAUCGACAUAAAUAGCAUUAACAGCGUACGUAUGUCUCAGUGCUCAUCAGCUAUAAGCAUGGGGCAAACACUUACUAUGAGCAACUUACGUCAAAAUUCCAGAAUAGGACAUAGAAGUGACAGAUAUAGAACAUUGCAUAUGAGUCACAAGAAAGGAAAUUACGGGUGCAUAGCAGCUCUUAUUUUACAUACUACUACUCAUACUGAUCAAAGUCACUCAGUUGGGAUGGGUGGGAGUAGGAGGUUUGUGGGGUGGCUUGUGCGGAGGAGUUGGCAGCUUCUUUCCAGGACCUGGUUGCUUCUCUGCUGGAGUUGAAGGAGGCUUAAUCUUCCGAGGUGGCUUGUAUGAGUCUUCAGCAUUCUCAGCUGGAGGGUGACCAGGGUUGUGACCAUAAUGUGGUGGCUUCUCUCCCUUAGGUGGUUUGCCAACUGGGGUUGGUGGCUUGUAUGAGUCUUCAGCAUUCUCAGCAGGAGGGUGACCAGGGUUGUGACCAUAAUGUGGUGGCUUCUCUCCCUUAGGUGGUUUGCCAACUGGGGUUGGUGGCUUGUGUUCUGGGAGUGGCUUCUCCCCCUUGGGAGGUUUUUCCAAUGGGGUUGGUUUGUGUUCAGGAGGUGGCUUCUCCACUGGAGGCUUGUGUUCAGGAGGUGGCUUCUCCACCGGAGGCUUGUGUUCAGGUGGUGGCUUCUCCACCGGAGGCUUAUGCUCUGGUGGUGGCUUCUCGAAUGGGGGAUGCUUAGGAUAAUCAGCAAGUGAGGGGGCGGUGAGAACCACCAGGCCAAGCAACACCACUAGCAAAUAUGUAGGAGACAUCUUUGGGUUUGGGCUCAGAUGGUGCAAAACUAGGAGAAUUGGCUAGCCUUUUAUAGCGGAUCGUACCCAAUAAUGAAAUGACACGUGUCAUUAUGACCCAUGUGUAAUGGGGUCGAUUUGGGUCCUACAGUGUUGAAAACUUCGACAUCCACUUUUGGCCUUUUGCUUUCUCUACAGCCGCCUUGCUUUUUCCCUCUUUCCUUUUGUUUUCCUCCUGCCCCAUUCUAUCAACUAAACACAAUUAUGUAGUUGUUUAAUUCUUAAAUGAGAUAUUAUCCGUCAAUCGUAUUAUAUUUUAUCAAGAGAGAACGGAGUGCAAUGUGGCUGUAAUUUUAUCGUUUAGUUUUAUCUCUUGGACCACUGCAUUUUUGUUAAGAGGUGCAAUAAUACACGUCUUUAUCUGCCAUUCAAUAUUUACAGUAAAGAGAGGGCACAAAACUCUUCACUUCGCACCAUAAUUAUUUUGUUUUCUGGACACCCCGGGGCCCUUUGGUUGGUUUGGGGGUCAGAAAGUGAACAUCAUAGGGGGUUUUUCCCUUAUGUGCAUUUGUAUCUGAUGGCUUUAACUCGCCUUGUUACUACAAAGAAACUGUCACAGAUAGGAACUUAUUCCAGGCUGAGUAUCUCCUCAUAGACCCUAUAAAAGAAGACAAGUCAUAAUGAACAUCUAACCUUUGUUCAAUUUGAUUCAAUGCCCCCAUUGUGUCCAUCUCACAAAUCUGAAUUAUUAUAUCCAUUGAAUACAUAAAUUAAUGAAGAAAAUAUGAAACCCAAGAUACAUCUCUGCACAACCUCAACCCUGGUUGCUAUGUUUCCCUUCUAUUCACAUGAUUUGAUGCUAAUUGCCAAACUUGCAACAAGCCCUGAGUUUGACACCUAGUAUCGAUGGGCGAAUUUAAAGUCUCCUCCAAACAUAUAUUCCACAGCUUGAAGCUCACAGAAGAUGUUACAGGCAGGGAAAAACCUUCAGAGUUCGCUACCAAAGAUAAUUAUUAAGGAGAUAUCACAAAGAGAAUUCCAAGGGGUCUGAAUCAAAGACAAAUUGGUCGUUCGUGGGGGUUCUUACUUUCUUUUGGGUAUAACUCACUGAGGGCACUGUCUUUGUUAUUUGCAUUUCACAUUUAGAGUUCUGUUCUGGAAACAUAUAAAAGGAGCAUCAUUUUGUUCUUGGGUAACCCAUAGUCGUGAGUGGGUCCAUUUGCAUGCUACUUAGUUGAAAAGUUGGACCAUUUGCUCCGACGCCUACCUCCCGGAUUCCAUGCUCGGAUAAAACAAGAAUAAAAAAAAUAUUUAUAAUUUACAAAUGGGGGAAAGAAAAAAAUGUCAACAACAAACCAGGAAAAAAGAGUAGUAAAAUUCAUGUCACAUGCUAGUGAGAGAAGGGGUUGUUACACUCACUCGAAGUUCUUUCCAAAAUAUCGCAUGGUAUUUUAUUUUAUGUGUCAGCGCAGUUGUGAAUGGAACGUGCAAAAGUCCAAAUUGGCGUUUUUCCUUUUCCCGUGUAGGAUGGCGACCUUUAAUAAAUAUUUAAAACAAAAAACGAAAAAAAGGAGGGAAAAGGGAUCAGAAAAGAUAAAACAAUGUGUACAAGAGCUCAAUUAGUUUGCAAAUUACUGUUUGGAUUUUGAUAGUAUUUUAUUUGUCCAUCUAUAUUUGAUGGAAAAGAGAAUUUAAGAUAUUUCUGAAACAAAAGCAUUAGUGUAAAACUAAAUUAAGGUAUAAUUAAGUUAGUUCAAUGCAUUAAUUUAAGAAACUUGAUCUAUCCAAAGUACAAAAUUAGAUGAAAUCCAUUUCAAUGGUUAAAAUGAUCAAAAUCAAACUUUUUCUAAGUAUUUUUUAAAAGCAUCAAUAUUAAAAGACAAUUUUAUAUUUAGUCGGAGUUUGGACAAAACCAAAAAGCACACAAAAUCCAAGCGACCAUCUCUAGCUUGGAUAGUCACUUGAUCCCACCUAGAGAUGUGCAUGAGUAAAAGGAUUUGAAAAUGGAAAUUGACUAAAUAUUUAGUUGAUCAAUUAAAUUUGCAAUGUCAUAUGCAAUCCUAAUAGCUAGUCAUCUAAUCAAUUAGGUAGUCAAUCAAGUGUUUGUAAUGACUAUUUUGUACAAAAAACCACAUGUAUAGUUAAAUAUAAUGCAUUUCAUUUAUAAAUCUUCUAAUUCUUGAAUAACGAUCCUAUCAUCCUUUGAAAAUUUUUAUUACACCUUUUUUACUUUUGUUCUAAAACUUACAUAUCACCCUUAAUUGUACCAUGAGAACCUAGCUAUUUUUUUUUUUUUUGUAAUUCAUCAAAGUUAGCUUUUGUAUUCAUUGUUGUAUUAUUUUUAGUAUAACUUAGAAAGCUAGUGUUUUCAAGUGAGUAAAAUUAACUUGUAAAUAUUGUAAAGAUUCAUUGAUAUGUAUCUUAAACUAAGUGUACAAAUUAAAACAUUUGCUAGUAGAUUUUCUCAAAAUUUAGAAUAGAGCUUGAGGCUAUUGAAAUAGGUGGGGUUACACCAAACCACAUCACAUCGUUGUUUGCACCUUUUUUCACUCUCUUUUACUUAGUUUCUCUAUAUUUGUUGUCUAGUAAUAUCCUAUAGGCUUGAUGGGUUAGGGAGCAUCCCUUUGUGAAAAAAUUUCAUUCAAUUCUUAGUUGUAUUACGCAUAUAUAAAAUGCCUCAUUGUUUUAAUGGUAUUCAGUCGUGGCAUCACAGAUAUGGGCAUCUAAAUUUUAAAAGUUUGAAACUUUUGUAAAGCAUGUUGAUAAAAUCCAUGAGAGUUGUGUACUUGGGAAGCAACAUCGAGGUGACUUUAUUUUUUUUUCCUUUUAUAAUGCCACACCUAAGUCCGGUUUCUAAAUGCUAAAGUGAAAGGGUAGGUAUGGACCAUUGAAAUGUGAUCACAACUUUUGGCCUUUUCCUUUCUCUGCAGCCAUGUUGUCUCUUUUUUCUUUUGCAUGAUUUUCUUACCAAAACAGAAUCAUAGACUUGUUUAGUCUCUAAGCUACUAUAUUAUAUCUCGGUGGACUUUUAAGAGUGCAACCGACAUAGAGCACAUGCAAGUGGGCAUAUGGGACAUGAAAUUUCUUCUUACAAAGAUUGCAUGAUUUUUAUAUUAGAGUUGUUCACGUGCAAUGUAUUUAGCUUGUUUUGCAGUUAAAUUAAUUGGAUAAGUAAACAUUGGCAUUUCUAAAUCGACUGUGAAGUGCUUCAUGUACGUGUAAAGUAUUAGAAAUUUCUUUCUUGGCAACUUGUUUUUUCCUUGCCAUCUACUGGUAGGUUUGACUAAAAUUAUAUUCCCUGUCAUGCUAAUUAAUUUUCAUGUGCAUGCUCAAAAGAAGAGUAUGACCUUAGUGCACCAAAAUCACUUUGAUUAAUUUGUGAUAGGUUUUUUUGCAUCAUUUAGAUAAUGUUUAGUUCUAAGAAAAAUUUAUAUAAAAAUGGUUUAUUUAUCUUACAUAUAUAUAUAUAUAUAUAUAUUUUUUUUUUUUUCAUUUUUUUUUCUUCUAUUUUAUUUAUUUAUUUUAUUUUCCUUAUGUUUUCCUCACAUUUUCCGGAACUAAACAUAGUCUUACGAAAUCAACAAUUGCCUUCAACUGAGUAGAUUCUGUUGUUUUAGCAAUGUUAGGCUGCUAACUUGUGGUGGUACGAACCAAAUGACCCAUGUUAAUCUUGGCUUGGUUUGAUUUGGCUCUAUCUCAGAGAGCUAAAGGAUCACGUCAACUCUGGUUUCUACUAUUCAGGUCCAUUCCCAGAUGAACUGGUUCAAAUUUGAGAAAAUGGUAACAGACCUUUAGUGAUGUUGGUUUGGAGCCAGUUGCCAAACCCGCCCUGAGCUUUACCACUAAUGUCAAGGGAGAAAGCCAUUUGAACAAAAACAAUAGCUUCAAGAGACUGAAUCGUGGAUGAAAUCUGAUCCACAUUUCUUCUCAUUUUGGGAAAAAAUGAGAACUUAACUACAAAGAUUCUACUGCCUCAUUCAUAGUGCUUUUCCUGAUCCAAGGUUGGUUCGUUUCCCAAAUUGUGAGGUGCACGUGCCACUCUCACGCUCAGGAGUGUAUCCACGUGGUGGACAUCAGAUGGUGGCUUAAUAUCUGGUGUCGGUGGCUUUACUUUACUAGGAGAGUAGUGUGUCUUCAUCUCAUUCACUGCCGGAGGGUGGCGUAAGCAGUGACGCUAAGGUGGGGCACAGUCAAUAUCAUUUGCAUUUGACCAUUAUAGUUUUCUCCCGGCUUGAAAGUAACCUUAUCGUGAUAAAGGAUUACUAGCACUAGUUCAGAUGACCGUCAUGUUAAUUCGGACCAUGUUUGUGUCACAUUAUCAGCAACCAUGUGUUUAUGGUUCAUGCUAUCUGCAACUAAACUUGAUAUAUAACCAGGUGAACUUCAAUCAAAAUUCUGGAAGUACUCUUGUGAUAGAUGGUGCCUGUCUGCAGAGUCCAUCAAUUGAAAAAUGGAGUGAGUGUAUCUAUAAGAGGGAAGGCUUGGCAAAUGUUCAGUUUUCUGGGAAUUCAACAAGGAUCUAAAAUAGAUUGUUUUCUUUGCCGACUUCAAUGGUUGAAAUUUGAGAAGAUUGUGUCCACAUAUCACAACUAUUACUGGUCCUUCUGUUGCAAUUUAUCCUGUAAGGCUCUAACAUGUCUUCCAAUUCCCACUUCCCUGUUACUCCAGGAAAGCUAUUUCUGUCAUUGUGAAGAAGAAAAGAGAAUGUACAUAUCGAUGCUUUUAAGUGACUGGAGCAUUCAUAUCAGGUGGUCUGCAGCCAUAUAUGCCACUUUGUGAAGGUUGGAACAGUCAAUCACUAGGCUAUAUAUUGGUGUGGCCCAGCCACUUCAAUCAAGGACAAGUCUUCAUACUUAAAGUCAAAUUCUGCCUUUAGUCUCAUUAUAAAUUGCUGUUUAAAUAUUAAGCAAACUUUUGUUUAAUGCGAUUAAGACAGUACUAACUCAAUACUUGUUCUAUUUUUGGAUGCAAAUGCUUGAUGGUUUCAUCAUUGGAUGGGAUAAAGGUGCAUUCAUGAUUAUGAAUACUUGUAGUUAUAUUUUCAUUCUCUUUUUUCUCAAUGAGACUUGUUGGCACAAUGUUGCUGUUCAGAAACCUACCUCUCCAUGGAAAAUAAGUUGCGAUUGAUAGUACUGGAUAUGUUCAAGAAAGCUAAAUAUAGAUAGCACAAAAUAUUAUCGAUAUAAAUAGCAUUAACAGCGUACGUAUGUCUCAAUGCUCAUCAGCUAUAAGCAUGGGACAAACACUUACUAUGAGCAACUUACGUCAAAAUUCCAGAAUAGGACAUAGAAGUGACAGAUCUAUAUAUAUAGAACACUGCAUAUGAGUCACAAGAAAGGAAAUUACGGGUGCAUAGCAGCUCUUAUUUUACAUACUACUACUCAUACUGAUCAAAGUCACUCAGUUGGGAUGGGUGGGAGUAGGAGGUUUGUGGGGUGGCUUGUGCGGAGGAGUUGGCAGCUUCUUUCCAGGACCUGGUUGCUUCUCUGCUGGAGUUGAAGGAGGCUUAAUCUUCCGAGGUGGCUUGUAUGAGUCUUCAGCAUUCUCAGCUGGAGGGUGACCAGGGUUGUGACCAUAAUGUGGUGGCUUCUCUCCCUUAGGUGGUUUGCCAACUGGGGUUGGUGGCUUGUAUGAGUCUUCAGCAUUCUCAGCAGGAGGGUGACCAGGGUUGUGACCAUAAUGUGGUGGCUUCUCUCCCUUAGGUGGUUUGCCAACUGGGGUUGGUGGCUUGUGUUCUGGGAGUGGCUUCUCCCCCUUGGGAGGUUUUUCCAAUGGGGUUGGUUUGUGUUCAGGAGGUGGCUUCUCCACUGGAGGCUUGUGUUCAGGAGGUGGCUUCUCCACCGGUGGCUUGUGUUCAGGAGGUGGCUUCUCCACCGGAGGCUUAUGCUCUGGUGGUGGCUUCUCCACCGGAGGCUUAUGCUCUGGUGGUGGCUUCUUGAAUGGGGGAUGCUGAGGGUAAUCAGCAAGUGAGGGGGCGGUGAGAACCACCAGGCCAAGCAACACCACUAGCAAAUAUGUAGGAGACAUCUUUGGGUUUGGGCUCAGAUGGUGCAAAACUAGGAGAAUUGGCUAGCCUUUUAUAGCGGAUCGUACUCAAUAAUGAAAUGACACGUGUCAUUAUGACCCAUGUGUAAUGGGGUCGAUUUGGGUCCUACAGUGUUGAAAACUUCGACAUCCAGUUUUGGCCUUUUGCUUUCUCUACAGCCGCCUUGCUUUUUCCCUCUUUCCUUUUGUUUUCCUCCUGCCCCAUUCUAUCAACUAAACACAAUUAUGUAGUUGUUUAAUUCUUAAAUGAGAUAUUAUCGGUCAAUCGUAUUAUAUUUUAUCAAGAGAGAACGGAGUGCAAUGCAGCUGUAAUUUUAUCGUUUACUUUUAUCUCUUGGACCACUGCAUUUUUGUUAAGAGGUGCAAUAAUACACGUCUUUAUCUGCCAUUCAAUGUUUACAGUAAAGAGAGGGCACAAAACUCUUCACUGCUCUGCAUGUGUCCCAAAAAUGCGAUUGGACAAAUUAUGAUUUGCAUGCUAAAAAGAGGCAAAUGAGGUUAAUUCGCACCAUAAUUAUUUGGUUUUCUGGACACCAUAAAAAGAUGUUAUACAGGCAGGGAAAAACCUUCAGAGUUAGCUACCAAAGAUAAUUAUCAAGCAGAUAUCACCAAGAGAAUUCCAUAGAGUCUGAAUCAAAGACAGAUUGCUCGCUCGUGGGGGUUCUUACUUUCUUUUGGGUAUAACUCACUGAGGUCACUGUCUUUUUUAUUUGCAUUUCACAGUUAGAGUUCUGCUCUGGAAGGUUUGUUCUGGAAACAUAUAAAAGGAGCAUCAUUUUGUUCUUGGGUAACCCAUAGUCGUGAGUGGGUCCAUUUGCAUGCUACUUAGUUGAAAAGUUGGACAAUUUGCUCCGACGCCUACCUCCUGGAUUCCAUGCUCGGUAAAACAAGAAUAAAAAAAAAUAUAUAAUUUACAAAUGGGGGAAAGAAAAAAUGUCGGAAAAAAUAGUAAAAUUCAUGUCACAUGCUAGUGAGAGAAGGGGUUGUUACACUCACUCGAAGUUCUUUUCAAAAUAUCGAAUGGUAUUUUACUUUAUGUGUCAGCGCAGUUGUGAAUGGAACGUGCAAAAGUCCAAAUUGGCGUUUUUAUUUUUCCCAUGUAGGAUGGUGACCUUUAAUAAAUAUUUAAAACAAAAGACGAAAAAAAAAAGGAGGGAAAAGGGAUCACAAAAGAUAAAAUAAUGUUUACAAAAGCUCAAUUAGUUUGCAAAUUACUGUUUGGAUUUUGAUAGUAUUUUAUUUGUCGUUCUAUAUUUGAUGUAAAAGAGAAUUUAAGAUAUUUCCGAAGCAAAAGCAUUAGUUUGCUCUGUGAUGUCCCACAUCGAAUAGGGGAGAAAGUUUCUGGCGCUAUAUAUGUAGAGGCUCCUCUUAACCAAGUAGAUGCGUUUUAAAACCAUGAGGGCCCCCUUAGGUCCAAAGCGGACAAUAUCUACAUGAUUGGGUGUAAGUCAUUACAAAUGGUAUCAGAGCCGAUCCCCGACCCCGGUGUGGGGGUUUGUUUGGCCCUGUAAGGGGUGUUUGUCUGUUUGACCCCACAAUCCCAUGGGACACAACGAGGACGUUGUGUCUGCAUGGGGGGGCGUUUGUGAUGUCCCACAUCGGAUAGGGGAGAAAGUUCCUAGUGCUAUAUAUGUAGAUGUUUCUCUUAACCAAGUAGAUGCAUUUUAAAAUUGUGAGGGCCUCUUUGGGCCCAAAGCGGACAAUAUCUACAUGGUUGAGUGUAAGUCAUUACAUGCUCCAUGUCAAUUUCAGCAUUUCUCAUAUGUUUCACACAUACACAGAAGAGCAUCGUUUUUUAAAGCAUGCAUUUAUGUUGGAUUAAUUUGGAUUUUGUGGGAACUGGGGCAAGGAUCACAUGGAAGAGAGGUUGACUUUUUUCAGUACUUCAAUGGUUGAAAUAUGUGAAGGCUUGAUUGAUACUAAAGCUUGAAAUUGCGACUCUGUCAUUUGUAAAAAAAUAUGACAGCUUCCAUGCUCUCGUUUGGUUGCAUUGUCCGGUCGAGAGGUGCAAAAAGCAUUCUCUCUCUUCUAAUAGUCUUUUCGUUUAAAUCAAGGGAUUUGCCUUCCCGGUCGAGGUCCAAUAGAGGGUAACGGUCACCUACUAAACAUUAAAUGCUCCAACAACUAGUGAACUGAUCGACCCCAGCUCGACUAGUUGAGGUUACUUUUUGGUUUUCUUGUCUCCCGAGGUUAGAAACCUAUAAAUAGAGAGCUUCACUUCAUUUAUGAGUAAGAGAACACCUAAAUUUAUUUGUUUACCUACUUGUUUUUGCCAUAAAAGCUCUCAUUUCUUUUCUUGGUGUAUUAAAUCUCCAUUUGCAUAUCCUUUAGUGCACCUUUGUGAUUCAUUCUAGCCUUGAGUUGUAUUUAAGCCUUUGUUGAGCUAGGUUGAGAGUUUCAUACUUGUUUAUUGAGUGUUAAAGCCUUCAAGUGAGUUAAAACUUGAAGAGAUUGUGUAAGAGCCCAUUGGAGUCGGAAUCCAAGUGUAAAGGUGAUUAAAAGCUUGGUUGAAGCUUCAAGUUAGUGGAACUCUCACUCGGUUAUGAGCUUGAGAAGAGUGGACAUAGACAAGGCAGUGUCGAACCACUAUAAAAUCUGAGUUUGAUUUCUCUAACCUUAUCUCUUUAUAUUUGCUUCUCUUGUGCUUAAAUUUUUUGUGUUUAAAAAGAAUUUUUAAAAACUCAAUUCACCCCCUUCUUGGGAGUUUUUCUCUUUUAAGAUCAGCUUUUAUUUUCUCAAUUGGUAUCAGAACUAUGCCUCUUGUUUAAGACUUAAUCGUCUAAGAGGAAAUGGCUAAUCCAUCAAGUUCAUCUCACAUUGAAAGUUUUGCAACCAAUAGACUUCUUUUUUUUUUUUUGCGGGAACUGAUUAUCCCUAUUGGAAAACUAAAAUGACUUGGUUUUUACAAUCAAUUGAUUUAGAUGUAUGAGAUGCCAUUGAAGAUGACCUAACUUUUCCUUCAAAACUAGUUGAUGGAGUCAUGGUUCCAAAACCUAAGCAAGAAUGGGAUGAGCGUGAUUGAAGAAAUUUUCAAUUAAAUGCUAAAGUCGUUUAUACUUUGCAAUGCUCUAUGGACAGAAAUGAAUAUAAUAGAAUAUGUCAAUGCAAAUCGGUUAAAGAAAUUUGGAGAUUGCUUGAAAUAACUCAUAAAGGAACAAAUCAAGUUAAAGAGUCAAAAAUCAAUUUACUUGUUCAUAGAUAUGAAUUGUUUUUUAUGAAAGAUAAUGAAACUAUUGUUAAGAUGAUCACUAGGUUCACCAACAUUGUUAAUGGUCUUAAAGCCUUGGGAAAGACCUACAAGGAAUCCGAAAACGUGAUGAAGAUCUUGAGGUCACUUCCAUCAAAGUGGCAUACCAAGGUCACCGCAAUUUAAGAAGCAAAAGACUUGAUCAAGCUACCUUUGGAGGAGUUCAUAGGGUCAUUGAUGACAUAUGAAAUCAAUUUGGCAAAGAAGUAACAAAAAGGUGAAGACAAAAAGAAGAAGAACAUAACUCUCAAAGCUACAACUAAGGAAGAAGAAGUUGAAGAAGAAAAACAAAUUGAAGAAGAUGAAGAUUUAGCCCUCAUCACAAGAAAGUUCAACAAAUUCAUGAGGGGUGAAAGGUUUAGAAGAAGAAGGUUCACUUCUAGAAGAGACUUUUCUAAAAAGGAAUCUUCAUCUAAUGGUGACAAAAAGAGAUGGGAAGAGAAAAGAGACUUGGUGUGUUUCAAGUGCAAGAAACCGGGACACAUUAAAUAUGAUUGUCCUCUCUACAAAAGUGAAGUCAAGAGGAAAAAGAAUAAGGCAAUGAUGGCCACUUAGAGUGAAAGUGAAGAUGAAUCAUCCGAAGAAGAAAAUGAGAAAGAAGUGGCAAACAUGUGUUUCAUGGCAAUAGAUGAACUUGAUGAGGUAAAAUCUAACCUUAGUGAUUAAGAUAUACAUGAUGCAUUUGAAGAAUUGUAUGAGGAUUUUUAAAAACUUAGUUUGAAAAAUAUUUCUCUUAAAAAGAAAGUUCAACAACUUGACAAAGAACUUAGAGAAGUAAAAGAAAAAUUUUCAAAUGUUAAAGUUUCUAAAACUCAUCUUGAAAAAGAAAAUGAGAUUCUAAGAAAGAAAAAUGAAUAGUUGAACUCCUCUCUUUCAAUCUUUUCUUCUAGACAAAAAUCUUUUGAAAUGAUUCUAACUAGCUAAAAAUGUGUUUUUGACAAACAAGGGUUAAGAUUUAAAUCUUCAAAAAAUCAAAAGUAUUUUAAAAACUAUUUUGUAAAGGAAUCCACAAGUGCAAGUCCUUCCACUACUUGCAACUUUUGUGGAAGAGAAUGGCACAUUAGUAGUACGCCCUUUAAGAAAUGGUUCUCAAAAGAAUUUAAAUGCAAAAACUAAAAAAGAUUUGGAUUGAGAAAUCCAAGGUCACUAACCCUCAAGGACCCAAAAAGAUAUAGGUACCUAAAUCAACUUGAGUUUUAUGUUGUAAGGUUCAAAGAAUGAUAAGUGGUUCUUAGAUAAUGGUUGCUCAAGACACAUGACCGGAGAUGAAUCCAAGUUUGCUUUUCUUAAAAAGAAAAAUGGAGGAUAUGUUACCUUUGGAGACAAUGCAAAAGAAAGGAUGAUUGGUCAAGGCAACAUUGGUAAUGGCACAUCCUCUCUCAUUGAAAGUGUUUUAUUAGUAGAUGGUUUCAAACAUAACCUUUUAAGCAUUAGUCAAUUUUGCGACAAAGGUUUUUAAGUGAUUUUUUAAGCAUCUCAUUGCAUCAUCAAGGAUAUUCAAAAUGAUAAAACCAUUUUCAUGGGCCAUAGAUGUGAUAAUGUUUAUGCUAUAAAUAUUUCAAAAUAUGAUGGCCAUGAUAGAUGUUUUUCAAGCAUGCAUGAUCAAAGUUGGUUGUGCCAUAGGAGAUUGAGACAUGCUAACAUAGACCUCAUUUCCCAACUCAACAAAGAUGAACUUGUUAGAGGCCUUCCCAAAAUAAUUUUUUAAAAAGAUAAAGUUUGUGAAGCUUGUCAAGUGGGAAAGUAAAUCAAAAACUCUUUUAAAAACAAAAACUUCAUUUCCACAUCUAGGCCACUUGAGUUGUUGCAUAUGGAUUUAUUUGGUCCCUCUAGGACACCAAGUCUUAGAGGAAAUUCUUAUGCAUAUGCUAUUGUGGACGACUUCUCUAGAUACACAUGAGUCUUGUUUUUUAGUCAAAAGAAUAAAGUUUUUUAUGAGUUUUCAAAGUUUUGCAAUAAGAUUCAAAAUGAAAAAGGUUUUUCAAUUACUUAUAUAAGAAGUGAUCAUGGGAGAGAAUUCGAAAAUAUUGAUUUUGAAGAGUAUUGCAAUGAGCAUGGAAUUGACCACAAUUUUUUGGCUCUUAGAACUCCUCAACAAAAUGGGGUAGUUGAAAGGAAAAAUAGAACUCUUCAAAAAAUGACAAGAACCAUACUAAAUGAAAACAACUUACCAAAAUAUUUUUAGGCCAAAACGGUUAACACUUCUUGUUAUGUUUUAAAUAGAGUAUUAUUGAGGCUCAUACUUAAGAAAACUCCCUAUGAGCUUUGGAAAAACAAAAAACCCAACAUUAGUUAUUCCAAAGUCUUUGGAUGCAAUAUUUUAUAAUAAACACCAAAGACAAUCUUGGAAAAUUUGAUGCAAAAUUGGAUGUUGGAAUUUUCCUUGGUUACUCAACUUCAAGUAAAGCUUUUCGAGUUUUAACAAAAGAACCAUGGUUGUAGAGGAGUCCAUCCAUGUUAUUUUUUAUGAAUCUCCAAGAAAGAGAGAGGAUUGAUGAUGAUUUAGGUUUGAAGACCUCUAUAGGAAGAUUGCAAAUCGAAGAUAGAAGACAACAAGAAGAAAAUGGAGAGAAUCCAAAGAAAGAAGGAUCACCAUUGGCACUACCCCCUCAUCAACAAGCGCAAGGUGAAUCAAGUCAAGAGCUUCCUAAAGAAUGGAAGUUUGUCAUCAAUCACCCACAAGAUCAAAUUAUAGGCAAUCCAUCUAGUGGGGUAAGAACUAGAUCCUCUCUUAGAAAUAUUUGCAAUAAUCUAGCUUUUAUCUCUCAAAUUGAGCCUAAAAAUAUAAAUGAUGUUUUAGAUGAUGAAAAUUGGAUAAUUGCAAUGCAAGAAGAGUUAAAUCCAUUUGAAAGAAGUGGAGUAUGGGAAUUAGUACCAAGACCUUCAAAUCAAAGUGUUAUUGGAACUAGAUGGAUCUUUAGAAAUAAAAUGGAUGAAAAUAGCAUAAUUGUUAGAAAUAAAGCAAGAUUGGUAGCCCAAGGUUUUAAUCAAGAAGAAAUGAUAGAUUAUGAAGAAACCUUUGCCCCCGUAGCUAGGUUGGAAGCCAUUAGGAUGCUACUUGCCUUUGCAUGUUUUAAAGACUUUGUUUUAUAUCAAAUGGAUGUGAAAAGUGCUUUUUUAAAUGGUUUUAUAAAUGAAGAAGUAUAUGUUGAACAACCACCCGGUUUUCAAAGUUUCAACUUUCCUAACCAUGUUUUUAAACUUAAAAAGACACUUUAUGGUUUGAAACAAGCACCUAGAUCAUGGUAUGAAAAAUUGAGUAAAUUUCUUUUGAAAAAAAUGUUUUAAAAUGGGAAAAAUUGACACAACUCUUUUUAUAAAAACCAAAGAAAAUGAUAUGCUCUUAGUUCAAAUAUAUAUUGAUGAUAUCAUUUUUGGUGCUACUAAUGUCUCUCUUUAUGAAGAAUUUUCUAAGUGCAUGCAUAGUGAGUUUGAAAUGAGCAUGAUAGGAGAACUCAACUUCUUCCUUGGACUUCAAAUCAAGCAACUAAAGGAAUGAACCUUCAUCAAUCAAGCAAAGUAUAUAAGAGAUCUUCUCAAAAGGUUCAACAUGGAAGAAGCCAAAACAAUGAAGACUCUAAUGAGCUCAUCCAUUAAGCUUGAUAAGGAUGAGAAAGGUAAAUCCAUUGACUCUAUUAUGUAUAGAGGCAUGAUAGGUUCUUUGCUCUAUUUGACCACUAGUAGACCUUACAUUAUGUAUAGUGUGUGUUUGUGUACUAGAUUUCAAUCUUGUCUUAAAAAAUCUCACUUAAGUGUCGUGAAAAGAAUCCUCAAAUAUUUGAAAGGGACAAUGGACAUAGGCUUAUGGUAUCCUAAGAGUGAUAACUUUGAAUUAAUUGGUUUUUUGGAUGCUGAUUUUGUCAGUUGUAGGGUUGAAAAAUAAAACACUAGUGGCACUUUUCAUUUCUUAAGACACUUACUUGUCUCAUGGCAUAAUAAGAAGCAAAAUUUGGUAGCUUUGUCAACAGCAGAAGCUAAAUACAUAGCAACUGGUUUAUGUUGUGCACAAAUCCUUUGGAUGAAAUAAACACUUAGUGAUUUUGAUUUAUCUUUUGAGCAUAUUCCUAUUAAAUGUGAUAAUAGUAGUGCCAUAAGUAUAUCAAAAAAUCUCGUGCAACACUCUAGGACUAAGCAUAUAGAGAUUAGACAUAAUUUUCUUAGAUAUCAUACACAAAAGGAUGAUAUAACACUUGAAUUUGUAAGCAUAAAAGACCAACUUGCCGAUAUCUUUACAAAACCUCUAAGAACAUUUUGUUGAUAUUAGAGGACAAUUAGGAGUGAUUUCUUUAUGAUCUAAUGUGAUGAAUUCUUGAUGAAUAUACUUUUUGAUUGCAUGAAUUUCAUGUCAUAUAUGCAUCAUAUAGAAAUAUACUUAGAUAAUGGUCAAAUUUCGACCAAAAAUCAAAAUUCCCAUGGCAUUAGGCAUAAAAAUUUUGGAAUUUCAACUGAAAAUGGUAGGAGGAGGAUCACAAAAUGAGAAAGUAUGCAAAAAUUGAAAAAUCAAAACGUUGACCAAGCGGUCAAUCGGACUAGACCGAUCGACUAGUUUGUCGAGAUUUAGGAUUUUUAAGAGACUCCAACGCUUCAAUUUUUGCACCGUUCUCCUCUAUUUCUUCACGGUUUCUCUGAUUUUGUCUUUUAGAGACUAAUUUGAGUGCGUUUUGGAUCAAUUGAAGCAUUUUGGAUUGGAUUUUAGGAAGAUUGAAAGUUAAGGUUUCGGAUUUGGGUCGCCUUCUCUUCCUCUCGCGUGUCACAAUCAGCUUUAGCAUUGUUCUCUUUCCAUUUUCACACACCUAGGGUUUCAGUUGUGAGCAUCUCUCUCUCUUUACCAACCACUACUCCCUUGCUUCUUCCAUAUGGCUCCUAGGCGAGAGUCCGCUACUUCUAGGGCACAAGGCAAGCACCCAACUGAGUCGUCUCAGUCAAAGGCACGUCGAAAAGUGAGAUUUGACAUUGCCUUGUUCAGUUCCAUGGAGGACUACCAACUAUACAAGCAACACUUUGCUUAGAGACGAGUAGUUCCCAAGAGAAAUAUUAAUUUUCCUCAACUUCAGCAUUUCGAAUUUAAGGGUCUAUUUACUAGGAUGGUUGGUUGUCUAUUGUCACAAUUUCGGAGCCGGUUUUCCUGACCUUAGUGCGAGUUUUUUACUCGAGGGCGACUUAUGGCAUGGGUGGCAUGAUCAUUUCUACUGUUGGAGGAGUUGAGAUCUGUCUGGACCCAGAGAGCAUCUGCCAUAUUUUCGAUAUUGCUCUGGUUGGACUCAAAGUAUACAAGUCCAAAAUGUGGCCCAUUGUGCCAGGAUUUGAGCUUAGAGAGGUCAUUCAGAGGAUUUGUGAACUUCCAGACGCCCAGGAGAUGGGCAAACCAUUGCCACACAGUUUGACGGUCAUCAACAGGGUGCUACACCAUAUAUUGUGCUCUAUCUUUCUACCACGAAGUGGACAUUGAGAUGAGGUCUCUUAUUAUGAGGCAUUCCUUAUUGACUCCAUUCUAACGGAGAGACGAAUUCAUCUACUAUGUCAUCAUUCACUAAGCCUCCUCACAGUGACAUACCACCUCAUCAGGCACCUCUUGCUCCUGACCAUGCUCCAUUGAUGGAUUUAUUUACUCAUAUUAGCUCUCUAGGCACUCGCAUGAAGGAGUUUGUUGUAGUUAGUGAUACAUGGUUCUACUCCAUAGAGGAUCGCAUGGAUCAGUAUCAGACUGGCUUCACGUCACAGUUUGAGUAUCUCCAAUAGAGGAUUGAGCAUAUUGAGGAUCACUUGAGCAUGAGAAGAUGAUGGCUUUUCUAUGCUCUGUGUUUCCACCUCCACCUCGUCAACCUUGAUUUCUUAGAGACCCAUUGUUUUCAUUUUGUAAUGUUGCCAAAAGGGGGAGAUAUUUAGGAUCUAGGACUCUAUAGGAGACUUACAUGCAUAUCAUUUUCAUAUCAUUGUUUGGAUCGUACAUAUUGGAUAGUGAUACUUUUUACUUAUAUAUGAUAUGCCUAUAUGUUUCAUGUCUUACAUUGUUUCUUAUUGCAAAUUAUCUCUAACAUGUCUUGAUUAUCUUUUUUUUAACUUCAUAAAUUUUGAUUGUUAACCCAUGAUUGGUUUGAGGGGAAGAUUCUUCUUCUCCUAGAUAACCAAGGUUUGUCAUCAUAAAAAAAUUGGAGAUUGUUAGCCCAAGGGUUCUCCUAAUCAUGUUUUGAUGAUAACAAACCAUGCUUAAGUUACUAAUUGGUUUGAAUUAUAAAGAAUUUCAAGUGUUAAUUUGAAAAUUCAUCAAAGAACCUAAUGGAUGCAAGAUCAAGAUUUUUGGAAGACCUUUAAUCAUAAGAAACAUAUGUAAGAUGAAUGCAUGGGUGCACUUAAGAUUUGCAUAUCAUUUCAUGCAUAUUUGGAAAACACGGUUUAUGCUUUAAAGUUACAUUUCCAUCAAAAUUUGAGAUCCAUCAAAUGAACCUUAGGAAAAAUGUUUUAAAAUUGGCAUAUAAUUUUACCUAAAGACCUUGCCUAAGUGUUAGAAGCAAAAGGACAAAAAAAAUAUAGGUUUUCUGGUCAAAAAUGGUGAACCAGUCAAGGCAUUGUCUAAAUCAGCUCAAUCGGCCAAGGUACCGGUCGAUCGGUUUCCCUUUCCCUGUCGAGAUCUAGUCAAGAGGUACAAAAAUCACAAUCUCUGUCUCUUUCUCUCUUUGUCUAUCUUCCAGUAGUCUUUCCUUCCCGGUCGAGGGAUUUGCCUUCCCGAUUGAGGUCCGAUUGAGAGUAAUAGUCACUUGCCAAAUAUUAAAUGCUCCAACAGUUAGUGAACUGGUCGACCCCCACCUUGCCCAGUUGAGGUUACUUUUUGGUUUUCUUGGCUCCCGAUGUUAGAAACCUAUAAAUAGAGAGUUCCACUUCAUUUAUGAGCAAGAGAACACUUGCAUUUAUUUGUUUACCUACUUGUUCUUGCCUUAAAAGCUCUCAUUUCUUUUCUUGGUGCAUUAAAUCUCCAUUUUGAUAUCCUUUAGUGCACCUUUGUGAUUCAUCUUAGCCUUGAGUUGUAUUUGAGCCCUUUUUUUAGCUAGGUUGAGAGUUUCAUACUUGUUAAUUGAGUGUUAAAGCCUUCAAGUGAGUUGAAACUUGUAGAGAUUAUGUGAGAGUCGAUUGGAGCCGAAAUCCAAGUGUAAAGGUGAUUAGAAGCUUGGUUGAAGCUUCAAGUUAGUGGAAUCCUCACUCAAUUAGGAGCUUGAGGAGAGUGGACGUAGCCAAGGAAGUGUCGAACCACUAUAAAAUUUGAGUUUGAUUUCUCUAACAUUGUCUCUUUAUAUUUGUUUAUCUUGUGCUUAAAUUUAUUGUGUUUAAAAAGAAUUUUUAAAUACCCAAUUCACCCCCCUCUUGGGUGUUUUUCUCUUUUAAAAUUAGCCUUUAUUUUCUCACAAACUAUUGUAGUAUAGUGGUUUUUAGGUGUCAUCCAUUAGGAUGAAUUGUUCUCGGUAAUUAAGGCGUGAAUGAGAGGAGAAUUAAUGAUUGUGAUUAAGUAAAAUUGAUUUGAAAAUUCAUGGUGAAAAAUCAAUUUAACAAUGGUUUCUAAUUGAGAAAAACAAUGAAAUGUGAAAUAAAAUAAAAUUAAUAGGAAAUGAAAUUCUCGAAGUUAGAAUUUUCUAAAAAACAAAUUCCAUGGUGAAUGGAUGUUGAGAUCUAAUUUUCAUCAAGUUAGAUUGAAAACCGAAAUUUUCAUAUAAACUGAUUUUUUAUUUAGUUUUAGGUCUAGAUUUAAUUUCCCUUAAAAUUAGGUUAUUUAAUCCAAGAAAUCAAUUCAAAUCAUAUAUUCAAUUCAUCUUAAAUUAUCUUCCAAUUAUUCACACAAUGCAACUAUUCAAUCUCAUCAAAUCUAGCUUUUAAGAAUUUAAUGAAUCUACCUAGUUUGCAUUGUAAUAGUCAUCCAUGACAAUUUGAAGAGAAAAAUAAUUCAAUUAAUCAAUCACUUGGAUCAAAUUACCUUUGCAAUUAAAGUUCAUUUCUCUAAUUCACCACAGAUUUUGUCUCUAGAUCCUCCUUUCUCAAAGAAAAAUGAGAUUUAGCCACACAUGAUUGGAGAUUUGGUCUCAUAAGGCAUGUUUAGCUAGUGAUAAAAUGAGAGAAAAUAAAGAAAAAUAGAGAAUUCGAUUAAGAAAGAAAAUCUAAAAAAUUCUACAAUUAGAAAUGUCCAAAAAGCUUUUUCAUGAGAAAAUCAAGUUUCUAUUUAUAGGCCAAGGUCAAGUGGACACUUGACAUCAUCUAAGAGGUCUUCCGGAAGCUUCUUCAUCAAGAAAUCUGGAGUUUAAUAAUAAAAUGGUCAUUUCACAAGAGCUCAAACAAUUUCGCAUGAUUAUGUGAAAUAAAAAAUGCAACAACAGCAAUUUACAUCUUCUUGGAGCAUUUCGCAUGACUGUGUGAAAUUUUCACAUGAUCAUGUGGAAUCGACUUGACAACUCUCAUUUAGCCUACAACAUAAUUCCACCUUUUGGUCCAUUUUUCAUAGUCAUGCGAAAUGGAAAUAUUUGAUUUUUAAGUUUUCUUUUGUCAUUUCUUUCAUUUCCUUCUCUUGAUUCCACUUCAACUACCUCCGAAUCCUGGUCCAAACCAAUUGCAUUACUUCUUUCAUUAUGCAUUUGGAUCAUCAUCAACAUUAUUUGUUCUCUUCAAUUUGAUUCAUCUCUUUUGUCACCAAUUUAUCAAAAUCAUACCUUGAAAUGACUCCAAAACUUCAUAAAACUUGUUAGUAACUCUUGCAAGGGCAACAACAUAUUAAUUAAGUGUUUUAGGCAUAGUUACUACUCAAAAGAUGCGAAACUCAUGAUAAUUAUUAUAUAAAAUAUGCUCUUUUUGAGUAGUAAUCAACUUUCUUGCAUAAGCAGACCUUUUAGGGUGGAGUACUAAAGACCAAUAUGCUUGUCCUUGUUGUAAUAAAGAAACUUGCUCUUAUUGAUUGCACCAUGGGAGAAAAUUUUGCUACAUGAGUUAUCAUCAAUUUCUUCCCACCAAUCAUAGAUUUAGACGUGACAAGAGGCCUCUUAAUGGCAAGGAGGAACUGACACUCACACUUAUACAAUUAUCGGGCAUUGAUGUGUUGCAACAAUUAGAAUAACUUACACCAAUUAUGUUGGGGAAGUCACAAAAGGCAAACAUGAAAACUAAAAGGAAAAAAGAAAAAUGUUACAUAUCACCACAACUGGAAAGAAAAAAGUAUUUACUUUCAUUUGCCAUAUUGGAAAGCACUUAUUUUACAUCAUAAUAAUUUAGACAUAAUGCAUAUUGAGAAAAAUGUGUGACAAUAUAAUUGAGACAUUGUUCAGUAUUGACGAAGAAACAAGGACAACCUAAAUAGUCAUCUCGAUUUACAAGCUCUAACUAUUAGAAAUGAGAUUCACCCAAUAGAAAGCAGGACCAAAUUUAUUUUGCUUGCAACAUGCUACUCACUCACCCCAAAUGAGAUUAAGGAAUUUUGCAAGUUUUUGAAAUCAAUAAAGGUCCCCAAUGGCUAUUCUUUCAAUAUCUCUCGUUAUGUGCAACUCAAUGAAAGGAAGAUAUAUGAGCUCAAAUUGUAUGAUUGUCAUGUCCUAAUGCAACAACUUCUCUCACUUGUAGUUCGUGGAGUUCUACAUAAGAAUGUUUGUGGAGUUAUCAUAGAAUUGCGUAAUUUUUUCAAGCAAUUGUGCUCAAAGGUGUUAGAAACAAAUCACUUACACCAACUUGAGAACAAUAUUAUUGUCAUACUAUGUAAAAUGGAGCAAAUAUUUCUUCCAUCAUUCUUUGAUAUUAUGGUGCAUUUACUUGUGCAUCUAGUAAGGCAAAGGUUGCAAGACUUGUGCAAUAUUGUUGGAUGUACCUAAUUGAACGAUAUUGUUAUAAUUUCAUAUGAAUCAUUUAAUUUUAUUUUAUAUUAUGUUCAGUUCAUUAACAUGUACAUUGGUCUACAUAUGGAUGAUGAUAGGUACCUAAGCACUUUAAAGUCAUAUGUGCGUAAUAGAACUUUUCUAGAAGGUUCUAUUGUAGAAAGGUACCUUGCAAAAGAAUGUACAACAUUUUAUUCUAGGUACUUGAAUGAUGUGGAAAUAAAGUAUAAUCACAAUGAUAGAAACUUUGUUGGUUUCAACACUAGAGGAGAUGAAAGGGGUUAUCUUUAAACAUAUUGGACAUGCAUUGGGAAAGCCCAUAUUUCAUUAACUUAGUUCAAAAGAGUGGUCACAAGCACAUUUAUAUGUGUUGACAAAUUGCGAAGAUGUCAUACCAUUCAUUGAGUAAAAAAUUUAUUUGAAUUUUAAUUAAAGCUCUAGUUUAUAUCCUUAAUCAAUGUUUUUUAAAUUCACAAGGAGCACAAGCAAACCAUCAAGGCUAGACCACAUAUACGUGUUUGAGACGUAGAUUUAAUUCAUAACAAGGAAUUUAUCAAGUGGUUUGAAAGACAUGUAAGUAUAUUCCUUAUUAUAAGGGAUUUAUUUCACAUUAUGUUUAUAUUGAAUCCAAACCUAUUAUUGAAUUGUAGGUUGAACAAUUACAUAAUGAAGGUCAUAUAUCUGAACACCUUCUCACAUUAUCAUGUGUUCCAAAUUCAUUAGUUACAUGCUUCAAAUGAUAUAUUGUCAAUGGAUUUAGAUCCCACAUUAAAGAACGUGAUAAAAAAGUUUUUAAAAAAAGACUCAGAAUAAUGGAAUUGUUGUAGUUGCAAAAACGUCAAGCUUUACAAGUGCAUGUGAUAUGAGUCCAAUUAUUAGUGAUGCUCUCUACUAUGGUGUUCUAACUAAAGUUGUUGAGUUACAUUAUCUUGGUGAAAAUAAGGUUGUUUUAUUCGAGUUUGAUUGGUGGGAUGUUACAAAUAUUGGAAAAUUGAUAAAAGAUGAUGAGUACAAUUACACAUUUGUUAACUUUGCAUGAAUUCUAACCACGAACGAACGAUUUGUACUUGCAUCUCCAGCAAAGUAAGUGUUCUAUGUGAAGAAUGCGAAUGAAUCAGAUUGGCAUACUAUCAUGGAGAUGCAACCUCAAGACCUCUAUAAGAUGAACGGGAUAGGAUCCAAUGGUGAUUUUGAACCAUUUCAACAAAGUGAACUACAUGAUCACUAAUAUAUCUCAGAUUUAGUUGAUGAAGAUAUAAUCAAGUGGAACAAAAGUGAUGUUUUAGGACUAAUCAUCCUAAAAAAUAUUGUAGUUUCUUAAAAAAAAAAUGAAAAUGAAGAAGAUAAUUGAACCUUUGUCAUACUUUAAAAAGCAACUAUGCAUUGUUCAUUUUGUAUGUUUUGGUUUUCUUCAUUUAAUUUCCUGAUUUUUGUGAUUCAAUGUCAUAUUAUUGAUCUUGAAAUAUUUUUCUAAUUUUUCAUUCUACGAUGGUUUCAACAAGGAUGACAUCAAGUCAAAAAAGGAAAUGUGGUCCCACACACAAUAUUGCAUUACAGGGAUUAAGGUCAGGGAAGAAGGUAAAAGUUGCAUUUAAUGAGUACAAUCAAUUGGUUAAACAGAAAAAUGGAAAACACUUAUCGAGCUACAUAGGGACACUUGUAUCUAACCAACACAAUGUACCUCUCCAAGCUAGUGAUUGGAAAAAUGUUCCAAAUGAUGCAAAAGAGAAAGUAUGGCCUUUGUUUUGGUAUGUUGUAUUUCUCACUAUAUGAUGUCAUUUCACUGUUAUUCUAUUUUGUGACUAACGUUUGAAUCAUAUGUAAGAAAAAUUUGAAGUAGAUAAAGACUGAAAAGAUUACAUGUUGGGUAUAGCCUCAAAUAAAUAUAGAAGCUAUAAAAAUAUGAUGAAUGCAAAAUACUAUGACCCUUGGCAUAAGGAUGCAUGAGGAGAGGUUAAUACAUAAAUCACCAUUUGUCUCUGAUGUUGAUUGGAAGUGGCUUGUCUCUGAUGCAUAAACCAAAUCCCCCACUGAAUGUUUGAUAUUUGAUAGCAGGAAAAACACACCCGCAGCUAUACACCUCCAUCAUUCAGAUAAUUAUAGUGGGGGAGAUGAUUCAUGGUUGCCCUUAUACCCUUUAUUUGCACCAUCUAUUGAGAUUCUUUAUCAUGGCCAGGUUUUACUGCAGCAAUAAGAUAUGGUGGCAACAAUUUUAUCUAUAGGUGCGGUUCCAGACCGCCUCCAUAGGUGCGGUUCCUGACUGCCUCCAUAGGUGCCUCUUCUUGUAAUGUUUGUUCUGGGAAUUACACUUGAAAGCCUUAUCGUGAUAAGGGAUUACAAACACUAGUUCAGAGGACAGCCAUGUUAAACUUCCACUAUGUUUGUGUCACAUUAUCAGCAGCCUAGUGUUUAUUGGUCAUGCUAUCUGCAACUAAUAUAACCCGGUGAACUUCAAUCUAAAUUCUGAAAGUACUCAUGUGACAGAUGGUGCCUUUCAGCAGAUAUCAUCAAUUUAAAAGUAGUGUGUGUGCCUAUAGGUGGGAAGGCCUUGGCAAAUGUUCAGUAUUCCGGUAAUUCAAGAAGGAUAUAUCUAAAAUAGAUUUUCUUCUUGCCCAUUUCAAUAGUUAAAAUUUGAGAAGAUUGUGUCCACAUCACACAAAUAUUAUUGGUCCUUCUGUUGCAAUUUACCUCUGAACAUGUCUUCCAAUUCCCACGGUCCUGUUACUCCAGGAAAACUAUUUCGGUCAUAUUGAAAAAAAAAAUAUUAAAGAAGGUACACAUGCUUUUAAGUGGACUGGGGCAUUCAUAUCAGGUGGUCUGUAUCCACAUAUGCCACUUCGUGAAAGGUGGAACAGCCUAAUCACUAGGCUAUUUAGUGUGGCCCAGCCACGUUAAUCAAGCACAAGUCUUCAUACUUAAAGUCAAAUGGUGUCUUUAGUCUCAUUACACAUCGCUAUUUGAAGAUUAACUCAUCACUAGUGUAAUGCGAUUAAGACAGUCCUAACUCAAUAUUUGUUCUAGUUUUGGAUGCAAAUGCUUGCUGGUUUCAUCAUUGGAUGGGAUAAAGGUGCAAUCAGGACUAUGAAUACGUGCAGUAAUACUUCAUUCUCUUUUUUCUCAAUGAGACUUCUUGGCACAAUUUUGCUGCUCAGCAACCUACCUUUCCAUGGAAAAUCAGUUGUGACUGAUAGUAAUGGAUAUAUUCUAGAAAGCUAAACAUAGAUAGCAUUCAAUAUUAUCGAUAUAACAUUAACAGCGUAUGUCUCAAUGCUCAUCAGCUACAAGCAAUGGACAAACACUUUGAGUAACUCACAGCAGUCAAAAUUCCUAAACAGGACAGACGUGACAGAUCUAUAUAUAGAACACUGCAUAUGAGUCACAGGAAAAGAUAAUACGGGUACAUAGAAGCUCUUAUUUUACAUAUUACUCAUACUGAUCAAAGUCGCUCAGUUGGGAUGGAUGGGAGAAGGAGGUUUGAGGGGUGGCUUGUGCGGGGAAGUUGGCAGCUUCUUUCCGGGAGCUGGUUGCUUCUUUGCUGGAGUUGAAGGAGGCUUAAUCUUCCGAGGUGGCUUGUAUGAGUCUUCAGCAUUCUCAGCAGGAGGGUGACCAGGGUUGUGACCAUAAUGUGGUGGCUUCUCUCCCUUAGGUGGUUUGCCAACUGGGGUUGGUGGCUUGUUUUCUGGGAGUGGCUUCUCUCCCUUGGGUGGUUUGCCAACUGGGGUUGGUGGCUUGUGUUCUGGGAGUGGCUUCUCCCCCUUGGGAGGUUUUUCGAAUGGGGUGGGUUUGUGUCCUGGUGGUGGCUUCUCUCCCUUGGGAGGUUUACCAAUUGGGGUCGGUGGCUUGUGUUCUGGGAGGGGCUUCUCUCCCUGGGGAGGUUUAGUGGGUGGCUUGUGUUCUGGAGGUGGCUUCUCCACCGGAGGCUUAUGCUCUGGUGGUGGCUUCUCGAAGGGGGGAUGCUCAGGGUAAUCACCAAGUGAGGGGGUGGUGAGAACCACCAUGCCAAGCAACAACACUAGCAAGUAUGUAGUAGACAUCUUUGGGUUUGGACUCAGACAGUGCAAAACUACGAGAAAUCGCUAGCCCUUUAUAGCGGCUCGGACCUAAUACUGACAUAAUAUAAAAUAAAUAUUAUAUUUUAUCAAGAGAGAACAGAGUGUAAUUUUAUCAUUAAUACCGAUCGAGGCCAAAGAAAGAAGACCCAUAAUCCAUUUCCCACAAGCAUACACAAUGCAGCUGUAAUUUUAUCAUUUACUUUUAUCCCUUGGACCACUGCAUUUUUGUUGAGAGACACAAUAACACAUUUUUAUCUGUCAUUCAACAUUUACAGUAAAGAGAGGGCACAAAACGCAAUUAGAUAAAUUAUGUUUUGCCUGCUAAAAAGAGGCAAAUAACUUUAUUUGCAACAUAAUUAUUUUGGUUUCUAGUGACCCCGGGGCCUUUCGGUUGGUUUGGGAUCGGAAAAUGAACAUCAUAGGGGGGGUUGUGCCCUUAUGGGCAUAUAUAUCUGAUAGCUUCAACUGGCCUUGUUCCUAGAAAGAAAUUGCCAAAGAUAUAAACUUAUUCCAGGCUGAAAGUAGAUGAGAGUCAUAAUGAACAUCAACCUUUGUUCAGUUUGAUUCAAUGCCCCCAUAGUGUUCAUUUCACAGAUCUGAAUGAUUAUAUCCGUUGAAUACAUAAAUUAAUGAAGACAAAUAUGAAACCCAAGAUACAUCUCUGCAUAACAACCCCAACCCUGGUUGCUAUGUUUCCCUUCUUCUAUUCACAUGAGGAUACUGGUUAUAAUUGUCAAACUUGCAACAAGCCCUUUGACACCUAACGUCAAUGGACGAAUUAAAAGUCUCCUUCAAACGUCUAUUUCACAGCAUGAAGCUUAUAAAGGAUGCUGACAACCUUCAGAGUUAGCGACAAAAGAUAAUUAUCAAGGAGAGAUAGUUCCAUGAGAAUUCCAAGGAGUCUGAAUCAAAGACAAAUUGCUCACUCAAGGGUUCUUAUUUUCUUUUAGGUACAAAUCUCUUGAGUGUUGUUAAAGAAACACGUCACUGUCAUUUUGAUUUGCAUUUAACAUUUCACUUUUGUUCUGGAAGGUUUGUUCCGGAAACAUAUCAAAUGAGCAUCAUUUUCUUCUUCGGUGACACAUGGUCGCGAGUACGUGGGUCCAUUUUCAUGCCACUUAGUUGAAAAGUUGGAAAGAAAAAACAUGCCAACAAGAAGAUAGUGAGAGAAGGGGCACUUCAAGCCUUUAACAUGAACAAACAGUAAAUAAAAGAUGUUUCUCCACUCAUAAAAGUGUGUUAGAUAGCAAUAUAACGAAUCACAUCCAAAAUCUUUACUAGGCUCAAACAUAAAGAAGACUCAUUUUUAAGAAAAGAUAAAAAUGGCAUUGUCUGAUAGUAUCCAAUACACGAGAUGGCACUUAAUUUGUACAAGAUCUGUCAAUGCUGACGCACAUUUUCUGAUUAAAAAAAAACUGAUCAGUCAAAAGCAAUGAAGAGAAGUGAUGACAAUGAAUGAUGCUUCCAAUAUUUUCACCCCUUAUAGUGUUCUUCAUGAUUCAGAUAUAUAAUUGGAAAUAGAACAACCCUAUGCCAUACAUUCGUCUAAGUAUGGUGUCUAAUUUUUUGUGUCAGCGGUUGCGAAUGGAGCGUGCAAAAGUCCAAAUUGGCGUCUCUCCAUUUCCACAUAGGAAGGUGACCUUUAUUGACAAAUACCCAAUAUUUGUAGACAUUCCUUAAAUAUCAUAACUUCUUGUUGAUUUGAAAAUCAUUUUUCAACUACCAUGUUUUAAUAAAUAUUUUUUAAAAUGUAUUUUUAUCAAAGUCCACCAUGAUGGAUAAUAUUCACCAUGCAAUAAUUAAUAAAGUACAAACUAAGCGAAAUGAAAAGCAUUUUCUUUGCUUUGAGUUGAUUUUGGUUGCAUUGAGUUGAUUUUGGUUUCAUGGUUUUUUCAACUCUUAUUUUGAUUGGAAGAUGUCAAGAAAAGAAAACAUAAAGAAAAAUUAAAAGGGAAAAAAGAAGAAAAAUAAAAAAAAAUAGAUUUAAAAGUUAAUAAAUUAUUUUUUAUAUUUAUUUUAAUUCAUUUCACUUAUUUUUCUUUUACUAUAUAAAAUUUAAAUAAUUUAAAUUUUAUAAUUAAUUUAAUUACAUUUCAUUUUCUUCUAUAUUUAAAUAUUGGAAAAAUAUUUUACUUAAUAUUUUUUUCUUUAAUUUCUUUGGCAUUUUGGGAACCAAACUUAGCCUUUAAAAUAAAAAACAAAAAAAAAAUGAAAAUAAGGAGGGAAAAGUGAGAAAAGAUAAAAACAAUAUGUAAAGGAUUUGAAAAGUAUUAGUUUGUAAUUACUAUUUGGAUUUCAAUAGUAUUUUAUUUGUCUUUCUAUAUUUCAUGUAAGAGAGAAUUUAAGAUAUUCCCCAAGGCAAAGCAUUAGUUACCUGCAAUCAGUGGUGAUAAGGCUCCAAGCCAAUUUUGGGCCCCAUAUCUUAAGACAGUACAAUUUCCAUUUCAACAUUUCUGAUUUCUCAGAUGUUUCACAUACCACAGAAGAACAUUGUUUGUGAAAAUAUGCAUUUAUGUUGGAUUUUGUAUGCUGUGGGGACUGGGGCAAGGAUCAUAUGGAAGAGUGGUUGACUUUUUCUGUACUUUAACGGUUGAAAUAGGAUAAGCACGGGCAUUUGUGAGGCUUAAUUGAUUUUGAAGCCUGAAAUUGCGUUUCUGUCAUUUUGUCAAAAAAAUGGCAGAUUCCAUACUCAUAUGUUUGGCCUGUGGCCAUGUACAGAUGCCAUUUAGUGACCAGUUUGUAACUGUCAAUCGUUGCGUUUUGACUCUGCCUCAACAACAUCUGCCAUUGACGGGUUUUCAUACUUGCAAAUCAAAUAGUCUUUCGUCCCAUCAGGAAUUUCGGUUUAAAUAUUAUUAAGCAUACGUUUGGCUGACAAUCAUUAUCCAGUUCAUGAUUUGGUUUCUUACCCUUAAUCAAUGGUUUCUAAGUGAAUAUAUGUAGAAGGAAAUCCGAAGUGUAGACAGUAGUAUCGAUAACUCUCAAUAUUCUCUAUAUAAUAGAAUAAACAGCGUCAUAGUGAUCGUCGCCUACAAGCAAGGUACAAAUACCAAAACGAGUGACUCACAUAGACAUCUCCCAACAAGAUGUAGUAGUGACUGACACAUGGACACAAUUAACUCGUAGAAAAGGAUAAGACCAUUGCACAGCAGCUCUUAUUUUACAUACUACUUAUGCUAACCAAAGUCAAUUAGUUGGGAUGGGUGGGAGAUGGAGGUUUGUGCGGUGGCUUGUGGGGCGGAGUUGAUGGCUUCUUUCCAGGAGCUUCUGGCUUUUUCAUCGGAGCUGAAGGAGGCUCAAUCUUAUGAGGCGGCUUGUAUGAGUCUUCUUUACUCUCGACAGGAGGGUGGCCAGGGUUGUGAUCAUAAUGUGGUGGCUUCUCUCCCUUAGGUGGCUUGCCAACUGGGGUUGGUGGCUUGUGUUCAGGAAGUGGUUUCUCUCCCAUGGGAGGUUUAGCAAUUGGGGUUGGUGGCUUGUGUUCUGGGAGUGGCUUCUCUCCCUUGGGAGGUUUAGUAGGUGACUUGUGUUCUGGAGGUGGCUUCUCCACCGGAGGCUUGUGCUCCGGUGGUGGCUUCUUGGUUGGAGGGGGCUUGGGGUAAUCAGCAAGAGAUGGGGUGGUGAGAACCACCAGUCCAAGGAACAACACUAGCAAGUAUGUGGGAGACAUUUUUGAGUUUGGGCUGAUCAGAUGAUGCAAAACUAAAGCAUUACGUGACCUUUUAUAGCAUGUAGCUCCCAAUACCCACUAAGUAUUGUGGGGUCCAUUUGUGCCCUACGGGGUUGAAAACUUAGACAAUUGGGCAAGGACCCACCUGACUAUGGAGGACUAGUGAGGUGUGAUCAUAGCUUUAGGAUUUUUCUUCCUCUGCAGCCGUCGUGCCGUUGGCAUGAUUUUCUUAAUCUUAAAUAAAGGCAUAGUUAUAGAGUUGUUUAAUCUCUAAAUGGGAUUUUAUAUAUAUCUUCAGAUAGCCAUUAAUAUAUUUGAUGAAGAAAGAAAGACAAGUGCAUACAACAUGUAUACGACUAGCUUUCAUGGAGUUCAUUUAUGAUCAGUUUUCCUGUACAUGUAAACCAGGAUCAUAUAUAUGUUUCUGUUCCACAACUAUUUUGGAAUCUUGUUUAUCAGUUUUUAUCAUUAUAAUGUCACAUAGGCUGCCAACUUGGGCGCUAAAAGAACCAGUUGGGCUAGUUCGUUUCAGAAUUUCAAUGUGGAUUCAGGAAUUGUUUUGUAAGAUAUGCGAAAUAGUAGAGGGAUGAAUAGUGUUUCAUUAAUAAAAGUGUCCUGUAAAUUAGAAGGUGUCAUAGAAACUAUAAUCAAUAAAUAACUUUUUUUCCCCACGGGUGGUGUUUCUUGUGGGGAUCAGUGACUGGUUUAGGUUCACCCAAAAUGAGUUCAGACUAAAAUUGGUUUGAGUCAAUGCCGUGUCUCUUUUUUCCAGAAAUCAACUAUUUUAUGCAUUGAAUAAAUCAUACAAAGAAAAUAUGAACGCCCGCAAAACCUAAACCCUGGUUGCUAACUUUCUAUGUUUCAGUUCUAUUCACGCAAGAAUAUUAGUUUAAGUUUGGGAAAAAUGGCAACUUACCUAGUGAUUACUUGGUUUUGGUUUGCGACUAUUUACGCAACCAACCAUGAGUUUGACUUUAACGUCAUGGGUUGAAGCCUCCUACAGGAAGGGAGAAAGCUCCACAGCUAGCUCCAAAAGAGAAUUAUCACAUUGAUAGCUCCAGAGAUUCCCAAGGGGACUGAAUCAAAGACAAGUUCCUCACUUUUUCUUCUUUUGAGGCCAAAUAUGAACCAAGGAUCACACAACCUCAUUCAACUUCAUAAGUUUGAUUUCAUGCAGUUGAACACUGGGUGAAGGCCAUGACAAGAAUUGAUUCAAAAAUUCUAUCACUCUUUUAAGUAAUGGAAGAUUAUUAUCUCUGAUUGGCAUCACAACAGCACAUGCUCCUAGAUCUUUCUAGACACUCCAUGCAAUGAAAGCACAAUGGAUCUUGUAACGAUAGAAACUAAGCCAUGCUACAGUACUAGAUGAUGAGGUAAAACUAGUAGACACGGGUGGCAGCCUAUAUGGGAGGGACACAAGUCUAAUUGAUUUGCAUUUCAGCAUUAUAGAUAGGUAUGUUUUGGAAGAUUUGUUCUGGAAAUACCGCACCAAGUAGGAUUCUUUUUCUCUUUAGUGGGUCCACUUGCAUGCCAAUUAACGAGUUGAAAAGUAUGAGCACCUACCUCGUGCUCGUGGAACCGAAGGUCAGUGAAGUGGGGCUCCUUUUGGCCUCGUGUAAACUUGAUUCAGAAGUGAAGUUAAUAGUCUUCCAUUCAGAUGGAUACAUGGGAAUUUUUCUCUUUUAUUUAUUUAUUUAUUUUUUUUUUGUGUGUGUAUGUCAAAGGAUAAUGAAUGAAGCGCGUUAGCUUGUUUUCUGACUGGAACCGCAGAUGUCCAAAUUGGAGUUCCUUCAUUUCUUACUUAGGAUUGUUACAUGUAUAAACAAGGUAUAAGAAAUAUGCCAACGUGUCUUGAGGAGUUAUUGAUUAGAAAUAACAAGUCACCCGACUGUAGAGUUCCAAGAUUUGAAUCUUCAGACCCUAUAGCAGCCUCUGGGGUACGUGGCAUCCUAUAGCAUAUUAAUGAAGGCUUUUUCGAUUUAGACUUCACAAUACCAAUUAAUAUGUAUGCACAAAAUGGAGAUGACCCCAAAAAAAACAGAAUCGCCAUAGUUUAUGAGGUUAAGGUGAUUCUCCACUUAAUAUCUACAUUAGCUAAUUAUGUAAAUCAAAUGAACUUCUAUUUUUCCUUUUUUUUUUUGGUUUAUGUCAAAUAGUAGCCCAUAAUUAACCCAACCAUUAGCCUGUUUGAAUUGAUUUCACAUGCACAAUGUUGUAGUAGUUCAUAUUUUGAAUUUUAUUUUUACAAAGGUAGUUAAGGAAAAUGAAGUAUAAUAAUUAUAAAAGCAGACUAUAUACACUACAAUAAUUGUUAGAAUGGUAUCUCAAAUUCUAAUUUAAAAUAUUAUUUUUUGUAAAAGAAAUAUUAUAUAGAAUAUUUCCUAAUUUUAUAAAUGAUUAUAAUUAGAUCUUUAUAAAAUAAGGAAAGUUGGUAAGAAUAUCUUUAUAAAUAUUUUAGGUCAUGAGAGAAAGAAAUGGGAUAAAAAUGUGAUGAAGAGGUGAAAUAAGAGAGUUGAUUAGGAUAUAGAUGUGAAGAAGAAAGGGAUUCAAUAUAUAUAUAUCUUUCAAUUACCACAUUAAAACCCUGUGAACCUUUUAUAUGGUUUACUUUAUUUUUAUAUUCCUCCUUUAAUAUAUUUACAUUAAUGCUUCCAUUGGCACAACAAUAACGAAUUACAAAUACAAGCAACAAGUCCCAUGUUUUAUUACCAAAAGCAGGUAAAAUCCACCUAAUAUAUUACAAUAUAUUCAUCCAAUAUUUUAGACCAAUUCUUCACCAUAAAUAUCAUAAUGUGGCUUUUGUUCUUUCUUAAAUUUAAAUUGAAUUGUCUUAUAUCAAUUUGUUUGUGAUUUUUUCAUUAACUUCACUUUCAUUUGGUUAUCUUUGGUUUUUGAAAAGUAUUAAGGAAUUAAUUAACAAAAUAAUGUUAAGAAAAAUAAUUUUCUCUCUUUUGAUUUUGAUUUUGUAGUAGAAAAAUAUAAUUAAAAUUAUUUAAAAAGUAUGUAAUUUUAAAUUAUUUAAUAUUUAGAUAAAAAAAAUAAGUCUAAUGAGUUUAAAAUAACAUAUAAAAAUAAUUUAUUUAUUUUAAAUUUAUUUUUUAUUUUCCAUUAUGUUCUCUUUCUCUUUUACUUUUUCAUAUUUUUUCUUACGAAGAAUCAAACACAACCUCAUAUUAUAUGUCAAGUGUUUGUCUAUAUUUGAGCAAUGUUAGAUACGGCCAUGGAUUCAUCAAACUAAACUGAUUUUAAUAGAUACUUCACAAAUUGAUUUAUACACUAAAUCAUUGGAUAGCAAUGAUGCAUUGGAAUUAAACGUAGGAUGAAGCUCGAAGAACACUGUUUGUGUAACAACAUAUUUAUGAAAUUAUGCAAAGGAUGAGCUUCGGGGUAGUAGUACAAGGUCAUUAAUGGAGAGCCGUGUUAAACCUUGAUUGUGAUUGGAUUCCGUUAUCAGCAACAGCAACCUUGUUUGUAACCUUGAAAGUCAUUCUGUCCACAUCGAAACUCCAAUUUGACGUUUGUAAUUACCAUUCCUGGAGUGUUCCUUGAUUGAAAUUUAAAUAAUAAUUGCGGCCCACAAGGAAUAUUUUCGAUUCUGUGGGAAUUUGACAAGGUUUGUUAGAGAAGACUGGUGACAUGUUGACUUCAAUGGUUCAAAUAGGAGACGUAUGUGGAUUUGGGGGGUUUAAUUGAAACUGAGUCCCUAUGGCUUUUUAAUAUUUGCAUUGAGCAGUCUCCAUGUGACUUCCUAAUUCCCACCAACCCUCCUGUCCAUGCUGUGAAACUAAAUUGUAAUUUAUCAGCCUUUGUCAAUGGUUUCUAAAUUAAAGAUAUAGACCAUGCAUGUACUUUAAUAAAAGCAAAUCUAAAGUGUAGAUAGCAGCAAUGGUGACACCCAAUAUUCUCCAUAAAAUAGAAUUAGAAUAAGCAGUGUUACAUUGUUCAUGAUCACCUACAAGCAUACAAGAACUUCCAUGAAUAACUCAUAGCAAUUGCCAACAGGGCGUCGUAGAGACUCAUACAUAGAACACUAUCCACCCAGAGGAAAGGACAAGACCAGUGCGCUGCAGCUCUUAUUUUUCACAUGUAUACCACCACUCGUAAUAACCAAAUUCACUCAGUUGGGAUAGGUGGGAGAUGGUGGUUUGUGGGGUGGCUUGUGGGGAGGAGUUGGAGGAGGCUUUAUUUUCUGAGGCGGCUUGUAUGAGUGUGCAGGAGGAUGCCCGGGAGUGUGACCAUAAUGUGGUGGCUUCUCUCCCGUAGGUGGUUUGCCAAAUGGGCUUGGUGGCUUCUCUCCCUUAGGAGGUUUACCAAUUGGGGUUGGUGGCUUGUGUUCUGGGAGUGGUUUCUCUCCCUUGGUAGGUUUGCCAAUUGGGGUUGGCGGCUUAUGUUCUGGGAGUGGCUUCUCUCCCUUGGGAGGUUUGCUAAUUGGGGUUGGCGGCUUAUGUUCUGGGGGCGGCUUCUCUCCCUUGGGAGGUUUGCCAAUUGGAGUUGGCGGCUUAUGUUCUGGGAGUGGCUUUUCUCCCUUGGGAGGCUUGCCAAUUGGGGUUGGCGGCUUAUGUUCUGGGGGUGGCUUCUCUCCUUUAGGAGGUUUGCCAAUUGGAGUCGGCGGCUUAUGUUCUGGAAGUGGCUUUUUUCCCUUGGGAGGUUUGCCAAUUGGGGUUGGCGGCUUAUGUUCUGGGGGUGGCUUCUCUCCCUUGGGAGGUUUGCCAAUUGGAGUCGGCGGCUUAUGUUCUGGGAGUGGCUUCUCUCCCUUGGGAGGUUUUGUUGGUGGCUUGUGUUCUGGAGAUGGCUUCUCCCCUGGAGGCUUGUGCUCCGGAGGUGGCUUCUGAAAUGGCGGGGGCUUGGGGUAAUGAGCAAGAGAUGGAGUACUGGUGAGAACCACCAUUCCAAGCAACAAUACUAGCAAGCAUGUGGGAGACAUCUUUGAGUAGUUGUAGCUAAGAUGGCGCAACACUGUAGGCAUUGGGUGGCCUUUUAUAAAGGGCUGGACCCAACAGCCAUAUGACACGUGUCAUGAUGACAAAUGAAGUUGAGGGGAUCCAGAUGGGUCCUACUGAGUCGAAAACUUGCACUAAUUGAUCUGGUGAGAUGACUAUUUCUGUCCUUUUGCCCUUCUCGGCCACCCUGUGCUGUUUUCCUUUUGCACGAUUUUCGUUGCCAAACAAGCAAAUAAUAUUUCGCCAAGAAAGAGGAGAGUGAAUGUGGAAUGCAUCAAGUCCCAUCAAGGAUGGCAGAGAAGAAAUAGAAGAUUGCCCAACUGUGAUAAACAUAGCAUACACGUAGCACCAGGAACUUCAUUUACUUCCAUCUAAUGGAACAUAACAAUCUUCUAAAGUUUUUGCAUGAUUUUGUUAUAUGUCUCUUAGCCUAAAGUUGGAAAUGCGCAACAAAUUUUGUCACUUCUCUAUUUCCCACUGAUGAUGUUAAUUAGCCUUCAUAGAUAUCAUCCUUUCUACAAAGUGCUUCAUUUGUGUGUUAUUGUAAAGUGUAAGAAAAGUAAUUGAACAUGUUCUUUUUCCUUUCAUAGAUGACUUUUGAUGUGCAUUUUAAAAGCAGCGCUGUGAGUCGGUGACCUUGAUUCACACGGAAACUAAGGCUCCUAUAGGACCCACUUUUAGCUGGUUAGGGGUGAAGAAAAUAUCAACUUUUCAGAGUGAUUUAAGUCAAGGCCAAGCCUCACUGUGUCAUUACUCGUGUGAAUUUUAUAUGCACAUACAUACAUAAAUAAAGUAUGAGACCCAAAUAACACCUUCCCUUUACAAACUUAACCCCAGCCGCUCUCUUUCAAUUCUUUUCACACAAGGGUAUUGACUCUAUAAAGGUCAAGAAAAUCAUAAUUUCCUAGGGUUUACAAGGUAAUUGGCUUAAUGCUAAUGUGAAAACAUAAAAGAUAAUAGUAUAUUGUAAGCUAACGAAUAUUCUAUAGUUAUAAUUAUUUGUGAUGUGCAUAAAUAAAUCUUCAUAUAUAUAAUGGAACAAUGAAUAAAGAACCAAUGAAAAAAUACUAUAUAUCAUUGCUUGGCAUUUAAACCGUAUAUGCUGCUCUUUCUAGCUACUCCAUCCACUGAAAGACAACAAGGUAAUCCAUGUUAUAAUGAUAGAAGAUACUGUCUCUAGGCUUUUUGUGAUGAAAAAUAUAAGAUAUGGGUAGGGUUGACCCUUGUAUGUUUGUCCUAUAAACACUUCAAAGUAACAUAUUUUUCUUCUUUAGCAACUCAUAAUGAUGGGGUUCAUUUGCAUGUCACUGAGUUGAAAAGUUGGACAAUUGCCCAUGUCGCCUUCCUCCUAGAUUCCGUAGUUCACGGGAAGGUAACUCAAGUUUGACAUAUUUUGAAUUCUUUUCACUCGGACGUCUUCAUAACCUGACAAAACAAAAAUGAAAAACAGAGGAUUGGUAUAUUAUUCAUGGUAAGCCUCAAAUUAUAGUAGUAUGAGAAAGGAGAAAAAGAUUUUGGGAACUCCAAUCUGGAUAAUUCUCGUUUCUUCUCUUGAAUAAAAAUUUCACUUACCUAACUUCGUUUGGAGAAAUGGCAUAUUUUAAUUUUGUACGUCAUUGCUAAUAAAUGGAGCAAUUUAGCAUGUUUUGUGACUGAAACUGCAAAUGUCCAAUUGGCAUUUCUUCAUUUCCCACUUAGGAUCUGAUCUUGUAGACCAUAUAACGAUAUGUAUCUGUGCAAGCAUUGAAAACUAAUGUGAACUAUGAGGAGUUACAAGCCACUGGACUGUAGAGCGAGUGCCAAGAUUUAAAUCUUCAGGCUCUAUCUGGGUAAGGGGAGGAUAGCGACCUAACCUUUUACCAAAGGCUUAGAAUUUAGACUUUUGGAAAAAAAUUUCUCAUGUUUUGGCUGGAUUUCUUGUGCUUGGCGCAAAAAGGAGAUGGCCUCAAGAAAUAGCAGACUCACUUUUGUUUUCAGCCCUUAAUAAUUCUCCACUGCUUUCCAUAACUACAUGGGUUAUACAUGCAGUCUGCUGCAAUAUUCCAGUUAUAUUUAUUAUUUCAAAGAGGGUGAAUGACUUCACAUGCAAUAUGUUGCAGUAACAACCCAAAUUUUGGCACACCAUCUUAAGAAUAGAAAAGUAUAAUAAAAGAAAUCAAUCAGAGAAUCACUUUGCAUGCAGUUCAUAGAGUUCGCCCAAAAUGGAGCCACAUGUACGGACAACCCCACAAUAGACAAUCUUCUCUAUACAGUAAUAAAAUACAGAAAUGGUUAAUGAAGCUCUGUAUUUCCUUAUCAUAUAUGACCGGUUGAAAACUCAGCAAGUCUUCCUCAAUCACAGACAGUUGGAGUUGCUUCAUCAAAAUCAUGCCUUCAUUACUGGCUUCAUUUUGGUUUCAAUGUCUGUUCUACCCUUAAAUUGGGUCUCUGCUUACUACCGGGAUAUCCUUUAGCGUCCUGCAAUUCUACUAGAUUAAAGAGAAUGACUUAAUUCUGCAUUCUGCCGUCCCUAGUCCAAGUGGUACUAGAAUUGAUGUUUCCUUUAGUGUCCUUUCUUCAUACUUUCAGGUUCUUCCCUUGUUUCAAUAAUGCUGUUUUCCUUCAUGUUUAACCUCUGUUGAACCACUUAAAACAACACAAUUUGCACACCAAUGUUUCUUUACAGAAAAGACUGUUUGCAAAAAUGCACAUGUUAUAAGGUUAAUGGAAGAAUUAAUUUGGGGAUAAGGGACUAGGAUUGGGCCAAUGAAGUUUGGUGUUAAAUUUUGAUUAUGAUUGCUUUUCAUUAUCAGGUACCUUAUAUUUGCUGAUGCUAUCUGGAACUAAAUUCAAAUCAGACAUUAUCCGAUUACUAACAGGACAUAUCAUGUCCCUCUGCAGAGUUUCUAAACUAACAUGUAUCGAAAUGUGGCCCCAAAAGGAAGGCUAGGAAGAUGGAGGAUUUUGUAGGAAUCGACCAGAAUCAGAUGGAAGAGAGAUAGUCCUGUUGACUUUAAUGGUUGUGAUAGGAACAUGCAUCAUUAUAUGAGAAGUUGCAUGAAUUUAUGUAUCCUGUUAUCGUUCCUUGACGAUUUCCCAAUGCAAUUUCACUGUCCACAAGACUAACCUCUCCAUGCAGUCAAAUGAAUUGUAAUUUCUCUAUUGGUACCAGUAGUACAUUUCAUACCAAACAUAUAGUAAAUAUAAAAUAUAAAUAGAUCAAGGAAAUCUGAAUUGUAGAUAGCACUGCAAGUAACACUCAAUAUUCUCUAUAUAUAAUAAAAUAAACAGUGUCACAAUACUCAUCACCCAGUGGCAAGGGAGAAAAACCUACAAUGAGUACUCAAAUCACCAUUCUCAAACAGAAACAUAGCAGUGACUGAUACAUAGAACCUAUAUGCUCACAGGGAAAGAAUAAGAUGACCAGUGCACAGCGGGCAGCAGCUCUUAUUUUACGUACAACUCAAAUCCCAAACUAACCAAAGUCGCUCAGUUGGGAUGGGUGGGAGAUGGUGGUUUGUGGGAUGGCUUCUGGGUAGGAGCUGGUGGCUUCUGUCCCUUUGGUGGUUUGCCUAAUGAGCUUGGUGGCUUGUGCUCCGGGAGUUGUUUCUCUCCCUCGAGUAGGUUUCGAGUCUUGUCAGAUGGCUUGUGUUCUGGUGGUGGCUUCUCUCCCUGGGGUGGUUUGCCGAAUGGGCUUGGUGGCUUGUGUUCGGGGAGUGGCUUCUCUCCCUGGAGAAGGUUACGAGUUUUGUCAUAUGGCUUUUGUUCUGGUGGUGGCUUCUCUCCCUGGGGUGGUUUGCCGAAUGGGCUUGGUGGCUUGUGUUCGGGGAGUGGCUUCUCUCCCUGGAGAAGGUUACGAGUUUUGUCAGAUGGCUUGUGUUCUGGUGGUGGCUUCUCUCCCUGGGGUGGUUUGCCGAAUGGGCUUGGUGGCUUGUGUUCGGGGAGUGGCUUCUCUCCCUGGAGAAGGUUACGAGUUUUGUCAGAUGGCUUUUGUUCUGGUGGCGGCUUCUCUCCCUGGGGUGGUUUGCCAAAUGGGCUUGGUGGCUUGUGUUCGGGAACUGGCUUCUCUCCCUUGGGAGGUUCAGUUGGUGGCUGCUGUUCCGUAGGUGGUUUCUUCACCGGCGGCUUGUGCUCCGGAAGCGGCUUCUCUACCUGGAGAAGCUUACGAGUUUUGUCCGAUGGCUUGUGUUGUGGUGGUGGCUUCUCUCCCUGGGGUGGUUUGCCAAAUGGAGUUGGUGGCUUGUGUUCGGGGAGUGGCUUCUCUCCAUUGGGAGGUUUAGUUGGUGAUUGGUGUUCCGUAGGUGGUUUCUGAAGUGGGGGAUGCUUGGGGUAGUCAGCAAGAGACGAGGUAGUGAGAACCACCAGUCCCAGCAGCAACACUAGCAAGCAUGUGGAAGACAUCUUUGAGUUCAGGCUGAGAUCUGUGCAAGGAUAACAGAAUUAGGUGGCCUUUUAUAGAGGCCUGGACCCAACACCCAUAUGACACGUGUCAUGCACUCAUGGUGACACAUAAUUCUAUGGGACCAUUUGGGUCCUACAGAAGUUGCAAAGUUGGACUACUGAGGUGUGAUCACAACUUUUGUCCUUAUUGCUUUCUCUGCGGCCAUUGCACGAUUUCCUUUAGCAUCAUUUUCUUGGCUAAAUAAGCGUAUUAUAUUUGUGGCAGACCGUCCACGUGUCAUAAACAGAUAUAUUAUAAUAAUGUAGUAUGCUUUUCUCCAAUGGAACAUGACACUCUUCUAAGUCUUGUUUUAAAUAUUGUGCAGGAUUACUUUAUACGUUGCAGUUCCAAGUCAAAAUUGGUGGGCAAACGUUGGCCUUUUUUCAUUUCACCUAAGAUUAAUGCUCACCUGGGAUAGGCACUACAUGACUUAUCUGCUCUUUUACUGUAAAGUUGCUUUGUGUAUGAGAUACACCUCCCCUGCACACCCUCAACAUUCGUUGCUCUGUUUUCCUUGUGUCCAGACGAGGAUAUUAAUUGGAGGCUGACAAAACGACUGCUAGCCCAGGAUUUACAAGGUCCUGGUUUGAGGCUUCGGUGAAAGUAUUUUUGAAAAGACACACAUAGAGAUAGUGCGUUUGGUGCAAUGCAGCACUGUGAGCCAUUCUGACGCGUUCUUAAUUUCAAAACUAAUGAAUGCUUCAAAAUUUUAAGAAGUGACAUUUCCAAAUAUUUGAGUUCGUUUAAUUGAACAUUGGAUAACUAGUGAUCAUAGAUUAUUAUCUGUGCUUGGCACUAUAAGAGGGUAUAUGCUUCUUUUUCUGGCCCCUCCUUCAAGGGAGGAGGGACAAUGUGAUCUGUAACGUUAGAAGCUAUUCCAUGUCAUCUUUGGGCUCAGUUCAAAACUAAAAGAUAAUGGGGGGGGGGGGGGGGGGCAUAUCAUUUUAUAUUUCUUCUAGAAGGUUUGUUCUGGAAAUAUUUCACAGGAGCAUAUCUUUUUCUUCUAUUACGUCAUCCGCAGCCUCCAAUAGGUCGGUUAACAAGCCACCGAGUUGAAAAGUUGGAAAAAUGGGAACACAGCCCGCCUCUUGUAUUCAGUAGUUAAAUAAAAGGUCACUAGAAGUGAGAUCCCUUUUGGCGUCUUGAUUUUCAAUCCAGCACCUCUGUGACCUGACAAACCAAAAAAACUAAAAAAUAAAAAACAGUACGUGGGUUGGUGUUAAGCAUCAAGACAUGUUAAUGAAAGAAGGUAGAGAAUAGGAUAUUGAAAUCCCAAUCCUGAUAACAUGAUUUUCUUUGCUAACAACCAUAUUAUAUUUUAUCAAGAAAGAGUAAUGCAUGUGGCGUCCAUCAAGACCCAUUAGAGUUCCGCUAAAGCUAUAGUUCUGUCAACGUUAUCAUUUACGUUUCCUCUAGAUAAUGGCAUUUUCCUCUAAAGCUCUUGCACCAUUAGGCUUCAAGUCAAAAUUUCACAUGUGAACUUUGGAAAUUUUCUCCAUUUGCCCCUAAGGAUACAGUUAGAAUUGACUUAAAAUCCUGAUUGAUAUGUACUAUUAACCAAAGAAUAUUGUAUAUAAUAAUUGAAAUAUUGUUGAUUCAUCGUGGAAAUACAUUUUGUAAGGAAAGUUGUUGAGAAUUUAGUAUGCUAUAUGGAGAAAAAAGUCAUGACUUAAGGUUGUGUAUGUAUAUUCUAUAUCAAAUAUUAGGUAGGAAUGUGGGAAAGAGCAGAGUGUAAUGAUAAGAAACAAAGAAAUAUAAGAUAUUCUUGAAAGUGGAAAAUAUAAAAUGGCUAACGAGUCAAAUUUAUGAUGCGUAAGGGGGAUCAUGUCACAUAAGAAAACCAUGGCAUACUAAAGACGUACGUGUGGUAUGGAGUAAUAAUUUUGUUAAAAUAAGUUUCUUGUUGGAGUACAUUAGGUGACUAUUCAUAACGUAUCAAAUUAAAGAGUCAAGUGCAUCAAUGAAGGCAUAUGUAGAAAAUUUGUUUGUGACAUGUACCAUAAAGAUAAGAUUGACUUGAUAGAAUUUAGUCUAAGUAGGAGUUGUUAAAGGUGUCUUAAAUUUCUAAUUGAUGUAUAUUUUUUUCUAAAAAAAUAUUAUAUAGAUAUUUUAAUAAAUGAUUAAUUCUUUGUAAAAAUACUUACAUAAUAAAAAACAUCAUUAAAAAUAUCUUUAUAAAUAUUUUAAGUUACAAGAAGGAAAAAAACCACUGUGAGAUAAUGAUGAACAUGCAACACUGUACCAAGUAAAUAAAAAUGUGAUAAAAAAAAAAGAGAAACACUCGAUAAAGGAAGGCUCGUAUAUAAAGAGUAAUAUUUUUAAUCAUAUGAUAGAAUGAUUUUCUCUCAUUCAUGAAUAUAGGCAAGAUUGGGGAACCAUUAUAAAAUUUUGUACACCUCGUGUAAAUUGAUGUUUGUCUUCAUAUUUUACACCAACAAAUGACAUUGAAGUUGUCAUUGAUAAAAGGGAAAAGGCAUGCCUCCACACCAUGUGCUUGAUUCGAAUGGUUCAAGUUUGAAGAAUUUUCUCCGGAAGAUCUAAAACAUUUUCGCCUUUAAAUUUCAUUUGAUUAUUAAUAUCCGAAAAAAUAGUUAAAUACUCUUUCUAUUUUUGAGUUGUUGAAUUUUUUGAAAGUUUUUAUAUUUGUUAUCAAGAAUUUCUAUUUUAUUAAGGGUGAAUAUUUAUAAAUAAGAUAUUAUAUAAUAUUUGGAUAAGAGAGAAUGGUGGAAUAUAAUAAAGUUUUAAUCCUUCCCAAUUUUGAACCUUUUUUUUUUUUUUUGAUAUAAUCGCCUUUCUCUUGCAAUCCUAUUAUCAGGUACCUUAUAUUUGCUGAUGCUAUCUGGAACUAAAUUCCAAUCAGGCAUUGUCCAAUUACUAAUAGGACAGAUCAUAUCUCUCUGUUUCUAAACUAACAUGUAUCGUAAUGUGACCUCAUAAGGAAGGCUAGGAAGAUGGAGGAUUUUGUGGGAAGCGACCAGAAUCAGAUGGAAGAGAGAUAGCCCUGUUGACCUAAUGGCUGUAAUAGGAGAAGCGUGUGGUUUUAUGGGACUUAACUGAUACUAAACCUGUAUGAUGCUUGGAGUGGUGUUUCUUUCAUUUUGUUAAGAAAAUAUGGCAGCAUACAUGCUUUCAACUGAGUGCAUCAGAGCAUCCAUAACAGAUGGUCUGCAACCCUAGGUGCAUGCCACUUUCUGACUGAUAAUGAAAUUGUCAGGUACCUGGCCUUGACUAAGCUCAACAGCAUCACAUAAAGAGAAGCUUUCAUACUUAGAUUACUGUUUAAAGUUUUUGCUUAUUUGAUUUCUUAAUGCCAUUAUGACAUUAUUGAUUCAAUUCUGCUUCCGAUUUUCGAAGUUCUGGGCAUCUACUGAUUGCAUCAUUAUAUGAGAAGUUGCAUGAGUUUAUGUAUCCUGUUAUUGUUCCUUUGCGAUUUCACUGCUCACGGGACUAACCUCUCCAUUCAGUCGAAAUGAAUUGUAAUUUCUUUACUGGUAGCAGUAGUACUUUUCAUAGCAAAGAUAAUAGAAAAUAUGAAAUAUAAAUAGAAGGAAAUCUGGAUUGUAGAUAGCACCAUAAGUAACACUCAAUAUUCACUACAUAAUAAAUAGACAGUGUUACAUAGGUAGAGAAACCUACAAUGAGUACUCAUCACCAUUCUCAAACAGAAACAUAGCAGCGACUUAUACAUAGAACCUAUAGGCUCGCAGGGAAAGAGUAACAUGAUAAGUUCACAGCGGGUAGCAGCUCUUAUUUUACGUAUUACUCAAAAUCUCAAACUAACCAAAGUCACUCAGUUGGGAUGGGUAGGAGAUGGUGGUUUGUGGGGUGGCUUCUGGGUAGGAGCUGGUGGCUUCUUUGUUGGAGUUGAAGGAGGCAUAUUCUUCUGAGGUGGCUUGUAUGACUCUUCGGCACUCUCUGCAGGAGGGUGCCCAGGGUUGUGACCAGAAGGAGGUGGCUUCUGUCCCUUUGGUGGUUUGCCUAAUGGGCUUGGUGGCUUGUGCUCCGGGAGUUGUUUCUCUCCCUCGAGUAGGUUUCGAGUUUUGUCAGAUGGCUUGUGUUCUGGUGGUGGCUUCUCUCCCUGGGGUGGUUUGCCGAAUGGGCUUGGUGGCUUGUGUUCGGGGAGUGGCUUCUCUCCCUGGAGAAGGUUACGAGUUUUGUCAGAUGGCUUUUGUUCUGGUGGCGGCUUCUCUCCCUGGGGUGGUUUGCCAAAUGGGCUUGGUGGCUUGUGUUCGGGAACUGGCUUCUCUCCCUUGGGAGGUUCAUUUGGUGGCUGGUGUUCCGUAGGUGGUUCCUUCACCGGCGGCUUGUGCUCCGGAAGCGGCUUCUCUACCUGGAGAAGCUUACGAGUUUUGUCAGAUGGCUUGUGUUGUGGUGGUGGCUUCUCUCCCGGGGGUGGUUUGCCAAAUGGACUUGGUGGCUUGUGUUCGGGGAGUGGCUUCUCUCCAUGGGGAGGUUUAGUUGGUGGUUGGUGUUGCGUAGGUGGUUUCUGAAGUGGGGGAUGCUUGGGGUAGUCAGCAAUAGACGAGGUAGUGAGAACCACCAGUCCCAACAGCAACACUAGCAAGGAUGUUGAAGACAUCUUUGAGUUCAGGCUGAGAUCUGUGCAAGGAUAAAAGAUUUAGGUGGCCUUUUAUAGAGGGCUGGACCCAACACCCAUAUGACACGUGUCAUGCACUCAUGGUGACACAUAAUUCUAUGGGACCAUUUGGGUCCUACAGAAGUUGCAAAGUUGGACUAUUGAGGUGUGAUCACAACUUUUGUCCUACUUGCUUUCUCUGCGGCCAUUGCACGAUUUCCUUUAGCAUCAUUUUCUUGUCUAAAUAAGCGUAUUAUAUUUGUGGCAGACCGUCCACGUGUCAUAAACAGAUAUAUUAUAAUAAUGUAGUAUGCUUUUCUUCAACGGAACUUGACACUCUUCUAAGUCUUGUUUUAAAUACUGUGCAGGAUUACGUCAUAAGUUGCUUGUUCCAAGUCAAAAUUGGUGGGCAAACGUUGGCCUUUUUUCAUUUUCCCUAAUAUUAAUGCUCACCUGGGAUAGGCACUACAUGAUUUAUCUGCUCUUUUACUGUGAAGUUGCUUUGUGCAUGAGUUACACCUCCCCUGCACACCCUCAACAUUUGUUGCUCUGUUUUUCUUGUGUCCAGACGAGGAUAUUAAUUGGAGGCUGACAAAACGACUGCUAGCCAAGGAUUUACAAGGUCCUGGUUUGAGGCUUUCACGAAAGUAUUUUUGAAAAGAUACACAUAGAGAUUGCGCGUUCGGUGCAAUGCAACAAUGUGAGCCAUUCUGAAGUCUUAAAUUUCAGAUUAAUGAAUGCUACAAAAUUCUAAGAAGGGCCGUUUCCAAAUAUUUGAGUUCAUUCAUCCGAACAUCGGGUAUAUGCUUCUUUCUCUAGCCCCUCCUUGAAGGGAGGAGGGACAAUGUGAUCUGUAUCGUUAGAAGCUAUUCCAUGUCGUCAUCUUUGGGCUCAGUUCAAUACUAAAAGAUAUGGGCGGGGCCCUUAUCAUUUUAUAUUUCUUCUAGAAGGUUUAUUCUGGAAAUCUUUCACAGAAACAUAUCUUUUUCUUCUCUACGUGAUCCGUGGUUUGAAAGUUGGAAAAAUGGGUCCGUUAACAAGCCACCGAGUUGAAAAGUUGGAAAAAUGGCAACACCGCCAACCUCUUGUAUUCGAUAGUUAAAUAAAAGGUCACUGGAAGUGAGAUCCCUUUUGGCCUCUUGAUUUUCAUUCCAGCAUCUCUAUGGCCUGAUAAAUUAAAAAACUAAAAAAAAAGACAGUACGUGGGUUGGUGUUAAGCAUCAAGAGUCAAGACAUGAUAAUGGAGAGAAAGGAUAUUCAAAUUCCAGUUCUGACAACAUGAUUUUCUUUGCUGAACUACCAUAUUAUAUUUGAUCAAGAAAGAGUAGUGCAUGUGGCCAGGAUCAAGACAUACAUUAAUUUCCACAUGAUGAAGACAGUUUCUGAGAGUUUCUUCUAAAGCUCUUGCGCGAGUAGGCUUCAAGUCAAAAUCUCCCAUGUAAACACUGGUUUUUCUUUCAUUGCCACUAAGGAUGCAGUUAAUAUUGACUUAAGAUCCUACGUGAUAUAUUUUUUUAAAAGAGCUAUAUUGUAGAUAAUAUUUGAAAUAAUGUUGAUUCGUUGUGGAAAUAUAUUUGUAAGGAAAGUUGUUGACAAUUUAAUAUAGUAUAAGAAGAAAAAAGUUAUCAACUAGCUAGAGAUGAGUAUGUAAAGUGAGGCUCACGAUUCAACGCGUAAAUAUAAGAUAUUUUAAGGCUCAAUAGUUAUGAUAUCUAUUUUAUUUUUUGUAUCUCAUAUAUUCAAAGAUAUAGUAAAAUGAUUUUACAUAUAUAUAUAUAUAUAUAUAUGAACAUAACUAUUUGUGCCAAUUGAUUUUUAUCUUUAUUUUGUAUAUUAGUAAUUAUAUUAAAGUUUUUACUAAUAUAAUAACUAAUAUAAAAGCUUUUUCUAAAAGAGUCAACAGAGCAAAACACUUAUUAUAAAAAAUAAUUUUGAUUGAAGGUGGAGUCAAUUAUUCUUUAUUUAACAUGUAAUGCAUACGGCGUGUACUUCAUAACUAAAGUAUAUAAGUGUAACAUCUCUUAUAUAUUCUCAUUCAAUCUCGAAAGUGGAAAUUUUAAAAAGAUUAAACGGUUCAAAUUUGUCGUGCAUAAAGGGGAUCAUGUCACAUAAGCAAACCAUGGCAUACCAAAGACAUAGGUAUGGACUAAGAAUUUUUUUCAAAUAAGUUUCUUAUUAGGGUACAUUAAUAGGUGACUUUUUAUGACAUAUCAAAGGAGUCAAGUGCACCAAUAAAAACAUAUAUAGAAAAUUCAUGCAUGACAUGUAUCACUAAGAGAAGAUUGACUUGAUAGAGUUUAAUCCAAAUAGGAGAUUGUUAAAAGGUGUCUCAAAUUCUUGAUUGAUAUAUAUUUUUUUUAUUAAAAAGGUUAUUAUAUAGAUAUUUCAAUAGACUAUUAAUUCUUUGUAAAAAUAGUUAUAUAAUGAGGAUGGUGAUUAAAAAUAUCUCUAUCAAUAUUUUGGAUUAUAAAAAGAAAAAAAAUGAGAUAAUGAUAAACAUAUAAAACUUGUACAAGUAGAUAAAGAUGUGAUGAAAGACACUUGAUGAAUGAAGGCUUUGUAUUUCAAGAUAUAAAUAUAUGGAGCAAAACUCUUAAUUAUAUGAUCAAAUGAUUCUCUCAUAUUCAUGAAUAUAAGCAGGAUUGGGGAACCAUGAUAGAAUCUUAUAUGCCUCUCCAUGUAGAGUGAUCGAUGUUUAUCUUCAUAUUUUACACCAGUGAAUGACAUUGAAACUCUUAUUGAUAAAAGGGAAAAGGCAUGGCCUCCACCCCAAGAAAAACAAGUAACCUCGGUUUAAAUCACUAGUCUACACCCCGAAGAGAGAACUAGCCAAACCUACUAAAAGAGAAACUUAACAAUUUAGAAAGAAACCGUCCAUGAUAAAGGGCCCCUAAAGGUCCAAUUCAGUGAGGUCGUGAACAAAAACACUUUCAUGUCAAAACAGAGAUAGGUACCACCAAAAUGUAAAGGGAAAGAUGUAAACCACGUCGAACUUUGGUAAUCAAUGGUAAAGAUAGCAUGAUAGCUAAAAGCACUAAAGCUGUGCUUGGUAUGCAAAAAUGAAAAGUGGAAAUCAGCGUCUUAUUCUUUUUCACCUUUAUUCACAUAUUAGGAUAACUAAUAUCUAAUGUUUUUUAUGUCUCAAAUUCUAUUCCAUGUUAUGGUAAACUUUCAUCUUGUUUAGAUCACUUUUGUCUGGUUUGGGCUCAAGACGAUAAGCCUAUAGAGACUUCAUAUUGGGUUGAAUCGAUGCCCUUGAUCUGAUCUGUUCGUUAGAAAAAUCUGAAUUAUUAUAAGCAUUUAGAUAAAAAAUAAAUAAAUGUGAAACACAAACUACUCCCUGCACAACCUUGACCCUAGUUACUCAGUUUCACUGCUCACAGGACUAACCUCUCCAUUCAGUCGAAAUGAAUUGUAACAAGAAGAUUUUUGACAGGAGGACGGUAGUUUAAAAUAAUAAUUUCUAAAGUACUUUUGUGAAAAAAAAUAAUUCCAAACGUGGAUUUUAUCAAGUAAAAAGAAAAAAAAAAGUUAUUUUCUUUUAAAAUCUGUUCUUCUAAAGAUGAUAUAUAUACCAAAAAAAAAAAUUGUUUUCUGAAGGUAAAAUUUUUAAAAUUCAUUUUUAAAAAAAUUUACACACUAAAAUUAUCUUUUCAAGAGAAGAUUUUUUUAAUUUUAAAUAAUUAUUAAUUUAUAAUUAAUUUGUUAUUAAUUAUUUAUUAAUUUUUUUAUUUGAAAAAUGCAUUUAUAAAAAACAAAUUUGUUAUUAAUUUAUUAAAUAAUUUUUACAAAAUAAAUAAUUUUUUUUUAUUUUAAUUUUAAAAUUAAUUUUAUUAUAUAAAUUUUAAAAUUAAAAAUAUUAAUAUUUAAUUUAAAAUUUAACUAUAAAAGGAAUAAAAUAUAGAAAAAUAAAUUAAUUUAUUAUUCAAUAAAUUAAUUUUCAAUAAAAUUUUCAGCAUUAAGAGAUAAAUUUUUAAGUAUUAAUCAAUUUAAAAAGAAAUAAUGAUCAUUUGUAUAUUAAGAUAUUUUAUUUAGUAAUUAUGAAUGAUAAACAACUAAAGUAAUUUGAAAAAAUAAUAAAAUAUUUAAAAAAUAAUAAUUUAAUACACGUAAAAUUAGAAAUGAUUAACUAUUUUUUAUUAAGAAAAAAUUGAGGAAAUAUUUUGUUAUUUAAAAUUUUUUAUUUGUUUUCAAUUUUUAAUGUUAUAGGUUUCAAGAAAAUUGAUCAAAUAAAAAUUAAGAAGUCAUUUUUUCAAAAACUAUAUAUCUAAAUAAAAGCCUUGAAAUUCAAAUACACAAUAUCAUAAAUAUAAACACCAAGUCAAUCCUUAAUUAUCAAAUGUUUUUAAUAUUAAAGAAUCAAAAUCACCUACUAUCAUGAUAAUAAGAAAACCAAUAAUAUUGUUCAUAUAAAUACUAAAAAGCUAACAAAUAUCCCAAACAAUUAAUAAAGUAUCAAACAUGAUAAAAAGUCAAUUAUUAUCAUGAAUGCAAAAAAUCAAUAAUUUUGUUUAUAUGAACCAUCAACAAAGAAAAAAAAAAUCAAUAUCUAAAUAUUAAACAUAAUUUAUAUUUUUAUAAAUAUUAUUGUUGAUAAAUAUCUUAACAAUUAUAAUUUUAGUAAAUAAAAUUAAUUAAUUUUAGUUUAAGAAUUAUUUUUUUAUACUUUCGUAUUCUUAUCAAAAAUCCCCAUUUUGCAUGUCUCCUUUGGCAUGACUUUCUUACCUAAACAAGCAUAUAUAUAUAUAUAUAUAUAUAAAAUAUUUGGUUAAGAAAGAGUACUAAAGUUUAUAUGGCACACAUCAAGAUAGAAACAGAAGUGGAAGAUAAUCCAAAUGUAUGAACAGAUAUAUUAUAUCCAUGUAGUGGUAGUGACUUCAUUAUUUACUUUUAUCUAAUGGAGCAUGACACACUUCUUCUGAAUAUUUUGCACGAUUAUGUUAUGUGUCAGCUUGUUCUAAGUCAAAACUAGUGAUAAAAAUCGGUUUUUUUUGCAUUUCCUUCAUGAAGAUGGCACCUGGAUGGGGCACUACAUGAGUGGCAUAGCACGAAGUGAUUUAUCUGCUCCCUUUACUAUAAAGUGCUUUGUGUAUAAGUUACACCUCCCCUGCACUGCCUCAACAUUUGUUGUUCUGUCUUCCGUCUGUCCAAACGAGGACAAACGUAUGUUGUAGGUUGACAAAACCACAGCUAGCCUAGGAUUUGCAAGGAUCUAGUUUGAUUCGUAUGCAAAAGGAUUGGUGAAAAGAUUCACAAAGAUAAUGCUUUUUGCAAUGCAAUCUUGUUCUAAUUCAACAGUGUGGACCAUUUUCAUGUAAUGCUUCAACUAGAUGUCAGUUUCAUGAAUUUUUGUUCAUCUAAUUGAUCACUGGAUAGGCCAUAACCCGAAGAAAUUCAAAAUUCCCUUCAGUACUGUAGCUAAGGAAAGAUCCCUAUCUACCACUGGGAUUUUAAGAGGGUAAAAAUGUAGGUGGGUGCCUAUAUCAUUUGCACUUCACUAUAGGCCUCUUUGGGAAGAUUUCUUCUGAAGACAUUUCAAAGAAACAUAUUUUUCUCUUCUCUCCGUAAACGGCAGCUGCAAGUCAGUCCAUUCACAGGCCACCGAGUUGAAAAGGCUGGAAAAUUGGCCAAAGCACCCGCCUCCUGGAUUCCAUGGGUAAGGAAAAGGUCACUGGAGGUGUGAUCCCUGUUGGCCUCUUGAUUUCCAUUCCGCCAUCUAUAUGACCUGAUAACCCAAAAACACAGAAGGAAAACGUCACCUGGGUUCAUAGUAAGCAUCAAGUCAUGAUAGAGACCAGACAACAUGACCAACAAAGAGUAGCGAAUGGGGCCAACAUCAAGCCCCAUUACGGUUAGAAGAUGGAAGAAGUAGAAGACAAUCCAAUUCUGAUAGAUUCGGGCAAAUGUAGUGCUGUUCAAACUUAAUCAUUUACUAUUUCUUCAUGAAUCACGGCAUUUUUCUUCUGAAAAUUUUCCAAGAUUAGGCCUCUGAAGAAAAAUUUCAUAUGUAAAUUGGUAUAUUAAGGAAAAGGCGUUACAAAGGUGAAAAAAAACCAAUCAAAUCUUAUAUAUGACAUCUCAAAAAUAUGAACUUGCUAUAAAUAUUUAAAAUCAAAAUCUUGCACAUCACCUCGUAGUACGAACUUGCUAUAAAACUUGAAAAUCAAGAAGAAAGGGGCAGUAUUGGACGAGACUACUUAGCACAUAUUAUUAUGAUGUUUUUUCAUUUUCUUAAUGUUGUUUUUAUGUCUUAAAUUCUAUUAUUCUAUGUUACGGUAAACAUUCAUCUUGUUUGUGUGGAAUAGGAUCACUUUUCUCUGGGUUGAGUCGAUGCCCUUAGUUAAUUUGUUCAUUUGAAUAAACUAAAUUAUUAUAAGUAUUUAGAUAAGAAAAACGUGAUACAUAAAUUACGCCUCUCGGCACAACUUCAACACUGGUUACUCUGUUUCAGUUUCCUCACACAAGAUUAUUGGUUCUAGGGUUUAUUUGGUUUUGGUUUGAUUCUAAUUGCUAAACUUUCUCAAGGAAGAUGUUAUAUAGGGAGUGAGAAACCUUCACUCUUGGCUACCUCCAAGAGAAGAGCAAGUGGUCUGAAUCAAAGAUAUACUGCUCACUUUUUCUUCUUCUAAGGACAGCUAUGACCUUGCUUUAAGGUUCGAAUAGCCUAAUGCAACCUCCCAUUUCUCAAGUCAGCUGAUGAUGUAAGUCACCUUGGCUUUCCACAUUCAUACGGUGAGGACGUUUGUGGGUGUAAUUCUCUUAACAGUUUUCAUUUUAUAUGGAAAAAUUCAUAAUUAAGGGUAAUUACUGAUUCCAUUUGACAGUGACCAAGUUUAAAAUAUUAAUUCAUAUAUUAAAUGCACAUUAAAAAAUCAUGGAAUAAAUAUAUUUACUAAUAUAUAGUUCUUUUGCCAUGUUCUGUCACAGAAGCAUCGAACUUUCCCUAGAAAUUUUUGCAUGGUAUUCUACUUAUGAUUUUGAAAACUCUAGGCACCUGAGGCCACUAAUUGCAUGGUUGGAUGAGGAGCUGCAUGAGAUUAUGUAUCGUGUUGUUCCUUAACUACAAAUAUCAGUUUUAAGUAGCAUCUCCAUGUGACAUUUUCCUGAUGCAAUUUCGCUGUCCACCAACAAAUUUCACCAUGCAGCAAGAUGAAUUGUAAUUUCUUUAUUGUUAUCAACAGCUUUAAUUAAUCUUGAUAUAUAUAUAUAACUUAGUAGAAGUAUAUUAAUCUAGAUUGUAGUUGCACUAAGAUAAUAGGCAAUAUUAUAACAGUGCCACAAUGCUCAUCGCCAAAUAGAAAGGUAGAAAAACUACAAUGAGUAACUCACAACAUUCUCAAACAGGACAUAGCGGCGACUGAUACAUAGAACACUAUUGGCACUCAGGAAAUGAUAAGAUCAGUGCCCAGCAGGCAGCACGUCUUAUUUUACAUACUACUUAAAACUAACCAAAGUCAUUCAGUUGGGAUGGGUGGGAGAUGGUGGUUUGUGCGGUGGCUUUUGGGUAGUUGGUGGCUUCUUUCCUGGAACUGAUGGUUUUUUUGUUGGAGUUGAAGGAGGCUUAAUCGUCUGAGGUGGCUUGUAUGAGUCUUCAGCACUCUCUGCGGGAGGGUGCCCAGGGUUGUGACCAUAAUGGGGUGGCUUCUCUCCCUUAGUUGGUUUGCCAAGUGGGCUGGCUGGCUUGUGCUCCGGGAGCGGCUUCUCUCCCUUAGGUGGUUUGCCAAAUGGGCUUGCUGGCUUGUGCUCUGGGAGCGGCUUCUCUCCCUCAAGAAGUUUACGGGUUUUGUCAGAUGGCUUGUGUUCUGGUGGUGGCUUCUCUCCUUGGGGUGGUUUGCCAAAUGGACUUGGUGGCUUGUGUUCGGGGAGUGGCUCCUCUCCCUUGGGAGGUUUAGUUGGUGGCUGGUGUUCCAUAGGUGGUUUCUCAACCGGGGGCUUGUUCUCCGUUGGUGGUUUAUGAACUGGGGGAUGCUUGGGGUAGUCAGCAAGAGACGGGGUGGUGAGAACCACCAGUCCCAGCAGCAACACUAGCAAGUAUGUGGAAGAGUACAUCUUUGAGUUCAGGCUGAGAUUUGUGCGAGACUUGAAGAAUUAGGUGGCCUUUUAUAGCUGGCUGCACCCAACACUCACAUGACACGUAUCAUGGUGACACAUGUGCUAUGGGUCCAUUUGGGUCCUACAGAAGCUGAAAACUUUUGACUAUUGAGGUGUGGUCACAACUUUUGUCCCUAUUGCUUUCUCCGCAACCGUUUUACAUGUUUCCUUUGGCAUAAUUUUCUAAGCUAAACAAGCAUAUAUCAUAUUUGGUUAAGAAAGAGUAAAGUGUAUAUGGCACACAUCAAGGAAGAGAAACAGAAAAAGUGGGAGACAAUCAAUUGUGAUAAACAGAUAUAUUAUAUUCAUGUAGUACUAGUGACUUUAUCAUUUACUUUUAUCCAAUAGAUCAUCACUCUUUCUUCUAAAUAUUUUGGAGGAUAAUGGUACAUGUUGCUUGUUUCCAAGUCAAAAUUGGUGGCAAAAAUCGGCAUGAUACGAAAGGAUUGGUGAAAAGAUUCACAUAGAUGGUGCUUUGUGCAAUGCAGUCUUGCUCUAAUUCAACAGAGUGGACCAUGGUGAUGUAUUUUAAAUUUUAAAUUUUAAAUUAAUGCAUGCUUCAAAGUUUUAACUAGAUGUCACUUCCAUGGAUUUUUGUUCAUUUAAUUGAGCACAGGAUAGGCUAUCAAACUUGAAGUAAUAUAAAAAUCCCUUCAUUACUGUAACUAAUGAAAGAUCAUUAUCUGCGCUUGGUAUUUUGCCAAGGUAUUUGCUGCUCUUUCUAGCCCUGUCUUACAGUUAAGGACAAUGUGAUCUAGUUAACCUUAGAAGCUAUUCCAUGUCAGAUACAAGAGAUCAAGCACAUUAUCUUUGGGCUCAGUUCAAAACUAUAAUAUAUGGGUGGGGUGGAGGCCCAUAUCAUUUGCAUAUCACCACUAUUGGUUUAGUUUGGAAGGUUUCUUCUGGAAGAUUGCUGCUUUCUGGAAUCAUUUCAAAGAAAUAUAUCUUUUUGUUCUCUUGGUGACGAGCAGCGGCAAUCAAGUCUGUUGACAAACAACCGAGUUGAAAAGUUUGAAAAUUGGUCACAGCCCACGUCCAUGGUUAAGGAAAAGGUCACUGGAAGUGAUCCCUUCUGGGCCUCUUGAUUUCCAUUCUGACAUCUAUAUGACCUGAUAAAUAGAAAGAAAAAAAAACAGAAGAAAAGCGGCACCCGGGUUCAUAGUAAGCAUCAAGACAGGAUACUGAAAGAAGGGAGAAAGGAGAUUGCAAGUCCAAUCCUGAUAAAAUGAUCAACAAAGAGUAUCAAAAUGGGGCCAACAUAAAGACCCAUUGAGGUUAGCAGAUGGCAUGGCAUUUUUCUCCUUAAGUUUUCCAUGAUUAGACUUGAAGUCAAAAUUUCACAUGUAAAUUUGUAUUUCUACAUUUCCCACUGACGACACCCAACUUCAACUUGAGUUAGAAUAACAUUGUGUGAACUUAUCUGGCCCUCAAAAUUUACUGUGAAGUGCUUUCUGCGUGUGAAGAUUCAGAAAAGCACCAAGGGAACAUGUAUGGUCUGCCUUUUUCUGAUGUUAUGUUUGUCUCUAAUUCUGUUCCAUGUCAUGGUAAAUGUUCACAUUGCUUGUAUGGAACACACCAGGAUCACUUUUUCGGGUUUAUUUUGAGGCUUCAUAUUGGGUUCAUAUUGGGUUCAAUGCUUUUAAUGUGUUCAUUAGACAAAUCUGAAUUAUCAUAUGCAUUUAGAUAAGAACAAUAAUGUGAAACCCUAGUUACACCUCCCCUGCAUAACCCCAACCCUGCUUACUCUAUUUCAGUUUACUCACACAAGUUUUACCGGUUCUUAUAAGUCAAGAAAAGGCAACUGAUGUUGGAUUGACUCUCUUCCAUGUAUAAAAAGCAACUUUUAUAUAUACAUAAAAUAACUUCUUCCCCUCACCAAUGUGGGAUAUCAUGGAUUUAUUCUGGAAACACAUCAAAGGAACAUCUUUUCUCUUGGGUGACCCUAAGUGGUGAGUCAGACCAUUUGCAUGCCAUUGAGUUGCACAGUUGGAUAAAUGCACCUACCUCCUGGGCUCCAGAGUUAAAAGGGUGGAUCCCUGGAUCGCAACCCUCUUGGCAUCUUGGUUUCCAUUCCAACAUCCACAUGACUUGACAAAACAAAAAACAGAAUAAAAUCAUCACUAUUUUCAUGCUAAGCACCAAUACAUGAUGGAAAUCAUUGCUUAAAGAUUUGGGGUCAUUUAGGUUUUGACUGCCUCCUAACACCUCACCUAAUCACAAGUUUUUAUGCUUACAAAUCAAAUAUCGUUCUUCAUUAUAUUAAAAUCAUUUUAAGAUUUCAGAUCCAUCUGCUAAUUAUGAUUAUGAUAACAUUAAUUCACCUGUGCUUCUCAUUUUCGACACACAAGGCAUCUAGGUUUGCAGGAUUUCCUUAUUAGAUGAGAUAAAUGAGUACGCAUGGUUAUGUAUGCAGCAUUCAUUAACCAUGGUAUGUGACAUUUAGAAUUAAGAUAGCAAGCAAACUUUCCCUGCAGCUUGAGUAAAUUGUGAUUUCUUAGCCUCUAUGAGUGGUUCCCAAAUCAAAUUAACAUAGUGAAAUAUACGUAGUCCAGUGAAAGGAAAUGUAAAUUAUAAACUAACAGCACUACACUACUGGUAACACUCGAUACUCUCUAUAUAAUGCAAUGAAAUAUACGUUAUACGUUGCUUGUUCCAAGUCAAAAUUUGUGGCCAAACGUUGGCCUUUUUUCAUUUUCCCUAAGAUUAAUGCUCACCUGGGAUAGGCACUACAUGAUUUAUCUGCUCUUUUACUGUAAAGUUGCUUUGUGUAUGAGUUACACCUCCCCUGCACACCCUCAACAUUUGUUGCUCUGUUUUCCUUGUGUCCAGACGAGGAUAUUAAGUGGGGGCUGACAAAACGACUGCUAGCCAAGGAUUUACAAGGUCCUGGUUUGACGCUUCCGCGAAAGUAUUUUUGAAAAUAUACACAUAGAGAUUGCGCGUUCGGUGCAAUGCAACAAUGUGAGCCAUUCUGAAGUUUUUAAUUUCAGAUUAAUGAAUGCUACAAAAUUCUAAGAAGGGCCGUUUCCAAAUAUUUGAGUUCAUUUAUCCGAACAUCGGAUAAGUAAUGAUCAUAGAUUAUUAUUAUUAUCUGACGUUCUUAUAAUGGUUGGCAUUAUAAGAGGGUAUAUGCUUCUUUCUCUAGCCCCUCCUUCAAGGGAGGGACAAUGUGAUCUGUAUCGUUAGAAGCUAUUCCAUGUCGUCAUCUUUUGGCUUAAGUCAAUACUAAAAUAUAUGGGCGGGGCCCCUGUCAUUUUAUAUUUCUUCUAGAAGGUUUGUUCUGGAAAUCUUUCACCGAAACAUAUCUUUUUCUUCUCUACGUGAUCCGUGGUUGGAAAGUUAGAAAAAUGGGUCCGUUCACAAGCCACCGAGUUGAAAAGUUGGAAAAAUGGCAACACCGCCAACCUCUUGUAUUCGAUAGUUAAAUAAAAGGUCACUGGAAGUGAGAUCCCUUUUGGCCUCUUGAUUUUCAUCCCAGCAUCUCUAUGUCCUGAUAAACUAAAAAACUAAAAAAAAAACAGUACGUGGGUUGGUGUUAAGCAUCAAGAGUCAAGACAUGAUAAUGGAGAGAAAGGAUAUUCAAAUUCCAGUUCUGACAACAUGAUUUUCUUUCCUGAACAACCAUGUUAUAUUUGAUCAAGAAAGAGUAGUGCAUGUGGCCAGGAUCAAGACAUACAUUAAUUUCCACAUGAUGAAGACAGUUUCUGAGAGUUUCUUCUAAAGCUCUUGCGCUAGUAGGCUUCAAGUCAAAAUUUCCCAUGUAAACACUGGAUUUUCUUUAAUUGCCACUAAGGAUACAGUUAAAAUUGACUUAAAAUCCUACGUGAUAUAUAUCUUUAACAAAAGUAUAUUGUAUAUAAUAUUUGAAAUAAUGUUGAUUCGUUGUGGAAAUAUGUUUGUAAGGAAAGUUGUUGACAAUUUAAUAUAGUAUAAGAAGAAAAAAGUUAUCAACUAGAGAUGAGUAUGUAAAGUGAGGCUCACGAUUCAACGCGUAAAUAUAAGAUAUUUUAAGGCUCAAUAGUUAUGAUAUCUAUUUUAUUUUUUGUAUCCCAUAUAUUCAAAGAUACAGUAAAAUGAUUUUAUAUAUAUGAACAUAGCCGAUAGUAUCAUGUUAAAACCUUAUAUGACUCUUUGUGCCAAUUGAUUUUUAUCUUUAUUUUGUGUAUUAGUAAUUAGUAUUAAAGUUUUUACUAACAUAAUAAUUGAUAUAAAAGCUUUUUCCAAAAGAGUCAAACAGAGCAAAACACUUAUUAUAAAAAGAAUUUUGAUUGAAGGUGGAGUCAAUUAUUCUUUAUUCAACAUGUGAUGCAUACAGCGGGUACUUCAUAACUAAAGUAUAUAAGUGCAACAUCUCUUAUACAUUCUCAUUCAAUCUCGAAAGUGGAAAAUUUUAAAAGAUUAAAUGGUUCAAAUUUUCCGUGCAUAAAGGGGAUCAUGUCACAUAACCAAACCAUGGCAUACCAAAGCCAUGAUAUGGACUAAGAAUUUUGUUAAAAUAAGUUUCUUAUUAGGGCACAUUAUGUGACUAUUUAUGACAUAUCAAAGGAGUCAAGUGCAUCAAUAAAGACAUAGAAAAUUCAUGCAUCACAUGUACCACUAAGAGAAAAUUGACUUGAUAGAGUUUAGUCCAAAUAGGAGAUUGUUAAAAGGUGCAUCAAAUUCUUGAUUGAUAUAUAUUUUUUUUAUUAGAAAGGUUAUUAUAUAGAUAUUUCAAUAGACUAUUAAUCCUUUGUAAAAAUAGUUAUAUAAUGAGGAUGGUGAUUAAAAAUAUCUCUAUCAAUAUUUUGGAUUAUAAAAAGAAAAAAAAUAUGAGAAAAUGAUAAACAUAUAAAACUUGUACAAGUAGAUAGAGAUGUGAUGAAAGACACUUGAUGAAUGGAGGCCUUGUAUUUCAAGAUGUAAAUAUAUGGAGCAAAACUCUUAAUUAUAUGAUCAAAUGAUUCUCUCAUAUUCAUGAACAUAAGCAGGAUUGGGGAACCAUGAUAGAAUCUUAUAUGCCUCUCCAUGUAGAUUGAUCGAUGUUUAUCUUCAUAUUUUACACCAAUGAAUGACAUUGAAACUCUGAUUGAUAAAAGGGAAAAAGCAUGGCCUCCACCACAAGAAAAACAAGUAACCUCGGUCUAAAUCACUAGUCUACACCCCGAAGAGAGAACUAGCCAAACCUACUAAAAGAGAAACUUACCAAUUUAGAAAGAAAUCUUCCAUGAUAAAGGGCCCCUAAAAGUCCAAUUCAGUCAGGUUGUGAACAAAAACACCUUCAUGUCAAAACAGGAAUAGGUACCACCAAAAUGUAAAGGGAAAGAUGUAAACCAAGUCGAACUUUGGUAAACAAUGGUAAAGAUAGCAUGAUAGCUAAAAGCACUAAAGCUGUGCUUGGUAUGCAAAAAUGAAAAGUGGAAAUCAGCGUCUUAUUCUUUUUCUCCUUUAUUCACAUAUUAGGAUAACUAAUAUCUAAUGUUUUUUUUAUGUCUCAAAUUCUAUUCCAUGUUAUGGUAAACUUUCAUCUUGUUUAAGUGGAAGAGUAGGAUCACUUUUGUCUGGUUUGGGCUCAAGACGAUAAGCCUAUAGAGACUUCAUAUUGGGUUGAAUUGAUGCCCUUGAUCCGAUCAGUUCGUUAGAAAAAUCUGAAUUAUUAUAAGCAUUUAGAUAAAAUAAAUAAAUAAAUGUGAAACAGAGACUAUUCUCUGCACAACCUUGACCCUAGUUACUCAGUUUCACUGCUCACGGGACUAACCUCUCCAUUCAGUCGAAAUGAAUUGUAAUUUCUUUACUGGUAGCAGUAGUACUUUUCAUAGCAAAGAUAAUAGUAAAUAUGAAAUAUAAAUAUAUAGAAGGAAAUCUGGAUUGUAGAUAGCACCAUAAGUAACACUCAAUAUUUACUACAUAAUAAAAGAGAUAGUGUUACAAAGGUAGAGAAACCUACAAUGAGUACUCAUCACCAUUCUCAAACAGAAACAUAGCAGUGACUUAUACAUAGAACCUAUAGGCUCGCAGGGAAAGAGUAACAUGAUAAGUGCACAGCGGGUAGCAGCUCUUAUUUUACGUAUUACUCAAAAUCUCAAACUAACCAAAGUCACUCAGUUGGGAUGGGUAGGAGAUGGUGGUUUGUGGGGUGGCUUCUGGGUAGGAGCUGGUGGCUUCUUUGUUGGAGUUGAAGGAGGCGUAAUCUUCUGAGGUGGCUUGUAUGAGUCUUUGGCACUCUCUGCAGGAGGGUGCCCAGGGUUGUGACCGGAAGGAGGUGGCUUCUGUCCCUUUGGUGGUUUGCCUAAUGGGCUUGGUGGCUUGUGCUCCGGGAGUUGUUUCUCUCCCUCGAGUAGGUUUCGAGUUUUGUCAGAUGGCUUGUGUUCUGGUGGUGGCUUCUCUCCCUGGGGUGGUUUGCCGAAUGGGCUUGGUGGCUUGUGUUCGGGGAGUGGCUUCUCUCCCUUGGCAGGUUCAGUUGGUGGCUGGUGCUCCGUAGGUGGUUUCUUCACCGCCGGCUUCUCUCCCUGGAGAAGGUUACGAGUUUUGUCAGAUGGCUUCUGUUCUGGUGGCGGCUUCUCUCCCUGGGGUGGUUUGCCAAAUGGGCUUGGUGGCUUGUGUUCGGGAACUGGCUUCUCUCCCUUGGCAGGUUCAGUUAGUGGCUGGUGUUCCGUAGGUGGUUUCUUCACCGGCGGCUUGUGCUCCGGAAGCGGCUUCUCUACCUGGAGAAGCUUACGAGUUUUGUCAGAUGGCUUGUGUUGUGGUGGUGGCUUCUCUCCCUGGGGUGGUUUGCCAAAUGGACUUGGUGGCUUGUGUUCGGGGAGUGGCUUCUCUCCAUUGGGAGGUUUAGUUGGUGGUUGGUGUUCCGUAGGUGGUUUCUGAAGUGGGGGAUGCUUGGGGUAGUCAGCAAGAGACGAGGUAGUGAGAACCACCAGUCCCAGCAGCAAUACUAGCAAGGAUGUGGAAGACAUCUUUGAGUUCAGGCUGAGAUUUGUGCAAGGCUAGAAGAAUUAGGUGGCCUUUUAUAGCGGGCUGGACCCAACAACCAAAUGACACGUAUCAUGAUACACAUAUGUGUUAUAAGAUCCUUGUGGGUCCUACAGAAGUUGAAAACUUUGACAAUUGAGGUGUGAUUACAACUUUUGUCCCUAUUGCUUUCUCGUCAGCCGUUUUGCAAGAUUUUUGACAGGAGGACGGUAGUUUAAAAUAAUAAUUUCUAAAGUACUUUUGUGAAAAAAAAUAAUUCCAAACGUGGAUUUUAUCAAGUAAAAAAAACAAAAAAAAGUUAUUUUCUUUUAAAAUCUUUUCUUCAUGAUUCAUAUACCAAAAAAAGAAUUGUUUUCUGUAGGUAAAAUUUUUAAAAUUCAUUUUUAAAAAAAAAAAAUUACACACUAAAAUUAUCUCUUCAAGAAAAUAUUUUUUAAAUUUUAAAUAAUUAUUAAUUUAUAAUUAAUUUUUUAUUAAUUAUUUAUUAAAUUUAUAUGUGAAAAAUGCAUUUAUAAAAAACAAAUUUUUUAUUAAUUUAUUAAAUAAUUAUUUACAAAAUAAAUAAUUUUGCUUUAUUUUAAUUUUAAAAUUAAUUUUAUUAUAUAAAUUUUAAAAUUAAAAAUAUUAAUAUUUAAUUUAAAAUUUAACUAUAAAAGGAAUAAAAUAUAGAAAAAUAAAUUAAUUUAUUAUUCAAUAAAUUAAUUUUCAAUAAAAUUUUCAGCAUUAAGAGAUAAAUUUUUAAGUAUUAAUCAAUUUAAAAAAUAAUAAUAAUCAUUUGUAUACUAAGAUAUUUUAUUUAGUAAUUAUGAAUGAUAAACAACUAAAGUAAUUUGAAAAAAUAAUAAAAUAUUUAAAAAUAAUAAUUUAAUACACUUAAAAUUAGAAAUGAUUAACUAUUUUUUAUUAAGAAAAAAUUGAAGAAAUAUUUUGUUAUUUAAAAUUUUUUAUUUGUUUUCAAUUUUAAAUGUUAUAGGUUUCAAGAAAAUUGAUCAAAUAAAAAUUAAGAAGUCAUUUUUUCAAAAACUAUAUAUCUAAAUAAAAGCCUUGAAAUUCAAAUACACAAUAUCAUAAAUAUAAACACCAAGUCAAUCCUUAAUUAUCAAAUGUUUUUAAUAUUAAAGAAUCAAAAUCACCUACUAUCAUGAUAAUAAGAAAACCAAUAAUAUUGUUCAUAUAAAUACUAAAAAGCUAACAAAUAUCCCAAACAAUUAAUAAAGUAUCAAACAUGAUAAAAAGUCAAUUAUUAUCAUGAAUGCAAAAAAUCAAUAAUUUUGUUUAUAUGAACCAUCAACAAAGAAAAAAAAAAUCAAUAUCUAAAUAUUAAACAUAAUUUAUAUUUUUAUAAAUAUUAUUGUUGAUAAAUAUCUUAAUAAUUAUAAUUUUUUAUAUAUUAAAUUUAGUAAAUAAAAUUAAUUAAUUUUAUAAUAUAAGAUAUAUAUAAUAAUUAAGAGACUAUUUGUCCCAAACAAUUUAUUUAUUUUUUUUUUAGGAAAUUGUCUCUUCAAGAGACGACUUCUCCCAACAUUUUUAAAAAAAAAAAAAAAAACAUCUAUUCAAAAGACGAUUUCUCCUCAUUUUUUAAAAAUGAAUUUUAGAAAUCAUAUUUUCAAAAAUGAAUUUUAGAAAUCAUAUUUUCAAAAGACGAUUUUUUUUUAUAUAAAUUAUUUUUUAAAAUGACGAUUUUAAAAGGAAAUAACGAUCUCUCUCCUACUUGGCAAAAACUAUGGUAAAUUUGGAAUUAUUUCUUCCACAACCAUAGUUUAAGAAUUAUUUUUUUAUACUUUCGUAGACUUAUCAAAAAUCCCUAUUUUGCAUGUCUCAUUUGGCAUGACUUUCUUACCUAAACAAGCAUAUAUAUAUAUAUAUAUAUAUAUAUCACUUUUGUCUGGGUUGAGUCAAUGCCCUUAACUAAUUUGUUCAUUUGAAUAGUCUAAAUUAUUAUAAGCUUUUAGUUAAGAAAAAUGUGAAACAUAAAUUACACCUCUCGGCACAACUUCGACACUGGUUACUCUGUUUCAGUUUAUUCACACAAGAUUAUUGGUUCUAGGGUUUAUUUGGUUUUGGUUUGAUUCUAAUUGCUAAACUUUCUCAAGGAAGAUGUUAUAUAGGGAGUGAGAAACCUUCACUCCUGGCUACCUCCAAGAGAAGAGCAAGUGGUCUGAAUCAAAGAUAUACUGCUCACUUUUUCUUCUUCUAAGGACAGCUAUGACCUUGCUUUAAAAUGUUCGAAUAGCCUAAUGCAACCUCCCAUUUCUCAAGUCAGCUGAUGAUGUAAGUCACCUUGGCUUUCCACAUUCAUACGGUGAGGACGUUUGUGGGUGUAAUUCUCUUAACAGUUUUCAUUUUAUAUGGAAAAAUUCAUAAUUAAGGGUAAUUACUGAUUCCAUUUGACAGUGACCAAGUUUAAAAUAUUAACUCAUGUAUUAAAUGCACAUUAAAAAAUCAUGGAAUAAAUAUAUUUACUAAUAUAUAGUUCUUUUGUCAUGUUCUGUCACAGAAGCAUCGAACUUUCCCUAGAAAUUUUUGCAUGGUAUUCUGCUUAUGAUUUUGAAAACUCUAGGCACCUAAGGCCACUGAUUGCAUGGUUGGAUGAGGAGCUGCAUGAGAUUAUGUAUCCUGUUGCUCCUUAACUACAAAUAUCAGUUUUAAGUAGCAUCUCCAUGUGACAUUUUCCUGAUGCAAUUUCGCUGUCCACCAACAAAUGUCUCCAUGCAGCUAGAUGAAUUGUAAUUUCUUUGUUGUUAUCAACAGCUUUAAUUAAUCUUGAUAUAUAUAUAACUUAGUAGAAGUAAUUAAUCUAGAUUGUAGUUGCACUAAGAUAAUAGGCAAUAUUAUAACAGUGCCACAAUGCUCAUCGCCAAAUAGAAAGGUAGAAAAACUACAAUGAGUAACUCACACAACAUUCUCAAACAGGACAUAGCGGCGACUGAUACAUAGAACACUAUUGGCACUCAGGAAAUGAUAAGAUCAGUGCCCAGCAGGCAGCACGUCUUAUUUUACAUACUACUUAAAACUAACCAAAGUCAUUCAGUUGGGAUGGGUGGGAGAUGGUGGUUUGUGCGGUGGCUUCUUUCCUGGAACUGGUGGUUUUUUUGUUGGAGUUGAAGGAGGCUUAAUCGUCUGAGGUGGCUUGUAUGAGUCUUCAGCACUCUCUGCAAGAGGGUGCCCAGGGUUGUGACCAUAAUGAGGUGGCUUCUCUCCCUUAGGUGGUUUGCCAAGUGGGCUGGCUGGCUUGUGCUCCGGGAGCGGCUUCUCUCCCUUAGGUGGUUUGCCAAAUGGGCUUGCUGGCUUGUGCUCUGGGAGCGGCUUCUCUCCCCCAAGAAGUUUGCGGGUUUUGUCAGAUGGCUUGUGUUCUGGUGGUGGCUUCUCUCCUUGGGGUGGUUUGCCAAAUGGACUUGGUGGCUUGUGUUCGGGGAGUGGCUCCUCUCCCUUGGGAGGUUUAGUUGGUGGCUGGUGUUCCGUAGGUGGUUUCUCAACCGGGGGCUGGUGCUCCGUAGGUGGUUUAUGAACUGGGGGAUGCUUGGGGUAGUCAGCAAGAGACGGGGUGGUGAGAACCACCAGUCCCAGCAGCAACACUAGCAAGUAUGUGGAUGACAUCUUUGAGUUCAGGCUGAGAUUUGUGCAAGACUAGAAGAAUUAGGUGGCCUUUUAUAGCUGGCUGCACCCAACACUCACAUGACACGUAUCACGGUGACACAUGUGCUAUGGGAUCCAUUUGGGUCCUACAGAAGUUGAAAACUUUUGACUAUUGAGGUGUGAUCACAACUUUUGUCCCUAUUGCUUUCUCCGCAACCGUUUUACAUGUUUCCUUUGUGGUGUUUAAUAGUGUUUUUUUCCUUAAUUCUAAAUAAACCUUAAUACUUAAUAAUGUUAAAUAUUAGGUUAUUUAUUUUUAUAAUAUUUUAUUUAUAUUAAGUAUUAAAAAGUAAAGAAAAAUCAAUAUAUUUAUUUUUCUAUUUAGAAAAAACUAUAUAUUUUUAAUUUUUUUAUUUAAUAAAAAAUUUAUAAUAAAUCAUGAAAAAAUAGAAAAACAAACAACCUAAAUUUUAAAAAUAAAUUGUUUUUAGUAAAAACCCAAAAAAACAAACACCACCUUAACUAAACAAAUAUAUAUUAUAUUUAGUUAAGAAAGAGUAAAGUGUAUAUGGCUCAAAUCAAGGAAGAGAAACAGAAUAAGUGGAAGACAAUCAAUUGUGAUAAACAGAUAUAUUACAUGCAUGUAGUACUAGUGACUUUAUCAUUUACUUUUAUACAAUAGAUCAUCACACUCUUUCUUCUAAAUAUUUUGGAGGAUAAUGGUACAUGUUGCUUGUUGCCAAGUCAAAAUUGGUGGCAAAAAUCGGCAUGAUACGAAAGGAUUGGUGAAAAGAUUCACAUAGAUGGUGCUUUGUGCAAUGCAGUCUUGCUCUAAUUCAACAGAGUGGACCAUGGUGAUGUAUUUUAAAUUUUAAAUUUUAAAUUAAUGCAUGCUUCAAAGUUUUAACUAGAUGUCACUUCCAUGGAUUUUUGUUCAUUUAAUUGAGAACAGGAUAGGCUAUCAAACUUGAAGUAAUAUAAAAAUCCCUUCAUUACUGUAACUAAUGAAAGAUCAUUAUCUGCGCUUGGUAUUUUGCCAAGGUAUUUGCUGCUCUUUCUAGCCCUAUCUUACAGUUAAGGACAAUGUGAUCUAGUUAACCUUAGAAGCUAUUCCAUGUCAUAUACAAGAGAUCAAGCACAUUAUCUUUGGGCUCAGUUCAAAACUAUAAUAUAUGGGUGGGGUGGGGGCCUAUACCAUUUGCAUAUCACCACUAUUGGUUUAGUUUGGAAGGUUUCUUCUGGAAGAUUGCUUUCUGGAAACAUUUCAAAGAAAUAUAUCUUUUUGUUCUCUUGGUGACGAGCAGCGGCAAUCAAGUCUGUUGACAAACAACCGAGUUGAAAAGUUUGAAAAUUGGUCACAGCCCACGUCCAUGGUUAAGGAAAAGGUCACUGGAAGUGAUCCCUUCUGGGCCUGUUGGAAGCAGGGGAGGUUAACACACCAAGCAACAAAGAACAGAGAUAUGCUGCUACUGAUCUAUAUUUUUUAUUUGAUCAUAAGGCUAAAUUUAUACAGAUUGUGUAACAGAUAUGACCUCAAAAAAAAGCAUCAAAUCAAGCUACUUGUUGAACAAACAACUACCUUCUACAAAAUAACAUCAAAAUUUAACUUAAAAGCAAAAACAUAAAAAUAGCAACAGCAAAAAUAGAAACAUAAAAAUAGCUUCAGCAUUCUAGUAAUCUCGUUGACUUCAAUUGCAUGUGGUUGACGAUUUCAGCCUUUUCCUCAGCAGCUACUAAGGCAUAACUCUCAACACUCCUCCUUGACUUAGGAGGUGCAAACUCCAAGUCUUUCUCAUAGAAACUCAAAUCUUAUUUUAGGAAGAGCUUUAGUCAGAAUAUCUACAUUUUGACUGUCUGUAUUGCAGUAGACUAGUUGUAUAUCUCCUUCUUUCUGUACUUCCCUCAAAAAUUACAAUUUAAUCUUGAAGUGCUUUGUUUUACCAUGAAAAACUGGAUCAUUUGCAAUAGAUAUAGUGGCCUGGUUGUCUACAAACACCUUUGUACUCACUUCUUGCUUCAUAUCCAAAUCUGUCAGCAACUUUCCAAGCCAUAAGGCUUGAUUUACAGCUGUAACAGCAGCAAUAUACUCUGCCUCAGCUGUGGAUUGAGCCACGACUUCUUGCUUCCUUGAACUCCAUGAAAAAACACCAGAACCAAAACUAAAACAAUAGCCUGAAGUACUUCUCAUAUCGUCAACACAACCAGCCCAAUCACUAUCAGAAAAUCCAUGAAAAUUGAAACUUUGAACUUGACUGAACUUAAUGCCAUAAUCCACAGUGCCUUUAACAUUUCUUAUCACACGCUUUGCUGCCUGGAAAUGAAUUUCACUAGCACAAUGCAUGUAUCUCGAAAGUAGACUUACAGCAUGCAUUAUAUCGAGUCUUGUUGCAGUCAAGUACAUUAAGCAUCCAAUCAUGCUUCGAUAAAGUCCUUCAUCUACCUUUUUAGCACCGUCCUCCUUACAGAACUUCUCUUUCUGGUUCAUAGGGGUAGAUGUAGGUUUGCAUUCCUCCAUUUUGAAUUUCUUCAUAAUUUCUUUGGCAUAUUUUUGUUGGCAGAUGAAAAUCUCAUUCUGCUUCUGGUGUACUUCCAUUCCCAAGAAGUAAGACAUCUCAUCUAGGUCUGUCAUCUCAAAAACCUGCUCCAUUUCAGCCUUGAAUUUGUUCACAAACCCUGCAUUACUUCCUGUUACAAGCAAAUCAUCAACAUAUAGAGAAACAAUUAAUAUAUCUUCUUCAAUCUUCUUAAUGUAGAGUGUAAAUUCACUCAAGCUCUUGUGAAAGCCUAAAGUUAGCAGGUGAGUGUCAAUCCUGCUGUACCAAGCUCUAGGGGCUUGUCUUAACCCAUACAAGGCCUUCUUAAGAAGGUAUACUUUUUCUUCUUUUCCUUUGAUAGCAAAACCUUCUGGUUGUUCGACAAAAAUCUCUUCCUCUAAGUAGCCAUUCAAAAAUGCUGACUUCACAUCUAGUUGAUAAAUCUUCCAUUUUCUUUGAGCUACAAGAGCCAACAACAUCCUGAUUGUAUCCAAACGAGCUACUGGUGCAAAGGUUUCCGAAAAGUCAACACCAAACAUUUGUGCAUACCCUUUGACAACCAGCCUUGCUUUAUGUUUGUUUAUAGAACCAUCAGAGUUGAGUUUGGUUCUGUAAACCCACUUAACCCCAAUAGGUUUUUUGUGUGAAGGUCUAUCUACUAGCUCCCAAGUGUUGUUCUUGUCAAUCAUAUCUAGCUCCUCCUGCAUUGCAACCCUCCAUCUUUUAUUUUCAGCAGCUUCAACAAACCCUGCAAGUUCAAGAACAGCUAUAUUACACCUUUGAUAAAUAUCAAAAAGUGUCAUGAAACCUCUAACUGGAAGUUCAUCAACAUCUUCAUCAAUAUAUUGCUGAUUCUGCUCAUCCCAACUCCAUUUCUCCGUUUCCAAAAACUUAACAUCUCUACUUACCACAAUUUUACUAUUUUGUGGCAAGUAGAUUCUGUAAGCUUUUGAGGUGCUGUUGUAUCCAAUGAAAAUUCCUGGUUCUGACUUUUUAUCUAGCUUGUCUCUUUUCACCUGAGGAACAUAAGAGAAACACAAGCAACCAAAGGUCUUUAAAUUCAUUAGCAUAGGCUUAUAAGCAAACCAGGCCUCAAAAGGUGUCUGUUUCUGCAAUGCUUUUGUUGGUAGUCUAUUUAGCAAAAAUACUACUGUAUUUGCAGCUUCAACCCAAAAACUUUUUGGCAGCUCUUUCUCAUGCAAAAGACAUCUUGUCAUUGAUUACUACUCAAAAAGUGCUAUUUGAUAGCCUUUAAUUAAUCCUUUUUAACACUUUUGAGUAGUAGUUUAGGCCUUUUAACUCAAUUGGCAUGUUAAGGAUCCUUUAAAGCAAUUUUGAUCACUUUGUGCAAGUUUUGGUGUUUUUGUUAGUAUUUCGAUCACCAAAGCAAGUCAAGAAUGAGGAGAGCUAUGAGGAAUCUUGGGCAAAGCUUAGAAUUCAAUUGCCAAGAGUGAAUCCGGAUUGCAAGGAGAAAAAGCAAAGAGGAUCAGUCAUGGAGCAUAUUCUUGAUGACAGUCGUAGCAGCCACUUUUGGAUCACUUUCUGAAGUCCAAAUGAUGCAAGCUAUAUACCAUUUCAAAGCUCAGGAAGUCAACAAUCCAAUGCUUCAAACGGUGUGCGAUUCGGAAUUGAAACGAAGAAGUUGCAGCCAUUACAAGCCAGACACUCUAAAGUGUUGCGGAAUCAGCCAUGUGUUGCGAGAAUUUCGCAGCACUUUUGUACAGUAAGGUGUUUCUCCUUCUAACGAUGCACGAACCAUGCCGCGAGAAGGGAGCUGGAAACUUCAAGAUGGAAGCCAACUUUGCAGCCUAGUGAAGAUAGCUCGGUCUUGCAAGAUAAUUUCGCAGCCCUCUUGGGUGUCUGCGAAAUUUCGCAGGCCUCAUUUUUCACCUGCGAAAUGGCUCUUGAAGCCUCCCGAAGCUUGCUACCGACAUUGGGAGAUAUUUUCCAUUAGAUUUUUGUUGUCUAAAUCCCAAAAUACUCCUUGUAAACCACCAAUUACAUGAUUCCUUAGUUUUUAAGUUAGUAAAAAGACCAAAUAUCUUUGUAACAAUUAGUUUUAUAUUUUGUUGUUAUAAAUACCUCUCGGGAGCCUGUUCUCAGGGAGGAGUUCCUUCUGUAAACGUUUGGUAAGCAAGUAAAGUCUAUUUUCUUUCUACUGCCUUACCUUCUCACUUUGUAUUUUCAUUUUAUUUCUAAGUUAUGAAUUCUCUGAGGAGUUUUCCCCAAAGAAUGAGUAACUAAACCUCCAAUUCCUUGGAGCUAAGGUUGCCGGGGAAGGUUCCAAGUGCAAGAAUGCAAAGCUCUGUGGUUUUAGCUAGUAAUGAAGAGGAAGUGAAAUCCUUUAGUGAUUUCAAUGUUUUUAGUUAACUUAAAACACUUUGGAGUCACCUGGGCCAACACUUGGUAAGGCAAGUGAUUUCCAACCAUGGAAAUGCACUAGUUUACCCCUUGCGAGCCUCUGGUAGGUGACUUCAAGGUAGGAUUUUCUGGAAUUACCAACACUUGGUAAGCUUUUGGACUCCUAGGAGACAUCCAUUAGUUAUCUCUUGCGAGUUUGUGAAGGGAAUCCAAGGUUAAAGAUCACCUUGAAUGGUAAGUGCUCGUGAGAGGCAUGAACCAUUGCAAGUUGUAUCAGUGAGAGAAUUAAAGUGAAAUCUAAUUGAAGGAGUCUUUGUACAUCACCGGUUAGAGAAUUGACUAUAAGUUGAAUCUCUAAUGCGAGGAAAUGAACCAACUGACCAGAGCCGUGUCUUUUGCAUGAGGAACCACCCCAGUGAACCUAAAUCUCCAAGGAAUGUUUUUUUCUUCCUAAAUUAUUCCAAACUUCUGUUAAGUUAGUUAGUUUAAAUCUCAACCUUUACAAAUCAAAGUUUGUGUUUUAUUCCUUAAGCUAACCGUGAAAUGAAACAAGACCAAUUCACUUGGAAUUGGUAUCAUUGAUUGCCUGCAAAUCAUUCCCAGUGAACGAUCCUAGAGCCACUAUACUAUAGUAGCUUUGUAUUUGCUACCCUAGUGUAUGGUGUUAUAGGUAUAAAUUUUGUUGAUCACUUCCUCAAUCAAGGAGCACCAGCUGAACACAAAUCAGCUGAGACACCAAUUAGGCAUGAGUCAAAUGGCGCCGUUGCCGGGGAAUGAAUGUCAAGUUCAUUGUGAUACCAUUGUUGAGCACUUGUGAUUUUCAUCACAAGUUGGUAAAGUUUCUUUCACUUUACUAAUUUUCAUUCUUUCUUUGUUUAUUUACAAUCUAAGUUUAUCUUUUUAAAUUUUAGUCUAGUUUAAUUUUGUUGUUGUAGCCCUGUUUUUCUUGUUGUCCUCUGUUUUCAUUUUUUUUUUCAGGUAGAUACUAGUUGUGUAUGCCCAAGUGGAUACGAGACAUAGGAGGUAGGCUUGUUAAGUGUGAUACACCUCAGAAAGGAGAAUUUGAAGUAAUCUUGAAUAUCAUGGAGGCUGCACCUGAAGAUCAGCAUAGUCACCAAGGUCGUCAAGACAAUCUCAAUGAAUUCAGAUCAAUGAGGGACCGUAUGCAUCCACCUCGUAUGAGUACACCAUCAUGUAUAGUGCCCCCUACAGAGCAGCUAGUGAUCAGACCAUAUCUUGUUCCACUUCUACCAACUUUCCAUGGGAUGGAAAGUGAGAAUCCGUAUGCACACAUCAAGGAAUUUGAAGAUGUUUGUAAUACAUUCCAAGAAGGAGGAGCUUCAAUUGACUUGAUGAGGCUUAAGUUAUUUCCUUUUACUUUAAAGGAUAAGGCCAAAAUUUGGCUUAAUUCUUUAAGGCCAAGGAGUAUCCGCUCUUGGACUGAUUUACAAGCUGAGUUCCUUAAGAAAUUUUUUCCUACUCAUAGAACAAAUGGCUUGAAAAGGCAAAUUUCAAACUUCUCAGCUAAAGAGAAUGAGAAAUUCUAUGAGUGUUGGGAAAGAUACAUGGAAGCUAUAAAUGCUUGUCCUCACCAUGGCUUUGAUACUUGGCUAUUGGUGAGCUAUUUUUAUGAUGGUAUGUCCUCCUCAAUGAAGCAACUCCUCGAGACAAUGUGUGGAGGAGAUUUCAUGAGCAAAAAUCCAGAGGAAGCUAUGGAUUUCUUGAGCUAUGUAGCUGAUGUUUCAAGGGGAUGGGAUGAACCAACUAAAGGAGAAGUGGGAAAGAUGAAGUCUCAGUUGAAUGCUUACAAUGCAAAGGCUGGGAUGUAUAAUUUGAAAGAAGAUGAUGACAUGAAAGCAAAGUUGGCAGCUAUGACAAGAAGAUUGGAGGAGCUGGAGCUGAAAAGAAUGCAUGAAGUGCAAGCUGUUGCUGAAGCACCAGUGCAAGUGAAGCUGUGUCCCAAUUGUCAAUCAUUUGAACAUUUGGUGGAGGAGUGCCCUGCAAUUUCAGUUGAAAGGGAAAUGUAUAGAGAUCAAGCAAAUGUUGUUGGACAAUUUAGGCCCAAUAACAAUGCUCCUUAUGGAAAUACCUACAAUUCAAGUUGGAGGAAUCAUCCAAAUUUCUCAUAGAAGGCCAGAGCAACUCAAUACCAACAGCCGGAUCCACCAUCUCAGCAAUCUUCAAGUAUUGAACAAAUAAUAGCCAAUCUCAGCAAGGUAGUGGGAGAUUUUGUGGGAAAGCAAGAAGCCACCAAUGCUCGAGUUGAUCAAAGAAUGGAUAGAAUGGAGAGUGUGUUGAACAAAAGAAUGGAUGGAAUGCAAAAUGAUAUGAACCAAAAGUUUGAUAACAUCCAAUAUUCAAUUUCAAGGCUUACAAAUUUGAAUACACUGCAAGAAAAAGGAAGAUUUCCUUCUCAACCUAACCAAAAUCCCAAAGGUGUCCAUGAAGUGGAAAGCCAUGAGGGAGAAUCAUCACAGGUGAAAGAUGUGAAAGCUUUGAUCACUCUAAGGAGUGGUAAGAAAAUUGAGCAGCCAACACCCAUGCCACAUGUUGAGAAAGAAGAAGGGAUAAAGAAAGGAAAGGAAAUAGAAGAUAAAGACAGUGAGAUCAGUGAAGAAAAGAAGGACUCUGAUUCAACAAUCAAAGCAAUUCCAGAGAAAGAGCUUCUGAAGGAAGAAAUGCUGAAGAAAUCAACUUUUCCACCUUUUCCUCAAGCAUUACAGGGGAAAAAGGGGGUUAGAAAUGCAGCUGAAAUCCUUGAAGUCUUAAGACAAGUAAAAGUUAAUAUUCCACUGCUGGAUAUGAUCAAACAAGUUCCAACGUAUGCAAAAUUCCUAAAGGACUUGUGUACUAUCAAAAGAGGGGUUGACUGUAAACAAGAAAGCCUUCUUGACUGAGCAAGUAAGUGCAAUCUUACAAUGCAAGUCUCCUUUGAAGUACAAAGACCCUGGAAGUCCUACCAUUUCAGUCAUGAUUGGAGGAAAGGUAGUGGAGAAAGCCUUGCUAGACUUGGGAGCAAGUGUGAAUUUGCUUCCAUACUCUGUCUACAAGCAACUGGGACUUGGAGAGUUGAAGCCAACAGCAAUCACUUUAUCUUUGGCAGAUAGAUCAGUGAAAAUUCCAAGAGGAGUAAUUGAGGAUGUAUUGGUUCAAGUGGAUAAUUUCUACUAUCCAGUAGAUUUUGUUGUUCUUGAUACUGAUCCAACUGUAAAGGAAGCUAAUUUAGUUCCUAUCAUCCUUGGAAGGCCAUUUCUUGCAACUUCAAAUGCAAUCAUCAACUGUAGAAAUGGGCUUAUGCAACUCACUUUUGGUAACAUGACACUGGAUCUCAAUAUUUUCUAUAUGUCUAAAAAGCAAAUCACUCCUGAGGAAGAAGAAGGUCCAGAAGAGCUAUGUAUUAUUGAUACUUUGGUGGAGGAGCACUGCAAUCAGCAUAUGCAAGAUAAGUUGAAUGAAAGUCUUGUGGAUAUUGAGGAAGGUUUUUCUGAAUCUCCUAUUGGGCUUGCUACUCUACAAAGUUGGAGAAAGAUAGAAGGAAUUCUACCUUUGUUCAAUGAAAAAGAGGAGGCAACUGUUGAAGAAGAAAUUCCAAAACUCAAUUUGAAGCCUUUACCUGUGGAGCUGAAAUAUACAUAUCUUGAAGCAAAUAAUCAAUGUCCUGUUGUGAUAUCCUCAUCUCUGACCAGUCAUCAAGAGAAUUGUUUAAUGGAAGUUCUCAUGAGGUGUAAGAAGGCAAUAGGAUGGCAAAUAUCUGACUUGAAAGGCAUUAGUCCUUUAGUUUGUACUCAUCAUAUAUAUAUGGAGGAGGAAGCAAAGCCAAUUCGUCAAUUUCAAAGAAGGUUGAAUCCUCAUCUACAAGAGGUGGUGCGAGCUGAGGUGCUGAAGCUACUUCAAGCAGGAAUCAUUUACCCUAUUUCUGAUAGCCCUUGGGUGAGUCCUACUCAAGUGGUACCAAAGAAGUCAGGGAUCACAGUGAUUCAAAAUGAAAAAGGGGAAGAAAUUACUACACGCCUCACUUCAGGUUGGAGGGUGUGUAUUGAUUAUAGAAAGCUGAAUGCUGUCACCAGGAAGGAUCAUUUUCCAUUGCCAUUUAUUGAUCAAGUGCUGGAGAGAGUCUCUGGACAUCCAUUUUAUUGUUUCUUGGAUGGGUAUUCAGGCUAUUUUCAAAUUGAAAUUGAUUUGGCAGAUCAGGAAAAGACCACUUUUACAUGUCCAUUUGGAACAUUUGCUUAUAGAAGAAUGCCUUUUGGUUUAUGCAAUGCACCUGCUACAUUUCAAAGAUGUAUGUUGAGUAUUUUCAGUGAUAUGGUGGAGAGAAUUAUGGAGGUUUUCAUGGAUGACAUCACCGUAUAUGGAGGUACAUUUGAGGAGUGCUUGGUUAAUUUGGAAGCAGUUCUUCAUAGAUGCAUUGAAAAAGAUUUGGUGCUGAACUGGGAGAAAUGCCAUUUUAUGGUACGUCAAGGAAUUGUCCUUGGCCAUAUCAUCUCUGAAAGAGGCAUUGAAGUUGAUAAAGCAAAGGUGGAGCUUAUUGCCAAAUUACCAUCUCCAACAACUGUGAAAGGAGUAAGACAGUUCCUUGGCCAUGCAGGGUUCUAUAGGAGGUUUAUAAAAGGUUUUUCAAGUCUUUCAAAACCUCUUUGUGAGCUGUUAGCUAAGGAUGCUAAGUUUAUAUGGGAUGAAAGGUGUCAGCAUAGCUUUGAUCAACUGAAGAAGUUUUUAACAACAACUCCAAUAGUGAGAGCCCCUAACUGGCAAUUACCUUUUGAACUGAUGUGUGAUGCCAGUGACUUUGCUAUAGGAGCUGUGCUUGGCCAAAGAGAAGAUGGGAAGCCCUAUGUGAUUUACUAUGCAAGUAAAACACUAAAUGAAGCUCAGAGGAACUACACAACUACAGAGAAAGAAUUGUUAGCUGUGGUAUUUGCUUUGGACAAAUUUCGAGCUUAUUUAGUGGGGUCUUUCAUCAUUGUCUUCACUGACCAUUCAGCCUUGAAGUAUUUAUUGACAAAGCAAGAUGCAAAAGCAAGGUUGAUUAGAUGGAUUCUAUUGUUACAAGAGUUCGAUCUUCAAAUCAAAGAUAAGAAAGGAGUGGAGAAUGUAGUAGCUGACCACUUGUCAAGGUUAGUUAUAGCACAUAAUUCCCAUCCCUUGCCUAUCAAUGAUGAUUUUCCUGAAGAAUCACUCAUGUUCCUAGUGAAAACUCCUUGGUAUGCUCAUAUUGCUAAUUAUUUAGUAACUGGGGAAAUUCCAAGUGAGUGGAAUGCACAGGACAGGAAGCACUUCUUUGCCAAAAUUCAUGCUUAUUAUUGGGAAGAGCCCUUUCUCUUUAAGUAUUGUGCAGAUCAGAUUAUUAGGAAGUGUGUCCCUGAAGAUGAGCAGCAAGGGAUUCUAUCUCAGUGUCAUGAGAAUGCAUGUGGAGGCCACUUUGCCUCUCAGAAAACAGCCAUGAAGGUAUUACAAUCAGGGUUUACUUGGCCAUCUCUUUUCAAAGAUGCCCACAUCAUGUGUAGAAAUUGUGAUAGAUGCCAAAGGCUUGGAAAGCUAACAAAAAGAAAUCAAAUGCCUAUGAACCCCAUUCUGAUAGUUGAGAUAUUUGAUGUUUAGGGCAUUGACUUCAUGGGACCUUUCCCAAUGUCUUUUGGUAAUUCUUACAUUUUGGUGGGGGUAAAUUAUGUUUCUAAAUGGGUUGAGGCAAUCCCCUGUAAGCAAAAUGAUCACAGGGUGGUUCUCAAGUUUCUUAAAGAGAACAUUUUCUCAAGAUUUGGGGUGCCCAAGGCCAUAAUCAGUGAUGGAGGAGCUCAUUUUUGCAACAAACCUUUUGAAGCUCUGUUAUCCAAGUAUGGAGUGAAGCAUAAGGUAGCCACACCUUAUCAUCCUCAGACAUCCGGGCAAGUUGAGCUAGCUAACAGGGAAAUAAAGAACAUUUUGAUGAAAGUGGUGAAUUCCAACAGAAAAGAUUGGUCUAUUAGGCUUCAUGAUUCAUUGUGGGCAUAUAGAACAGCUUAUAAAACUAUUCUUGGGAUGUCUCCCUAUCGUCUUGUCUAUGGCAAAGCAUGCCAUCUCCCUGUGGAAGUUGAAUACAAAGCUUGGUGGGCAAUAAAGAAGCUGAAUAUGGACUUGAUCAAGGCCGGAGAAAAGAGAUUUCUAGACCUUAAUGAGAUGGAGGAAUUAAGAAAUAAUGCUUAUAUCAAUUCCAAAGUUGCAAAACAGAGGAUGAAGAAGUGGCAUGAUCAACUCAUCUCCAACAAGGAAUUUCAGGAAGGGCAAAAAGUUUUGAUGUAUGACACAAGACUCCAUAUCUUUCCUGGGAAGCUCAAAUCAAGGUGGAUUGGUCCAUUUGUUAUUCACCGAGUAUAUUCCAAUGGAGUGGUGGACUUAUUGAAUUCCAAUGGCAAGGAUAGCUUUAAAGUCAAUGGAUAUCGUCUCAAGCCGUUCAUGGAGUCAUUCAAAUCAGAAAAGGAGGCAAUCAACCUCCUUGAACCUCAAAAAGCCUAAGUGAAAAGGGUUUGCUGGACGUGGCUUUACCACAGUCCAAAAUUUUUGUAAAUUUUGUAAAUUUUCAAGUUGUUUCUAUACUUUUGAUUUUAGUUUUUGAUCUUAAAUCAUGUUUUUAGGUGUGUUUUAAUCGUUUUAAAUGAUCCCAGGUGGAAGAAAUUUCAAGGGGAUUGAAAGAAAAAAAAUCGGGUCGAAAUUGGAGCCGAAACAGAGCAAAAACAGGGGAAAAACAGAGCUCUGCGAAAUUUCGCAGGGUGAAGGAAACCUCUGCGAAAUGAGCAUUUUGUUGCGAAACCAUUCCGCAGCACUGUAGAAGCCUCUGCGAGUGUAUUUCGCAGCUGCGAAAGUGAAUUUGGCACACGAGUGCCACUUCGCAGUACAGUAGCAUCCAUUUGGCAGCUGCGAAACUCAUUGCGAAAUGGAAAAGCGUGAUUUCGCACCAAAAGUCCCAUUCCGCAGGGUAUUUCGCAAUUGCGAAAGUGGUUUUGGCACACGAGUGCCACUCCGCAGCACAGUAACAUCAAUUUCGCAGCUGCGAAACUCACUGCGAAGUUGCUGCGAAAAUGGCAAGUUGCUGCGAAAUUGGCGUUUAGUUGCGAAACUUAAACUGACCCCUGAGCUUCCGUUUUUCCUAUUUAUACCGGUCAAAAGUGCUGCGAAAAGGGUUUCAAAAAUCAGAGCACCAUUCUCGCAGCCCCUUCAUCUUCUUCGCCAAGCCACGCCGUCCGAACCUCCGGUCGUCUUCUCCGUUUAGCAGCGCCGGCCAAAGAUCGAUAUUCCAAAAUGGCACGAACGCGAGGGGCAAAAUCUUCAUCCCCUUCGAAUCGCAAAAGGAGUCUGCGAAAGGAGCCAAGUCCAGGUUCUGCUCCAGAACCUGCUCCAAAGCCUUCGCCGUCGAGACCACAACCUUCUCCAGUGAAGCCGGCGCCACUAAAGCCGCCGGCAAGACGAUAUUUGACAAGGUCAGGCGGUUGGCCAUUGAAGAAGAAGCCCAGGGUUGAGAGCUCUGAACCAAUUGAUUUGACUGAGCAAUCCCCUGAGCAGUCCCCAAAUCCUUCACCAGUUCAAACUCCAGUGCCGUCACCGGUUCCCUCGCCAAUUCCCUCACCUGAAGCAACUCCAAUUCCAUCGUCGGUACCAUCUCCGGCACCCCAAGAAAAAGCUCAGGAGCCUCAAGCGCCAAUUCCAGAGCCCCAAAUUGCAGCUGAAGCACCUCUGGAAGAAGUGAUCCGAAGGCCAAUGCUGCCCCAGCCCCCAAUCGAAGGAAACUUGGAUUGUCGAACACGGGCAUUCCAUUCUGAGCUUUGCUUCGAUUUAACAGCAUUCAGAGUGAGGCCAGAGCUUGCCCAAUCCUUCCAGCUGCUGAGGAGAUAUCAUAUGGAGCAUCUGCUAGCUCCAAGGGAUUUUUUCUAUCCCCGGGUAGUCACGGACUUCUACCAGACCAUGACAACCAAAGAAGUAAGAAAUCCAACUCUGAUCCAUUUCAUAAUUGAUGGAAGGCAUGGUAUUUUGGGAGCAAGACACAUUGCUGAAGCUCUGCAAAUUCCUUUUGAGCCAACCCAAUUCGACAAUUUUAAAGCUUGGGUAAAUCCUACUGAGUUAGAGAUGGUUCGCACACUAACCAGAGGAGCUGCAAAUCGAUCACACCUGUUGAGGGGGGAGCUACCUCCAGUGAUGUUUUUGAUUGAUGCCUUUUUGAGGCAUAAUAUCUAUCCCCUGCAGCAUUGGACCCAAAGAAGGGGAAUUCUCCUGGAAGCUUUGUACAAGAUGUCAGAAGGAUUCUUCUUUGGGCCCCAUCAUCUUAUCAUGGCAGCCCUUCUAUACUUUGAGGAAAAGGUUCACAAGAAGAAACUUCAAAGAGCAGAUUGCAUUCCACUCCUCUUCCCAAGGCUGCUAUGCCAAGUUUUGGAGCAUCUCGGAUACCCCUCUGAGCCUCAGCAGGAAAGAAAGAGAAUAUGCCGUGAGCCAUUUACUCUUGAUAAAUGGAAUAAUAUGACGGCCUACAAAAUUGAUCAGCCUGGGCAGCCUCAGCCAGCAGCAAGGAGAGCCUCCCCAAGACAUGCACCUGAAGGUAUAACACUUGCUACUCCUGCCAUCCCUCGAGCUUCACCAGCUGCACCUGCUGCAUCACAGCCAUCCACAUCAGCUGAGCCGAGGAUGGCCAUCCCUAUAUCCGAAUAUCGAGAGCUGUGCCGAGCAUUGGAGACUCUUACAGCUUCCCAGAGCAAUCUUGCUCAAGAGUUGGCAGCCAUCAAAGCAUGCCAGGAGCAGAUGUUAGCCUCUCAGGCUCAACAAGCUGCCAUCCUAAGGCAGCUUCAAGUCCAUUUCGAUCUGCCACAAGCUGUAGAGCCCUCCACUGAGACUCCACCAGAGCCACACUCUCAGCCUUCAGAGUCUCUUCCUCCAGAGCCAGAAGCCCCAACUGAUCCACCUACAGAGGAGGCGGAUCCUUCUGCUUAGCACCAUCACCCCACUCAUCAGACAUUAUAUAUAUUUGCUGUUUAUGUUUUUAUGCAUGUUUGUUUUGUUUUAGUUGAAAUGAAAUCCCAGUAUUUUGGUACUAUAUAUGGGAUUCCUUGUGAUUACUUGUCCUUAGCAUUGUACUCGAAUGAAUUGAAAGUAAUACAAGUUGAAUUUUUCUUGUUAAAAGUUAGCAUUAAAAUUCUCCUUAUUUCCUUUUCUCACAUAUUCUAUUCUUUUUGAAACAUGUGGUUUUCCCCAAUCAAUAUUCGAAUUUGAUAUCAGCAUGGAGGUACCACUUCCUCCCUUUUAUUACAGUCACUCAAAUCACAUUGAGGACAAUGCUCAGUUCGGUUGGGGGGUAUGAGGAAGGAAGUAUUCUAAAUCUUUUUGGUAUUGCAAUUAUAUUGGUUAAUUAGUUGUAGAUUUUACGUUUUACUCUUGUUACUCUAUUCUCCAUGAAUUUUGAGGAAAAAUUUUCAAAUUAAACCAAGAGAAAUUGAACUGUUGUUUUUCACUUGACUUAGAGUAUGGAUUAUGCUUACUAAAGUGGUUCAAUUGUUGAAACUUCUACUGAAAUUGAAUUGAGUUCUUCCAUUUUAAGCUAUCCACACACUGUGCACAUUAGUUUCUGAUUAUAAGAUGAAAAGCUAUUUCCCUCUUGACUUAGGAUAAUUUUGGGACUUGGUAUAUUUGACCUCAUUUGAUAAAAAUUGAAACACCCUGCAAAAGGCCAAUGAGCCUUUGAAAUAAAGAAAGAUGUUUGCUUGCCUUGAAACCCGAGCAAGGUCUGAGGGGCAUAUGGUGAAAGCCUUUAAAGCCUGGUGCCCUAAGCCUUAAUUGGUUGGGAGUCACCGACCUCAAUGCUCGUUACAAGGGUGAAUAGGUAGAGCUAGCAUAUGGUAGAUGCUUGGGUAUUAGAAAUUCAUUCUUAAAAGUCCAGGGAAAAAUCCGAGGAGUUAGUGGUUGAAAGAUCCUUAAAACUUGGUGCCCUAAACCUUAAUUGGUUGGGAGUCAUCGAUGGACCCCCAUUACAUGGACAAGUCAGAAAGAGUACCCCAUAAAGCUACUUUAAAAAAAAAAAAAAAAAAAAAAAAAAGAUGAUGAAAGUGUGUUCUUUUCUUAUUGAUUUUGGUCAGAUUGCUAAAGUGUUGAAAAGAGAUAGGUUGGGGGGGGAGACUAGUUUAGCAUAUUAUUCUCGGAAUCUAAGGAACCAAUACACAUAGAUUUUUGUGGAAGAUUGAAGUUUAGUUCUUAGAAAGUGAAAUGAUUUUAAAACUUCAGUUUGCAUAAUGCACUCCCUUGAUUGACAGUGUUUAGCAUAGGUGUUAUGACUCUUGUUGAGAUUUGGGUUUGUAUUUCUUUAAUGAUUCAUGUGAGAAGUAAAUCAUCAUGCCACUUAAGAAUUAUUUUCCUUUCAGCAUGAUGUUGUAAAUUUUAGAUUAGUUUGCUAUUUAUUUUUAUUUUUCUCUCCUUUAUUGCUAAGGGACUAGCAAUAUGUCGGUUGGGGGGAGUGAUUACUACUCAAAAAGUGCUAUUUGAUAGCCUUUAAUUAAUCCUUUUUAACACUUUUGAGUAGUAGUUUAGGCCUUUUAACUCAAUUGGCAUGUUAAGGAUCCUUUAAAGCAAUUUUGAUCACUUUGUGCAAGUUUUGGUGUUUUUGUUAGUAUUUCGAUCACCAAAGCAAGUCAAGAAUGAGGAGAGCUAUGAGGAAUCUUGGGCAAAGCUUAGAAUUCAAUUGCCAAGAGUGAAUCCGGAUUGCAAGGAGAAAAAGCAAAGAGGAUCAGUCAUGGAGCAUAUUCUUGAUGACAGUCGUAGCAGCCACUUUUGGAGCACUUUCUGAAGUCCAAAUGAUGCAAGCUAUAUACCAUUUCAAAGCUCAGGAAGUCAACAAUCCAAUGCUUCAAACGGUGUGCGAUUCGGAAUUGAAACGAAGAAGUUGCAGCCAUUACAAGCCAGACACUCUAAAGUGUUGCGGAAUCAGCCAUGUGUUGCGAGAAUUUCGCAGCACUUUUGUACAGUAAGGUGUUUCUCCUUCUAACGAUGCACGAACCAUGCCGCGAGAAGGGAGCUGGAAACUUCAAGAUGGAAGCCAACUUGGCAGCCUAGUGAAGAUAGCUCGGUCUUGCAAGAUAAUUUCGCAGCCCUCUUGGGUGUCUGCGAAAUUUCGCAGGCCUCAUUUUUCACCUGCGAAAUGGCUCCUGAAGCCUCCCGAAGCUUGCUACCGACAUUGGGAGAUAUUUUCCAUUAGAUUUUUGUUGUCUAAAUCCCAAAAUACUCCUUGUAAACCACCAAUUACAUGAUUCCUUAGUUUUUAAGUUAGUAAAAAGACCAAAUAUCUUUGUAACAAUUAGUUUUAUAUUUUGUUGUUAUAAAUACCUCUCGGGAGCCUGUUCUCAGGGAGGAGUUCCUUCUGUAAACGUUUGGUAAGCAAGUAAAGUCUAUUUUCUUUCUACUGCCUUACCUUCUCACUUUGUAUUUUCAUUUUAUUUCUAAGUUAUGAAUUCUCUGAGGAGUUUUCCCCAAAGAAUGAGUAACUAAACCUCCAAUUCCUUGGAGCUAAGGUUGCCGGGGAAGGUUCCAAGUGCAAGAAUGCAAAGCUCUGUGGUUUUAGCUAGUAAUGAAGAGGAAGUGAAAUCCUUUAGUGAUUUCAAUGUUUUUAGUUAACUUAAAACACUUUGGAGUCACCUGGGCCAACACUUGGUAAGGCAAGUGAUUUCCAACCAUGGAAAUGCACUAGUUUACCCCUUGCGAGCCUCUGGUAGGUGACUUCAAGGUAGGAUUUUCUGGAAUUACCAACACUUGGUAAGCUUUUGGACUCCUAGGAGACAUCCAUUAGUUAUCUCUUGCGAGUUUGUGAAGGGAAUCCAAGGUUAAAGAUCACCUUGAAUGGUAAGUGCUCGUGAGAGGCAUGAACCAUUGCAAGUUGUAUCAGUGAGAGAAUUAAAGUGAAAUCUAAUUGAAGGAGUCUUUGUACAUCACCGGUUAGAGAAUUGACUAUAAGUUGAAUCUCUAAUGCGAGGAAAUGAACCAACUGACCAGAGCCGUGUCUUUUGCAUGAGGAACCACCCCAGUGAACCUAAAUCUCCAAGGAAUGUUUUUUUCUUCCUAAAUUAUUCCAAACUUCUGUUAAGUUAGUUAGUUUAAAUCUCAACCUUUACAAAUCAAAGUUUGUGUUUUAUUCCUUAAGCUAACCGUGAAAUGAAACAAGACCAAUUCACUUGGAAUUGGUAUCAUUGAUUGCCUGCAAAUCAUUCCCAAUGAACGAUCCUAGAGCCACUAUACUAUAGUAGCUUUGUAUUUACUACCCUAGUGUAUGGUGUUAUAGGUAUAAAUUUUGUUGAUCACUUCCUCAAUCAAGGAGCACCAGCUGAACACAAAUCAGCUGAGACACCAAUUAGGCAUGAGUCAGUCAUCUCCAUUAUUGUUUUAUUUUUUCUUUCCACCACCCCAUUUUGUUGUGGGGUGUAUGGUGCAAUGAGCUGGUGAUCUAUGCCUGCAUCUUCACAAAAUUUGUUGAAUUUUUCUGAAGUAUAUUCUGUACCAUUAUUCGACCUUAUAACCUUGAUUCUGUAUUCACUUUGAUUUUCAACCAUGGCCUUAUAUCUCAAAAACACAUCAGCAACCUCAGCUUUGUAAGUGAGAAAAUAAAUCCAACAAAAUCUUGUGAAGUCAUCAAUAAAUGCAAUAUAGUACUUACUCCCUUUCAAAGAUGGUGUCUUUUGAGGUCCACUCACAUCUGUGUGAACCAAUUGUAGUUUCUGUGUUGAUUUCCAUGCUGCUUUUUGAGGAAAAGGAAGUCUUGUUUGCUUCCCAUAUUGAUAGGCUGCACAUAUAGGAAGUUCUUCUUCCAAAUCAGGGAGUCCUUCUACAAUCUAAUUCUUCUUCAUGUAGAGCACGGUAUUGUGGUGGAAAUGCCCUAAUCUUUUAUGCCAAAGCAUUGUAUUGUUCUCGUGUUGUGCAGCAGUAAUUUGCUCAUCUUCUAACAUAUUUAAGGCAAAACUUUUGCCUUUCAUUUUUAUGUUGAACACCUCUUUGCCUUCAGCAUCCUUGAUUAUGCAAUUUUUGUCUUCAAAACAAACUUUAAACCCUUUCUCAACAAGCUGUCCAACACUUAGCAAAUUUUGGUCAAUGUCAGGCACAAACAAAACAUCAGAAAUGAGCUUUAAACCUGUUAGGCUUUCAAUAGCUAAUGUUCUUUUACCUUUUACUGGAAUAUACUCACCAUUUCCUAUUCUAACUUUGGAAAUAGUUGUCCUAUCAAUCUCCCUAAAGCGAUCUUGAUCAUGUCAUGUGGUUUGUGCAACCACUGUCCACGAGCCAGCUUUCAGAGGUGCUACCGUUUGCAAAACAUGUUGCUGAAAAUAGUUGUUCCUCCUGGUAUUGUUCAGCUGCUACAUUGGUUUCUCCCUGCUGCUGCUGAGUUCUACAGAUCCUUUCUAUGUGUCCAUGUCUACCACAUUUGUUGCAUUUCACAUCUGGUCUCCACCAACAUUUUUGUUGAGGAUGAUUUGUUUUCUUGCAAUGAGGACAGGGUGGAUAGGUUCCAGUUUUUUUAUUGUUGUUGUUGCUUGGCUUAUUGUUGUUCUUUUUGUUCUUCCUCCUUCUUGUGUUACCUUCAUUGGUCUGUGUCUUUGCUUGAAAAGCUCCUUCUACAGAACUUCCUUGCCUCAUGAGUCUUCUUUGUUCCAAAGCUUGUAAAGCAUUUAGUAGUUCUGCCAAGGUGAUACUUGACAAAUCUUUUGUGUUUUCCAAAGAAGAAAUUGUAGCUUCAUAUUUUUCAGGAAUUGUGACAAAAUUGUUUUGAACAACUCUUUCAUCAGAAAACUCUUUACCUAGCAACCUCACCUUGUUUGCUAUGGUAAGAAGUUGUUCUGCAUAAUCUUUUAUGGUUUGAGACUCUUUCAUCCUCACCAUUUCAAAUUCUCGAAUUAGAUUCAUUACCUGCACAUUUCUGACUCUUUCAUUGCCUUGAUAUUCUUCCCGUAGAUGCUUCCAGAUUUCUGCAACAGAUUCAAGUUGCAUGAUUCUGGUGAGAAUUAAUGGUGAGACUACAGAAAAUAAGCAAGCCUUGGCCUUAGCCUUCCUCGUCUUUUUCUCCUUAUGGUUUUUCAUCUGUGACACAGUUGGAUUGGCUCCAAGUGGAGAAAUUUCAUAAUCUUCCUCUAUUGCUUCCCAGACAUCAAGAGCCUGUAGAUGAACAGUCAUCCUGACAGCCUAAGUUUGGUAAUUUUCUCCAUUGAAGACUAGUGGUGCUGCUGUGAAGCUUGCUUCUUCCAUUUCUGCAAGGUUUUCAGAUUCAGGUUUGGUAUACGGUGUUUAGGCUCACACACCUCACUGGUCCCUCAAGACAAAAAUUGCUCUGAUACCAAACUGUUGGAAGCAGGCGAGGUUAACACACCAAGCAACAGAGAACAGAGAUAUGCUGCUACUGAUCUAUAUUUUUUAUUUGAUCAUAAGGCUGAAUUUAUACAGAUUGUGUAACAUAUAUGACCUCAAAAAAAGCAUCAAAUCAAGCUACUUGUUGAACAAAAAACUACCUCCUACAAAAUAGCAUCAGAAUUUAACUUAAAAGCAAAAACAUAAUAAUAGCAACAGCAAAAACAGAAACAUAAAAAUAGCUUCAACAUUCUAGUAAUCUCAUUGACUUCAAUUGCAUGUGGUUGACGAUUUCAGCCUUUUCCUCAGCAGCUACUAAGGCAUAACUCUCAACAGGGCCUCUUAAUUUCCAUUCUGGCAUCUAUAUGACCUGAUAAAUAGAAAGAAAAAAAAACAGAAGAAAAGCGGCACCUGGGUUCAUAGUAAGCAUCAAGACAGGAUGCUGAAAGAAGGGAGAGAGGAGAUUGCAAGUCCAAUCCUGAUAAAAUAUCAACAAAGAGUAUUAAAUGGGGCCAACAUAAAGACCCAUUAAGGUCAGCAGAUGGCAUGGCAUUUUUCUCCUUAAGUUUUCCAUGAUUAGGCUUGAAGUCAAAAUUUCACAUGUAAAUUUGUAUUUCUACAUUUCCCACUGACGACACCCAACUUCAACUUGAGUUAGAAUAACAUUGUGUGAACUUAUCUGGCCCUCAAAAUUUACUGUGAAGUGCUUUCUGCGUGUGAAGAUUCAGAAAAGCACCAAGGGAACAUGUAUGGUCUGCCUUUUUCUGAUGUUAUGUUUGUCUCUAAUUCUGUUCCAUGUCAUGGUAAAUGUUCACAUUGCUUGUAUGGAACACACCAGGAUCACUUUUUCAGGUUUAGGGGGAUACAAAAGGCUUCAUAUUGGGUUCAAUGCUUUUAAUGUGUUCAUUGGACAAAUCUGAAUUAUCAUACGCAUUUAGAUAAGAACAAUAAUGUGAAACCCUAGUUACACCUCCCCUGCAUAACCCCAACCCUGCUUGCUCUAUUUCAGUUUACUCACAAGUUUUACUGGUUCUUAUAAGUCAAGAAAAGGCAACUGAUGUUGGAUCGACUCUCUUCCAUGUAAAAAAUGCAACUUUUAUACAUAUAAAAGAACUUCUUCCCCUCACCAAUGUGGGAUUUCAUAGAUUUAUUCUGGAAACACAUCAAAGGAACAUCUUUUCUCUUGGGUGACCCUAAGUGGUGAGUCAGAUCAUUUGCAUGCCAUUGAGUUGCACAGUUGGAUAAAUGCACCUGCCUCCUGGGCUCCAGAGUUAAAAGGGUGGAUCCCUGGAUUGCAACCCUCUUGGCAUCUUGGUUUCUAUUCCAACAUCCACAUGACUUGACAAAACAAAAAACAGAAUAAAAUCAGCACUAUAUUCAUGCUAAGCACCAAUACAUGAUGGAAAUCAUUGCUUAAAGAUUUGGGGUCGUUUUAGGUUUUGACUGCCUCCUACCACCUCACCUAAUGACAAGUUUUUAUGCUUACAAAUCAAAUAUCGUUCUUCAUUAUAUUAAAAUCAUUUUAAGAUUUCAGAUCCAUCUGCUAAUUAUGAUUAUGAUAACAUUUAUUCACCUGUGCUUCUCAUUUUCGACACACAAGGCAUCUAGGUUUGCAGGAUUUCCUUAUUAGAUGAGAUAAAUGAGUACGUAUGGUUAUGUAUCCAGCAUUCAUUAACCAUGGUAUGUGACAUUUAGAAUUAAGAUAGCAAGCAAACUUUCCCUGCAGCUAGAGUAAAUUGUGAUUUCUUAGCCUCUAUGAGUGGUUCCCAAAUCAAAUUAACAUAGUGAAAUAUACGUAGUCCAGUGAAAGGAAAUGUAAAUUAUAAACUAACAGCACUACACUACUGGUAACAAUCGAUACUCUCUAUAUAAUGCAAUAAACAAUGUCACAAUUGCCUACAAGCAAGGCACAAACACUAGAACAAGUAAAGCACAAACCUUUCCCAACAGUUCCCAGUGACUGAUGCAUAUCAUACCCUCAACUCACAGAAGGGGAUGAUAUCAGUGCACUGCAGCACUUAUUUUACACAUACUACCACUACUACUACUACUACUACUACUCAUUAGCCAAAGUCACUCAGUUGGGAUGAGUGUGAGGUAGAGGUUUGUGGGGUGCUAUGUGGAAAGGAGUUUGGCUUCUUCUCAGGAGAUGGUAGCUUCUUUGCAGGAGUUGAAGGAGGCUUAAUCUUCUGUGGUGGAUUGAUUGUAUGAGUCUUUGGCACUCUCUUCUCUAGUACAGGUGAAUACCCAGGGGUGCAUCCAUAAUGCGGUGGCUUCUAUCCCUUAGGUGGUUUGCCAAAUUCAAAAUCGAAGGAUUUUUUUUUUUUAAGUAUACGUAUCUUUGAAAGCUUUUAUUUUGUAUGGCAAAUGGAAUGAGAGGAGCAGUCAUAUUCUAUUUGGCCAGAGCAACAUAUCACAAAUGAACAAGCUAUUUACUGCCACACUGGGCAAAACAUACAUAAUCCUUGUACUUCAAACAUCCAUGAAUUCUCAUCAUUUUCAGGACACGUUGCAUGGUCUAUCAUUCUAUAUGUCGGCAUAGUAAGUGCAGCUAAUAAGCCUAUUCAGAGCUGAAAUUCAAAAUCUAUUCACAGGAUAAUGACCUUAUUAUUGGAUUUUGCUCACUGUCAUACACACAUAUCAGAUAAAGCCCCACAUGCUCAUAAGCUACAAGCAACCUACAAGCACUAAAAUGAGUGUUAGACGUAUGAAACAUUCCCCAAUACUAGUAGUAUUACCUGUUCCAUAGAACACUAAAUUAGAAGAGAGAAGAUGUGAGACUCCAGCUUUUCUUUCUACAUAUUACUCAUAUCAAGUUGGAAUAGUUAGGCGGUAGAGGCUUGGGGUGGCUUGUGUAGGGGACUAGGCAGCUUCUCUCAGGAGUUGAUUUCGUCUUAUUCUGGAUGUCCAGGUUUCGUCCUUUCGAAUUUCCCAUGCAAAUCAGCAUUCUCCUUGGGAAACUUCACUCCGUUGGGAAACUUGUGUGAAUCUUUGGCAUUCUCUACCAGAGAAGGCCCAGGGCAGUGACCAUAAGGUGGUGGCCUUUUUUCAGGUGGUGGCUCCUCUCCCACUGGAGGCUUGUGGUAAUCAGCAAGAGAGGCAGUGGAGAGAAUCAUCACCCCAAGGAACAGCACUAGCAAGUAUUUGUGAGCCAUAUUUGGGAUCUGAUGAUGAAGACUAGAAGAUAGGAGUUGCCUCAUAUAAUGGGUUGGAGACUAUAUCUCAAGGGGACGUGUAUUUAUGCAUAUGAUCUAUAUAGGACCAUCCUCCUAAUAUUUUCAAAAUAAUGUUAUUGUCUCUCUUGGGUGACAGUUUGAUUUGGUCUAUUUCCAUGCCACUGAGUAGAAAAGUUUGACAAUUGGCUACACCACCUACCUGGAUUACAUGGUUGAAAGUGAAGAUCAGUACAGUGUGAUCACACUUGACCUCUUGUUCCCCAUUCCAGUAUCUAAUUAACCUGACAAAAGUAAAAGGAAAGGAAAAAGGGAAAAAAUAGAAUAAUGUUCAAAUAAAAACGAGAAAAAAUAGCAUAAUGUUGAUGAAUCAUGAUAAGCAUCAAGGCAUGAUAGUGAGAGAGAGGAAAGAAGACAGUGUAAUUUGCAAUCCUGAUAAUCAUUAUAUAGCAGUAACUUUAAUCAUUUUUCUAUCACAGGGAACAUGACACUCAUCUUCCUAUGGAGAUAUUGCAUAAGUUUUUUUCUUUGUAUGUCAACACUAACCAAUGAAGCAUGUUAGCUGGUUUGAAACUGAAACUGUAGCCCUCUGUUUGGUUCUUGAAAAACUUGAGAGAAAAUGGAAGUAAAGUUAAAAGGAAAGAAAAAGUGAAAAAAAAUAAAAAUAGAUUGAAAGUUAACAAAUUAUUUUUACAUGUUCCCUCAAAUUUCUUUCACUUAUUUUUCCUUUUCUAUAUAAAGAUUAAAUGAUUUAAAAAUCAUAAAUUUCUAACUAAUUAUAACUAUAUUUGAUUUUCUUUCAUAUUUUCCAAGAUAAAGUCAGACAUGAGAAAAUCAUUUUCCUUAAAAAAGAAAUUCUUUCCUUUACAGUUUCUUAGAACCAAACCUGGCACAAAAGUCCAAAUUGGGGUUUCUCCAUGUUCCAUUUUUUAUGGCUACCUUUAUGGACCAUAUAAUAUAGAAUGUACUUCUGCAUACCUUCAAGAUCAAGCUGAACUAUAAGAAAAAGACAAGCCAUGGCCCACGGAGCAGGGAUACCAAGCUGCCUUCUCCUAGAUUAAGUUCCAAGAUUUCAGUCUUCAAACCUGCUAAAAGCUAAAGGCAUGUUUCCAGCCUGCGGCAGAUAACAUGCACUGUCCAACAAUAAAUUGCAAACACAUUCGAUGCAGUUUAUUAGUACAAUAAGAUUAAAUCCACCAAAUCUUUUACAGUUCAACCAACACUUGAACUAGUAGCUAGCUUCACUACUGGGUAAUAAUAUAUAAACCAAACUCUUGAUAGGAACCAACCUAUCGCAGAUCGAACUUCUUACAUCCACCAUGAAUUACUGAACCAAAAGAAGAAUCGAAGAGACUGCCAAGGAGGAAAGCCUUCCUAUAACUAGAUAUUUAUAUUCCAAAUUAGGGAGAGCACCCACUGCCCAGGCCUCGCCCAGCAUAAACAGAUAGUAUACAUAUACAUGCAAAAAGCUCCAACCUUCAAGAUUUUAACUAUUAACUUAACACAAUUAAAAAUGUAUCCAAAAAGCAAAUCCCCUUGAACUCCUGAAGCAAUUACUCCAACCAAAUAAAGAUUUUAAGAGUUCCAUGUUCAUAUCCUGCAAGGAAAUCAUUCAAUGUUCAGACCUCUAAUUUCUGUCUUUCUAAAUGCCCAGCCAAAAGGCAUAAAGUAUCAUCCAAAUUGGAUGCACAGCAUAUGUUCUUAAAUCAUGGGAUUUCACCAUAAGUUACUACACUCUAACAGGGCCCAGAAAUUGACCUCCAGAUAUGCCUAUCAAAAAAUUAUCCCCACAUACAUUUUUCUGCUGAAAAGACAAUAUUGUUACAUUUGACAUUCAACCACUACUUGAACUCAACAACCAGGGAAAAGAAUAUAGUAUUUCUACCAAUGAGGAUGAGAGGGGCUGGUGAAUUAACAGGUAAAAGUUUGUUUUGGGUUCAUUGUUUGCAUAAUAAUGUAAAAAUGGAGUAGUAUAUUAUAAAUUAAUGUAAAAAUGGAUUAGCAUAACAUAAAUUGCCAUAAGAGAACCACAAACUACAAAGAAACUUAUUUUCCAAACAAGGAAAAUUAUUCAUAGCCAUUAUUACAUAAGAAAGGAAAUUGAUAAAAUUAUUAUCCAGUUCCCCAUCAGGAAAUAUGAAAGUACUCCUAAAAGCCUCAAUUCUAACCAGAAAACCAUAGAAAUGUAUUAGAAAUAUUGUACAGGGUUCUCUCCAAUAUUAGCUUCAGUUGCUAAGGAGAUCAGAACCUUGAAAGUAAGUCACAAAGGUCGUGUGGGUUUCCCAGAGUCUUCAACAACCAGUAUUCACAUAUGUACACAUUAAAAUUAAAUAAAGCAGGUAUCAAUUCCACAGGCUUUAAGAUUUGAAUUGCUUCUCCCUGGAAUCAUACACCACUCAUAUUGUCACUGACUUUCAAUUACUUCUCCCUGCGAUCAUAUGCCACUCAUAUUGUCACUGCCUUAGGGAACAAAGUGAAAAUCUGCAAUUUCAAUUAAUUCCAACAUAAAAAUAAAAAUCAAUCCUCAAAAAAUGGAUUGCCAGGAGGUAAAUAUAAUAGAAGACGAACAACUCUCACAACCAAGUUAAAGAAACCAGCCGCUAGGUACCUUUGAGUUCUAUACUACCAGGAACAAAUUGGAUGAGAUUAUUUAAAGGCUAUUCCACAGUGGAAAUUCAUUCGUUCAAAAAACAUUUGUCAUGCAUAUAGGCAAUCUAUCCUAUGCAUUCAUACAUCAUGGUCUCAUGCAAUCUUAAUAAAAGUGGUCCUGGAAAAAGAGAGAAAAAAGUAAUUACAAGCCUGUGCGACCAGAUUUCUUUUGUUUUUUUUUUUUUUUUCCUUUGCCAAACAACCAUGUUCAUAGUUUCAGAAGUUCAUUCUGUCUUUAAGAGACCAUGGCAGUGACUUGGCCAUUCAGCUAAGANNNNNNNNNNNNNNNNNNNNNNNNNNNNNNNNNNNNNNNNNNNNNNNNNNNNNNNNNNNNNNNNNNNNNNNNNNNNNNNNNNNNNNNNNNNNNNNNNNNNUCACCAAGGACUCCUCAACCUCAAAAUAAUAGAGAAAGUCUAGGACACCAUGUCACUACUGAGGACAACCCAACACCACAACAUUUCAGUCCGUUCAAAAAGAGUAAUUGGAAUUGUUGCAAAAAAUGUUCAACUAGUCCCAACAGGAGGCAAAUUCCUCCAUUUCUUCAUCGGGUCCGGAUCCUUUGCUCAAAAAGGUAAUUUUCUUACUGCCCUAAAAGAAAAAGGGAAAAUGUGAGUCAUUGGAUUGUUGACUCAGGAGCUUUUGAUCACAUGACUAGAGUGCCACAAUUUUUCAAAAUUAUACACCUUGUUUUGGGGAUGAUACAAUUCGUAUGGCUGAUGGUUCUCUCUCAAAGGUGACUGGUACAAGUUUUAUUGUCAUCUCUAAGGACCUAACUCUUGACUCUAUUCUUUUGGUUCCAAACUUGGAUUGCAAUCUAUUGUCCAUUAGUAAACUCACUUAUGAAAAGAACUAUGUUACUAAAUUUUUCCCAAACCAUUGUGUUUUUUAGAAUUUGAAUUCGGGGAAGACGAUUGGCAAUGUUGAAGUGUGUUUAGGACUCUAUGCCUUCAAAGUGAAUUAUUAUAUUGAAAGACAAUCUUAACCAACAGUUGGUGAAAAAUGGUGUCUUUUUGUCUUUAGUUCUAAUAAAGAUAGUGAUGUUAUGUUAUAGCACUAUUGUCUAGGACAUCCUAGUUUCUUAUAUCUCAAAAAACUCUUUCCAUGGUUUUCAGUGUGAAAUUUGUCAACUAUCCAAGCAUCUUUGCAAGCCCUAUCCAUAGUUUUAAAAGACUUAAGGCACACCAAGACGCAAAGUCCUCUUGGAGCCUUAGGCGCAAGGCACACCUAAGGCGCGAACUUUAGUAAAGUGAGGUGCAUCCUGUUUUACAUAUAUAUUUUUAUAUAAUACAAUCAAGUGCCCGAAAAUUUUCCUCUAAUUUUCCCCUUCUUCUUCAUCCUCUUCUCUUCUUCACAUUGUUCGGGAGGCUAGGACAUUUUUUUUUUUUUACAUGUCUAAAACAAGCAUAUAUUGGGUUUUGGAAGAAGAACAAGCCAAAAUGACAUCGUUUUGGAGCCUAAUCUUUUAAAUAAAUAAAUAAAUAAAUAAAAACCAGCCAAAAAUGACACCGUUUUGGCCCCUGUUCUUUUAAAAGAACAAACCAAACAACGUCAUUUUGAUCUCAGGAAAUUAAAAAAACAAAACCCUCGUCAUUCUCCCUUUGCUACUCUACAACUCAUCGUCAAAGGGUAAAAAGAUGACCAAAAGAAGAAGAAGAAAAAAAAAAAACGACGACAGAGGAUAGAGGUGCACCUGUUGAGGGCGUUGCGCCUAGCCAAGAGGCGAGCGCCUUGCACACUUAAUCAACGCCUCUGUGAAGGGGCGGCUCCUGCAAUCAGGCGAAGCGCUGAAGGGUGAUGUCACAUCGUCUAGAGCCUAGGCGCACCUUUCACAACUAUGACCCUAUCCAACUCAACCAUACAAACCAUCUCAUCUUUUUUCCAUACAUAGUGAUGUUUGGAGGUCAUCUAAAAUAAAGAACAUAACAGGGACUAGAUGGUUGAUGAUCAUACUAGAAUUUCUUAGAUAUUUCUAAUGAAAAAAAAAUCAAAAAUUAGUCAAAUUUUCUAAAAGUGGACCAGAAUUUCUUUAUUGAAUUAAAAAGUUGAAAUUAAUAUUUUGGAAAAGUUAGGGCCGCUCAAGAGGUAGAAAUAGCGCUCGAGUGGUAGAAAUAGCGCUCGAGUGGUAGAAAUAGCCCUCAAGUGGUAGAAAUAGCGCUCAAGCGCUAGGACCGCUCAAGCACUUAACUAGCGCUUGAGCGCUCAUAUAGAAUCUGCCAGAAUAUGGAAGAAUAUUUUUUGGAUAAUCAUGAAAAUUGGAUUUGGAAACUUUAGAAUAUCAAUCUCCUUCGGCCUAGAGGUUUAUAUAAACCCUAUUAUAACCCUUUAGGGUUAAGAAAUUCACCAAGUGGUUUACCCUAACUUGUCAUACCAUUCCCGAUCUCUCAUCAAGGAAUCAAAGUGUUUAAUCUUGGGUUGUUUGAAGACCUGCAUCCCUUCAACAAGGCUAAGGUGUAUUCACUAGAACAAUUGAAAUUGUUGCAUUGCGGACAUGAAUCAAGUUGCAGGUUCUAGAGAGUAAGUCUUUAGAAUAAAGCAGACAAAGAGUUCUAUGUGACUUUAUCUCAUAUAGUGGAUUUAGCUUUGAGGUCUUAGACCUCGUGGGUUUUUAUCUCCAUAGUUAGUGUGGGGGUUUUCCACAUAAAAAUUAUUGUGUCUCUUGAUCUUAUGUUUGAUUUUAGAUAUUCUAUUUAUCCCUGAUAUCUCACAGGUUAACUUUAGGUUAAAAAUUCAACUCCCUAUUUAAUAAUUUUUAAAAUACACCCAUUCACGAGUGUUAUCCUACUGGACAUUGGUUUUUCACCAUAUAUAACACUCAUACCAAAACCCAUGCAACAUGGACUCCAACCUUAAGCUUAACUUUCUACGAAUGGAAAAAAAAAAAGACAUAACAUAAAUAGACAGAUUUAACAACAUGCUCCUAAUCAAGGUGAAUGUCCCUCUUUUUGAAAGAUAUGACCUUUUCCAUACGAGGAGCUUUCUUUAAAAUUUCACCUCUACCAAUUCCCAUGCCUUUACAAAGUUGUGGAAAGCUCCAAAGAGAAGGCCCAGACAUGUAAUGGGUAGAUUCCCUACCUUAGAACCUUACACCAAAGCUAAACCCCUAAUAUUUGUGACUUCUAUAAGAAUCAAUUCAUUUUUUUCCAUAUUUAUUUCUAAAUCAGACAUUGCCUCAAACCACAUGAAGUUAUAACUUGGAUGUUACAGAUGCUCUUAAUUAGUGUCACAAAAAAAUAGGGUAUCAUCAUCAAACAAGAAAUGUGACACUUCCAUCCCCUCCUCCUGUCUUCCUCCCACUUUGAAACUUGAGAUGUAACCCCUUUUAUCUAAUUCUCCUCAAAAUUCAAUUGAAAGCCUUCAUUGCCAAUAUGAAAAUGUAAGGGGAGAGAGGAUCUUUCUACCUCAAAUCCCUUGAGCUCUCAAAGAAACUGAAUAGGACACUAUUUACUAGAAUAGAGAAUUGAGUAGUGGAAAUGAACCAUUUGAUCCACCUCACCCACUUAUGAUCAAAGUCCAUUUUAUCCAACAUCAUUAACAAAAAGUUCCAAUUUACAUGGCCAUCGUCCUUUCCAAUGUCUAACUUGCAAAUUACCCCACUAUUGGGACUCUUUAACCUUGAAUCUAGAGCAUCAUUUAUGAUUAGAACUGCAUCUAGAAAUUGUCUGUCUUCCACAAAAGCAUGCAAAUAAACUAAAACUAUUUUACCCACCACAUUUUUUAGUCUUUUAGCCAAGACUUUUUCCAAUAGCUUGUACAAAAAAACCCCCAACUAAGCUAAUCAAUGUAAAAAAUUUUAGGUUCUCUGCUGCACCUAUAUUAGGGAUCAAGACCAAGAACAUGACAUUUAAAUUUUGCUCAAAGGAACAAUUAUCAAAAAACUCCCCAAGCUCAUUUGCCAAAAUAUUAUAAUAAAUCCAUUUGGCCCCUACAGCUUUAUCCCCACUCAAGCUAGACAAGGCAACAAGAAAUUCCUCAUCAAAGAAAGGUAACUCCAAUUUCCUAGAAUCAGCACAUAGCAUAACUUCAAAGGUCAUCCCAUUAAUGUUGAGUCUCCACUCGCCCAUAUCAGAUAGGAGAUUUUGGAAGGCCCUAAACUCCCCUUCCUUUAUAUUUGCUUCCCAAGCAACCAUUUUGCAUUCACUCAAAUUUUAAACAUGAAGUUUUUUAUUCUUUGGGCAUUGACCAUUUCAUGGAAAAUUUUGGUGUUUUUAUCCACCCCCUCUUUUAACCAAAUUUCUCUUUAUUUUUGCCCCCAUACAUAUAGAUUCUUCUAACAAGGCCCACUUGCUAAACUCAAUCACCACUAACCUUUGGCCUCAACGAUUUCAAGAGAUAAGGUAACUGCUCUCUACUUUGAGUCCCAGAAGUUGAUCCAGUUUAGCACCUCUAGGUUUUUUGUUGAGACAUUCCCAAAACCUUCUUCAUUCCAAGAUUUUAAAUCUCGUUUGACAGCCUUUAGUUUAACUUCCAAAAUAUGACCAUACAAGCCAUCCACAUUAUAACCAUCAACCAACUCCUCACAAAAUCUUUUAAGCCUUUUGUUUUAGGCUACAUAUUUUAAAAUGUAAACUGUGUUUUCCCACUCCUUAUCCUACCUCCAUCUAAAACUAUGGGGUAAUGACCAAAAAUUGGUUUAGGUAAAAUACUCUAGAUUAAAGUAGAAAAACGAUUCUACCAAUCAUCUGACACUAGGAAAUGGCCAAGCUAGCCUUGAAGAAGACAAAAGAUUAUGAACACCACUCCAAGUGAAUAGCCCUCCAACUAGCGAAAGAUCCCAAGGUCAAGUCCUCUAUGUCCUCUGAAAAGAACCUCAUAUCAAACAACAUUCUAAGGCAAUUCCUCCUUUUCAUGGGGAACUUGACCAUAUUAAAAUCCCCUCUGAAGCACUAGAGGUCAUCCCAAAGGCCUCUUAUGGCACCCAACUCUACCCAGAAAUCCACUCUUUCUCCCCUUUAAACCAACCCAUAAACUCUUACGUAUACCUAGACAAAGCUAUCUUCACAAUUCAUAGACAAGCAAUAGAGAAUGCUUCCACCUCCUUACCAAUUAACUCUAAUACCCUACUAUCUUGGAAAACCAAAAUGCCUACUAUCAAGCUUCUAACUUCCAAUACCAUUUCAAAAAUUUUCCUACUCCUAAACUCCUUACCAGUUGAACGAACAUCUAUCGAACCUUGGUUUCUUGUUAACAAACUAGAUCAACCCCUUGAGACCUUAUCAAUGACUUUAUUAUCAUAUACUUUUCCUCAUCAUUUGCUCAUUUGACAUUCCAAGACAGGAUUUUUAGCUUCAUCAUGCAACCUAUGUUGGAUCCUAACUGCUACUCUUGGAGCCCUUUUCCUUUUUGUUGAGCUUUUAUAAUUGACUAAGCAUCCCAACUUGUUGAGGUCCCUCUCAAACCAAGAUAUCGAGGUUAACUUCCUCUUCACCUCCAACGAAAAAACAGAAACCCCUCUCCUUAGCCUGCCACACAAGGGAAAAGAUCUCUUUUUCAAAUCCAUCAACUGGCAUUCUUGAGAAACUAUUGAAAUUUGCCAACUUACAAGAUAUACAAUUGGAGGAGUGCUUCUCUACCAAACAACUACUAAAAUUCACCUCAAAGGUGACCUUUUCCCCUGAUCUCUCCCCGGCCUCCAUACCCACUGACCCUUUCACAAAAUUUUCUAGAAUUUCCACUAUCAAGCCGUUACGGAGAACCAUCCUCAACAAACUCCUUUGACUAAUGUGAAAAACCCCACCCAAGAGCAUCUUCCAGAAGUUAACUUACAAGAUUAACUAUAAUCUUGUGAAGACUCGUUACCUAAUGGGUAAAAAAUUUGAAAUUCUAUUAGUAUAAUUCUUUUUAGGCACAAAAGCUGUGAAAAUAGCAUUGGUGCUCUAAUUAAUAACCCCAUAAUUAUUAAGCAAUAAAACAACUUUUAAUAAAUUCUCUUUCACCACAUCCCACCAAUCCUAAUGCAAAAAAGCUAGGAAAAAGUCAUCAUUGCUCUAAGCAUUUCUCCUCACUAGUUGAAAGACUGCUUUAUGAACUUCCUCUUCGACAAAAGGACAAUCCAACCAAUUAGCACCAUUUUCCAAAAUGAGAGACCAACCCCCACUCUUCUAUCCUCUAAGGAUCUUCAUAUAACCAUUAAUGCCUUUCUAUACCAGCUAGUAUAUAUCGGGUUUUGGGCAAGUCCUAUAAAUUGGUUUGAGUAAGAUUUUUAAUUACCCUGUUCUUUCUUUUUAGUUGAUAAAUAUGCAUAUAUGUAGUAAUUCAUACAUCAGAAAAGAUUUUGCUAAAACAAAAGAAUUGACAUGCAGAUAGUGACUUCUUGAUAAGAGUAAUAGCUUAAGGGAGGAAAAUGAACUCCUCCAGUGGCCCCAAAGUGGUAAGUUCCUUCAGAUCCCAUGUUGCUAUUCUGCAUUUCUUUGUGUUUUGGCAUCAGCCCUCUUAAUUAAUUCACUAUCCAGCUUCUCAAAUUCCUCGGAUUCUUCCCUUGUUCUUGUGGAAACAUCUGCAUCUUGUCCUUGCAUUGUUAUGGAUUGGUGAUUAUCAUUCUUUGAGAACUGUGUGGCAGCUGCUCGUGCACCAGCUAUGGCUGCAAGGAGACCUUCUGGUUUCUUGUCUUCAGCAGCUUUGGAGCCAUCAAAGCAAGAAACAAGUAAUCCUGGUUUCAAAGAGAGGGGAUCUUGUGGUUCUGGAAGCAGAAACUUGACAGGUAGUGGAGCUUGAACAGGACGAAGACCCCUAACUGCUGCCUCAUAUAUCUGCAACAAUUUCAGGGGGGAUAAGUAAUUAAAAAUCAGUCACUCUAUUGCAUUAGUUAGACUUGCUUUCAAUGCGAUAGCAAAGAAAGAAUCAUCAAUGAAAAAAGAAAAAAUAAAUGAAAAAGAACAAAAAGGAGAGGGAAAAAAAAAUGAUGGGUGCUCAAUUUGUACUUUUCUUUCCAGGUUAUAAAUACGUUGGUACCCGCGCAUCUCAAAUGGUAUGAUUAAUUUCUGCAUCAGGUCAGGAGAACUAAGUCCAUCAAUAUACUAAAAAGCAAAUAUACCAAAAGGCAAGCAAAAAUGUUUAACCAUCUUGAGUGUCAAACUCUCCAAGAAACUAUAUACUUUUAGCUGAAUGAAAACACAUGCCUGUGGUUGCUCACAGAGCCAGCAAAACUCUGUUUGCGCUUCUAGCCUUACCUACAAAUAGAGUUUAGGUUAUCCAACCAAAAUGGAGAUACAUCACACAAAACAAACUGUACCUAAUCAGUUUACGAAGGGGACGGGGGGAAGCAAAAAGCAAAAGUAAAUUUCUAAGAUGCCCACCCCUUCAGGUACCUCCUUCCAGCACGCCAGCUCUUCACAUUUAACACAACCAACUACUUCAAUACAACCUGUGGCAAGAAUAGAGUUUGUUGGAUUUAUUGUAGCAUGCCAUACAGAAAAAUUUAGCAUUUCAGUAAGAAUAAGAAUAAGAGAGCUACUUUCCACUAAAAUACGAAUCACCCAUCAACUGUUGCAAACAGACAACAAUGUGAAUAACAGGUUUUAUAUAUAUAUAUAUAGAGAGAGAGAGAGAGAGAGAGAGAGAGAGAGAUAGAUAGAUAUAGAGAGAGAGAGAGAGUCAAAUAAUAAUAAAGGACAAAAAUAUUUCUUUGAGAAAGACUAAUUAGAAAGAAGAAACAAAGAACCCACAUGAAAUCAAUUUAGAUAAGAGAAAUACCUUUAAGAAUCUAGUUCUUUUUGCAAAUUGCAACUUAGAAUUGGAAUGCCACAUAUUAUUAUAAGGUAUCACAAGAGAUUAUUGCUUCAUUUUUUUUCUUUGCCAGAUCAGUUUUAAUAAAUAUAAAUAUAAAAAUAUAAGCAUGUACACACACACACGCAAACACAUUAUGUGUGUAUGUUUAUGGAUAUGUAGAUAUAGGUUUUUAAUAAUAGAGCAUGAAAACAUAUCUAGUCAGAAAUUCCAAAAAUCCAAAACCAUUAGCAACACCUAACAGUCUUGAAACUGGGUAAUGUUCUGGAAACUUGAGGUCUGCUAUCCCAUUCACAGCAUAGAUCUCCCUGUAGAAAUUCUCCAUUGCUUUGAUUGUGUCUGAAUCUGGGACCUUACUAGCAGCAUGAAUCCAGAGUCGGCCUUCAUAAAACAAAACAUGUAUAUUAAGAAAUAUCCUUGUAGAACAGUAACAUUUUUGCCAGCAUGCAAUUCGUGUUAAUAAUCCUUGGUUCUCACCACUCAUUGUACAUUACAAUGUAAAGACCUAAUAAGCCCUAAUAUAGGUAGGUGUCUGUGCAGAGAGAGAGAGAGAGAGAGGGGAGGGGGGUGAAAGGAAAGAUGAUUAUAGAACAAAUACAAGUUGAAUCUCCUGAAAUAAUGUCCAUCAAGUUAUUUCCUAGCAACAAGUACUGAUUAUGCUUUUCCUGAUAACAUGAUUUUCUUUGCUAACAACCAUACUAUAUUUUAUCAAGAAAGAGUAGUGCAUGUGGCGUGCAUCAAGACCCAUUAGAGUUCCGCUAAACCUAUAGUUCUGUCAACGUUAUCAUUUACGUUUCCUCUAGAUAAUGGCAUUUUCCUCUAAAACUCUUGCACCAUUAGGCUUCAAGUCAAAAUUUCACAUGUGAACUUUGGAAAUUUUCUCCAUUUGCCCCUAAGGAUACAGUUAGAAUUGACUUAAAAUCCUGAUUGAUGUAUACUUUUAACCGAAGAAUAUUGUAUAUAAUAAUUGAAAUAUUGUUGAUUCAUCGUGGAAAUACAUUUUGUAAGGAAAGUUGUUAAGAAUUUAGUAUGCUAUAUGGAGAAAAAAGUCAUGACUUAAGGUUGAGUAUGUAUAUUCUAUAUCAAAUAUUAGGUAGGAAUGUGGAAAAGAGCAGAGUGUAAUUAUAAGAAACAAAGAAAUAUAAGAUAUUCUUGAAAGUGGAAAAUGUAAAAUGGCUAAAAGUCAAAUUUAUGAUGCAUAAGGGGGAUCAUGUCACAUAAGAAACUCAUGGCAUACCAAAUACGUGUGGUAUGGAGUAACAAUUUUGUUAAAAUAAGUUUCUCGUUGGAGUACAUUAGGUGACAAUUUUUUAAUAUCAAAUUAAAGAGUCAAGUGCAUCAAUGAAGUCAUAUGUAGAAAAUUUGUUUGUGACAUGUACCAUAAAGAUAAGAUUGACUUGAUAUAAUUUAGUCCAGGUAGGAGUUGUUAAAGGUGUCUCAAAUUUCUAAUUGAUAUAUAUUUUUUUCUAAAAAAAUAUUAUAUAGAUAUUUCAAUAAAUGAUUAAUUCUUUGUAAAAAUACUUACAUAAUAAAAAACAUCAUUAGAAAUAUCUCUAUAAAUAUUUUAAAUCACAAAAAGAAAAAAAAAAUCACUAUGAGAUAAUUAUAAACAUGCAACAUUGUACCAAGUAAACAGAAAUGUGAUAAAAAAAUUUUGAGAAACACUAAAUAAAGGAAGGGCUUGUAUAUCAAGAUGUAAAUAUAGAGAGCAAUAUUUUUAAUCAUAUGAUAGAAUUAUUUUCUCUCAUUCAUGAUUAUAAGCAAAAUUGGGAACCAUUAUAAAAUCUUGUACACCUCGUGUAAAUUGAUGUUUGUCUUCAUAUUUUACACCAACAAAUGACAUUGAAGUUGUCAUUGAUAAAAGGGAAAAGGCAUGGCCUCCACACCAUGUGCUUGAAUCGUAUGGUUCAAGUUUAAAGAAUUUUCUCCAUAAUUUGAAGAUCUAAAACAUUUUCACCUUUAAAUUUCAUUUAAUUAUUAAUAUCUACAAAAAAUAGUUAAAUACUCUUUCUAUUUUUGAGUUGUUGAAUUUUUUGAAAGUUUUUAUAUUUGUUAUCAAGAAUUUAUAUUUUAUUAAGUGUGAAUAUUUAUAAAUAAGAUAUUAUAUAAUAUUUGGAUAAGAGAGAAUGGUGGAAUAUAAUAAAGUUUUAAUCCUUCCCAAUUUUUAUCUUUUUUUUUUUUUUUUUUUAUAAUCGCCUUUCUCUUUCAAUCCUAUUAUCAGGUACCUUAUAUUUGCUGAUGCUAUCUGGAACUAAAUUCCAAUCAGACAUUGUCCAAUUACUAAUAGGACAGAUCAUGUCUCUCUGUUUCUAAACUAACAUGUAUCGUAAUGUGGCCUCAUAAGGAAGGCUAGGAAGAUGGAGGAUUUUGUGGGAAGCGACCAGAAUCAGAUGGAAGAGAGAUAGCCCUGUUGACCUAAUGGCUGUAAUAGGAGAAGCGUGUGGAUUUAUGGGACUUAACUGAUACUAAACCUAUAUGAUGCUUGGAGUGGUGUUUCUUUCAUUUUGUUAAGAAAAUAUGGCAGCAUACAUCCUUUCAAUUGAGUGCAUCAGAGCAUCCAUAAUAGAUGGUCUGCAACCCUAGGUGCAUGCCACUUUCUGACUGAUAAUGAAACUGUCAGGUACUUGGCCUUGACUAAGCUCAACAGCAUCACAUAAAAAGAAGCUUUCAUACUUAGAUUACUGUUUAAAGCUUUUGCUUAUUUGCUUUCUUAAUGCCAUUAUGACAUUAUUGUUUCAAUUCUGCUACCGAUUUUCGAAGUUCUGGGCAUCUACUGAUUGCAUCAUUAUAUGAGAAGUUGCAUGAGUUUAUGUAUCCUGUUAUUGCUCCUUUGCGAUUUCACUGCUCACGGGACUAACCUCUCCAUUCAGUCGAAAUGAAUUGUAAUUUCUUUACUGGUAGCAGUAGUACUUUUCAUAGCAAAGAUAAUAGUAAAUAUGAAAUAUAAAUAGAAGGAAAUCUGAAUUGUAGAUGGCACUAUAAGUAACACUCAAUAUUCACUACAUAAUAAAAUAGACAGUGUUACAAAGGUAGAGAAACCUACAAUGAGUACUCAUCACCAUUCUCAAACAGAAACAUAGCAGCGACUUAUACAUAGAACCUAUAGGCUUGCAGGGAAAGAAGGGAAAGAGUAACAUGAUAAGUUCACAGCGGGUAGCAGCUCUUAUUUUACGUAUUACUCAAAAUCUCAAACUAACCAAAGUCACUCAGUUGGGAUGGGUAGGAGAUGGUGGUUUGUGGGGUGGCUUCUGGGUAGGAGCUGGUGGCUUCUUUGUUGGAGUUGAAGGAGGCGUAAUCUUCUGAGGUGGCUUGUAUGAGUCUUCGGCACUCUCUGCAGGAGGGUGCCCAGGGUUGUGACCGGAAGGAGGUGGCUUCUGUCCCUUUGGUGGUUUGCCUAAUGGGCUUGGUGGCUUGUGCUCCGGGAGUUGUUUCUCUCCCUCGAGUAGGUUUCGAGUUUUGUCAGAUGGCUUGUGUUCUGGUGGUGGCUUCUCUCCCUGGGGUGGUUUGCCGAAUGGGCUUGGUGGCUUGUGUUCGGGGAGUGGCUUCUCUCCCUGGAGAAGGUUACGAGUUUUGUCAGAUGGCUUUUGUUCUGGUGGUGGCUUCUCUCCCUGGGGUGGUUUGCCAAAUGGGCUUGGUGGCUUGUGUUCGGGAACUGGCUUCUCUCCCUUGGGAGGUUCAUUUGGUGGCUGGUGUUCCGUAGGUGGUUCCUUCACCGGCGGCUUGUGCUCCGGAAGCGGCUUCUCUACCUGGAGAAGCUUACGAGUUUUGUCAGAUGGCUUGUGUUGUGGUGGGGGCUUCUCUCCCUGGGGUGGUUUGCCAAACGGACUUGGUGGCUUGUGUUCGGGGAGUGGCUUCUCUCCAUUGGGAGGUUUAAUUGGUGGUUGGUGUUCCGUAGGUGGUUUCUGAAGUGGGGGAUGCUUGGGGUAGUCAGCAAGAGACGAGGUAGUGAGAACCACCAGUCCCAGCAGCAACACUAGCAAGGAUGUGGAAGACAUCUUUGAGUUCAGGCUGAGAUCUGUGCAAGGAUAAAAGAUUUAGGUGGCCUUUUAUAGAGGGAUGGACCCAACACCCAUAUGACACGUGUCAUGCACUCAUGGUGACACAUAAAUUCUAUGGAACCAUUUGGGUCCUACAGAAGUUGCAAAGUUGGACUAUUGAGGUGUGAUCACAACUUUUGUCCUUCUUGCUUUCUCUGCGGCCAUUGCCCAAUUUCCUUUAGCAUCAUUUUCUUGGCUAAAUAAGCGUAUUAUAUUUGUGGCAGACCGUCCACGUGUCAUAGACAGAUAUAUUAUAAUAAUGUAGUAUGCUUUUCUUCAACGGAACAUGACACUCUUCUAAGUCUUGUUUUAAAUACUGUGCAGUAUUACGUUAUACGUUGCUUGUUCCAAGUCAAAAUUGGUGGGCAAACGUUGGCCUUUUUUCAUUUUCCCUAAGAUUAAUGCUCACCUGGGAUAGGCACUACAUGAUAUAUCUGCUCUUUUACUGUGAAGUUGCUUUGUGCAUGAGUUACACCUCCCCUGCACACCCUCAACAUUUGUUGCUCUGUUUUCCUUGUGUCCAGACGAGGAUAUUAAUUGGAGGCUGACAAAACGACUGCUAGCCAAGGAUUUACAAGGUCCUGGUUUGACGCUUCCGCGAAAGUAUUUUUGAAAAGAUACACAUAGAGAUUGCGCGUUCGGUGCAAUGCAACAAUGUGAGCCAUUCUGAAGUUUUUAAUUUCAGAUUAAUGAAUGCUACAAAAUUCUAAGAAGGGCCGUUUCCAAAUAUUUGAGUUCAUUUAUCCGAACAUCGGAUAAGUAAUGAUCAUAGAUUAUUAUCUGACGUUCUUAUAAUGGUUGGCAUUAUAAGAGGGUAUAUGCUUCUUUCUCUAGCCCCUCCUUCAAGGGAGGGACAAUGUGAUCUGUAUCGUUAGAAGCUAUUCCAUGUCAUCAUCUUUGGGCUUAAGUCAAUACUAAAAUAUAUGGGCGGGGCCCCUGUCAUUUUAUAUUUCUUCUAGAAGGUUUGUUCUGGAAAUCUUUCACCGAAACAUAUCUUUUUCUUCUCUACGUGAUCCGGUUUGAAAGUUGGAAAAAUGGGUCCGUUAACAAGACACCGAGUUGAAAAGUUGGAAAAAUGGCAACACCGCCAACCUCUUGUAUUCGAUGGUUAAAUAAAAGGUCACUGGAAGUGAGAUCCCUUUUGGCCUCUUGAUUUUCAUUCCAGCAUCUCUAUGGCCUGAUAAACUAAAAAACUAAAAAAAAGACAGUACGUGGGUUGGUGUUAAGCAUCAAGAGUCAAGACAUGAUAAUGGAGAGAAAGGAUAUUCAAAUUCCAGUUCUGACAGCAUGAUUUUCUUUGCUGAACAACCAUAUUAUAUUUGAUCAAGAAAGAGUAGUGCAUGUGGCCAGGAUCAAGACAUACAUUAAUUUCCACAUGAUCAAGACAGUUUCUUCUAAAGCUCUUGCGCCAGUAGGCUUCAAGUCAAAAUUUCCCAUGUAAACACUGGUUUUUCUUUAAUUGCCACUAAGGAUGCAGUUAAAAUUGACUUAAAAUCCUACGUGAUAUAUUUUUUUAACAAAAGUAUAUUGUAUAUAAUAUUUGAAAUAAUGUUGAUUCGUUGUGGAAAUAUGUUUGUAAGGAAAGUUGUUGACAAUUUAAUAUAGUAUAAGAAGAAAAAAGCUAUCAGCUAGAGAUGAGUAUGUAAAGUGAGGCUCCCGAUUCAACGCGUAAAUAUAAGAUAUUUUAAGGCUCAAUAGUUAUGAUAUCUAUUUUAUUUUUUGUAUCUCAUAUAUUCAAAGAUAUAGUAAAAUGAUUUUAUAUAUAUAAACAUAGCUGAUUGUAUCAUGUUAAAACCUGGUAUGACUUUUUGUGCCAAUUGAUUUUUAUCUUUAUUUUGUAUAUUAGUAAUUAGUAUUAAAGUUUUUACUAAUAUAAUAACUAAUAUAAAAACUUUUUCUAAAAGAGUCAACAGAGCAAAACAUUUAUUGUAAAAAAAAAAUUAAAAUAUUAUUUUUUCUAUUUAGAAAAAGUUAUAUAUUUUAUUUUUUCUAUUUAGUAAAAAGUUUAUAAUAAGUCAUAAAAAAAAGUAGAAAAACAAACCACCUAAAUUCUGAAAACAAAUUAUUUUCAAUAAAAAGUCAAAAAAAUAAACACUAUCUUAACUAAACAAGCAUAUAUUAUAUUUGGUUAAAGAGUAGAGUGUAUAUGGCACACAUCAAGGAAGAGAAACAAAAUAAGUGGAAGACAAUCAAGGGAACAUGUAUGGUCUGCCUUUUUCUGAUGUUAUGUUUGUCUCUAAUUCUGUUCCAUGUCAUGGUAAAUGUUCACAUUGCUUGUAUGGAACAAAGGCUUCAUAUUGGGUUCAAUGCUUUUAAUGUGUUCAUUGGACAAAUCUGAAUUAUCAUACGCAUUUAGAUAAGAACAAUAAUGUGAAACCCUAGUUACACCUCCCCUGCAUAACCCCAACCCUGCUUGCUCUAUUUCAGUUUAUUCACACAAGUUUUACUGGUUCUUAUAAGUCAAGAAAAAGCCACUGAUGUUGGAUCGACUCUCUUCCAUGUAAAAAAAAGCAACUUUUAUAAAUAUAAAAGAACUUCUUCCCCUCACGAAUGUGGGAUAUCAUAGAUUUAUUCUGGAAACACAUCAAAGGAACAUCUUUUCUCUUGGGUGACCCUAAGUGGUGGGUCAGACCAUUUGCAUGCCAUUGAGUUGCACAGUUGGAUAAAUGCACCUACCUCCUGGGCUCCAGAGUAAAAGGGUGGAUCCCUGGAUUGCAACCCUCCUGGCAUCUUGGUUUCUAUUCCAACAUCCACAUGACUUGACAAAACAAAAAACAGAAUAAAAUCAGCACUAUAUUCAUGCUAAGCACCAAUACAUGAUGGAAAUCAUUGCUUAAAGAUUUGGGGUCGUUUAGGUUUUGACUGCCUCCUACCACCUCACCUAAUGACAAGUUUUUAUGCUUACAAAUCAAAUAUCAUUCUUCAUUAUAUUAAAAUCAUUUUAAGAUUUCAGAUCCAUCUGCUAAUUAUGAUUAUGAUAACAUUAAUUCACCUGUGCUUCUCAUUUUCGACACACAAGGCAUCUAGGUUUGCAGGAUUUCCUUAUUAGAUGAGAUAAAUGAGUACGCAUGGUUAUGUAUGCAGCAUUCAUUAACCAUGGUAUGUGACAUUUAGAAUUAAGAUAGCAAGCAAACUUUCCCUGCAGCUUGAGUAAAUUGUGAUUUCUUAGCCUCUAUGAGUGGUUCCCAAAUCAAAUUAACAUAGUGAAAUAUACGUAGUCCAGUGAAAGGAAAUGUAAAUUAUAAACUAACAGCACUACACUACUGGUAACACUCGAUACUCUCUAUAUAAUGCAAUAAACAAUGUCAAUGCUCAUUGCCUACAAGCAAGGCACAAACACUAGAACAAGUAAAGCACAAACCUUUCCCAACAGUUCCCAGUGACUGAUGCAUAGCAUACCCUCAACUCACAGAAGGGGAUGAUAUCAGUGCACUGCAGCACUUAUUUUACACAUACUACCACUACUACUACUACUACUACUACUACUACUCAUUAGCCAAAGUCACUCAGUUGGGAUGAGUGGAAGGUGGAGGCUUGUGGGGUGCUAUGUGGAAAGGAGUUUGGCUUCUUCUCAGGAGAUGGUAGCUUCGUUGCGCGAGUUGAAGGAGGCUUAAUCUUCUGUGGUGGAUUGUAUGAGUCUUUGGCACUCUCUUCUCUCGUUCAGGUGAGUACCCAGGGGUGUAUCCAUAAUGCGGUGGCUUCUAUCCCUUAGGUGGUUUGCCAAAU
rnacentral:lncRNA from 1 species